AAAAAUAUUCGGACUCUGAAAAAUCCCCUACUCUUCCCUCAGUCUCUCCACUCCGCCAAUCGGUCACCGCAAGCCUCCGCCACCUCGCCGCUGCGUCGCCGUCGCCGUCGACGUCGUAUUUCCUUCCCGUGCCAUCACCCCUCGUCGUCGGCCAAGCCACCAUCUCUCUCUCUCUCUUUCCCCGUGUUUCCUCUUCGAAGCAAUUAUUUUGUCAAUCUGAACGGCUUUUUCACUUAUGAAGGAAGGCCGCGUGUAACUUCCAGGCAAACACAGCGAAAGUGAGAGAGAUCUCUCUCCGUUGCUUUAUCAAGUUGCUACAAAGAUCAUACUGGGACUUCCCAAGCCACCGGGCAGGCCCAAUUUAGAUGUUUGUGUAUAAUUUCUCAUCGACUGAUUCUUUUGUAUCGUUAUAUCUGCUAUUGAAUUCGCUGUUCAGUUACAUUUCGUUGUUCAUUUUCUUCAUGUGAUCACNNNNNNNNNNNNNNNNNNNNNNNNNNNNNNNNNNNNNNNNNNNNNNNNNNNNNNNNNNNNNNNNNNNNNNNNNNNNNNNNNNNNNNNNNNNNNNNNNNNNNNNNNNNNNNNUUUCAAUAUAGCGUAACCAACGCAGUGUUGAAAAUUUAAGCAAUGGUUAACAUGGAGGUGGGCGUACGUGCAUGUGUGGUUAGAACUUUUCUCAAGAACUUGAAGCAUCUGAGUGGGCACUUUUUUCUUGAUUCUUAAGAGGUAUAAAGACAUGAUCAGAGAUAUUGAUACCAAAGGCUCAAUCACGAUGAAUAUUUAGUUUCAGGAAAAAGAAAUGUACUGGUUGAGACAAACAAGUAACACAACAAGAAGCUUGUCGGCUCCGAGUUCUGCCUUUCAUAGUGCAUUGUUUAUUUAGUAUCUUACAUUUUUCAUUAAUGCAAUGGGCAUGUCCUCAAUUAUGAAGGUUGCUACUCUCUCUUGCAGUUUUCUUUCUCCUUAUUUCUCUUAUCUAGUUUCUGCUUUUCUAGUUCAACUUAAACCUCUUCUCAAAUUCGAGUGAGUUUUACUUUUUCCCUAAAAAAGGAUGAGAAAUUGGCUUACUGUUGCAAUUAUUGUGAUCUAAUCUAGAAUAAAAAGUUAAAACAAAUCCAGAGGGUCAGCACCUCUUUGACAUCUCACAGUGAAUUUCUCUUUACAUUGACCUGAUAGAUCUGAGUGCACGUGGUUCGUUGUUCCCACAGAACUUGAUGACUUUGUUAGUAUUUUAUUGUUACUCUGUCAGCAUGAUACUUGUUCAUUUGCUUUUUAUUGGGUUGUUAAUUAAAUGUCUAUAUUAAAUGCCAGGCAAAAAUUCCUGAUAUUGAGAAGUGUUUAGAGAUAGUCGCCACUCUACAGGCCAAGAAGAGUUCUGGUGAGGUUUGUUGUCUCACGCAACUCAUACUUCUGACUAUGUGAGCAAGAUUUUGGGUGAAUUUCCAUUUAUUUCCACAAGUUGAUAGGAAAGUGGUGGUUAUUUUCUUUUUAACAAGAAGCUGUGGAUUUCGGUAAUUUAGUUGAUCGGUGCCCAAUUGAUUGACGACCUUGUGUUGAAAUUGCAAGGCUUUGAAUCUUGAAAUGAUUGCAGUUACUUACCUCUGAGCAAAUUAGAUCGAGAUGUUCACAUGUAAUUAGAAUGAGAAAGAGACUCUCCUUCUAAAAUGCUUGCUUGGCCCAUUUAUGAAAAUGAAGAAUGUCGAUGCACAUCACUAAAUAGUAAGCCUUGUUUAUGCUCUCCACGUUAGGAAAUUUUCUCAUUUAAAGGUACUGGGAACGUGCUGAUUAGGUGUUGCAUCUCACAUGUUAUACAUUAUAAAUCUUCCUUAUACUUUAUCACAUAAAAUGGUUUGUCAUUGAAAAACGUCGGUAUUAUUUCUCAUGUCGUGCAUUAGAGGCUUUCAAUUUAAAAAGGAAUCACUUCAGCGGAUCUUUCUCGUCCUUUGAGAAAGCACAAGAGUAUAGGAAGAGAUAUUGUUUUGCAUGUUAUUCCAGUUCAGAGCCUGGUUAAUGGUAUUGCAAAAACUGACAAAAGAAAGGUGGAAAUGUAUCCAAUUCUGGAGUUCUUUCCUUUUUUUUUUCUUUUUUUCUUUUUUAAACUGUUUCACAUUGGUUGUUCUUUUUUUGGCUGAACCCUUAAUGAAGCUCAGAGCUGGUAUUAUUGUCUUGUGUACAGAACAAAAUAAACAAUUCAUUUGUUUCAUGUGUCCCUUCAUUUAAAUAUGAGAAUGCUUUCUUGCUGAUUGAAUAUUCUUCAGAAAGCAAUAAUUGUUAGAGCAAACCUCUUAGUAGAGUUAUUUACAUGAGAGUGAAUCUAACAAACUUGGGGUAAGAAGUUAGUCUUAGAAAUUGUUAACCGCGUGUGAAGUCUAAAAAGCCAUCCUUUUCCUUAAUGCAAGAUUUAAAGGCUCUCUUAUUUCUAUCUCUUGACUAAGAAAAAGGCUAAGAUUUGGAUUGGGAUUCAAUUCCAUGGUCACCACAUCUUAUCUGCAUCUUUUCCAGCAUAUCCAUGUCCAAAGGAGAUCAAGUCUGAGGGCAACACAUUGGUGGGUGAUCUGAGGAUUCUCAUUGACUUUGCCAUAGCUAGUAUCUGUUUGUAUGCACACUUCUUCUUGUUUUUGGUUUCUUUUUGUAUGUUGGCUAUUUGGAAACCCUCCCAGGGCAAUCACACAUGUCGAAAACUUGUGAUGCCGAAUAGUUCCAUAUGGUUUUCAUCUAAGCAACUAAUACCCCCUGCCUUCUUUGGACAGAGUCCUUCCGUCUCUUUGUUACCAGCUAUAUUGUGUAAGAGAACUUAAAAUUUGGCCAUCUCAUUCUCUACUGGUUACCAGUCUCUGCAUAAAUGGUGAAUCCUACCAAUACCUUCUGCCAUCAACAAAGUUUCCUGCUCAUGUGCUAUAAUAGCCAUAUCUCUGCAGUGGACAAGAACCUGUGAGAUUUGUCCUGCACAAUUAGUCCUUAGCAUCUACUAUGGGUCGCCAGGCACUCGGCCCCUCUGCCAAGACCCAUCUCUCUCUCUCUCUCUCUCUCUCUCUCUCUCUCUCUCUCUCUCUCUCUCUCACACACACACACACACACACACACACACACACACACACACUUACACACACAAACACGGACAAACACAAGUACUACUAUGUGCUGCCUCCAUCUUUCUUUGCACUGAGGUUUACUCCAUUAAAUAGGCUAUGACUGUGCUGACAGUACAUAAACAAAGGUGUGGUAUUUCUCUCAAUACGAAAAUCCAGGAUUUGAAUUGGUCAAUGAUUUCAAAUUGGGGCACCUUGAUGCAACAAUUAGUUCACCACUCCAUUCCACCACAAUGUUAUGCUCUUGUCUCCUCUCUUAUUUAUUUGAUAUGUAUACCUGCAUAAUGACUGAAGCAAACUGGCUUAUUUGCUAUAGCAAAGUGACCUGUGAUUGAGGAUGCCAUUAUAUGCGUGCACAAUGAGCUUGAGUUUCUAUUACAGUAAGAUUGAAUCAUGGCCUCAGAACUGGAAUUUAAGUUUGAAAUUCAAGCUGAACACUUUUCGGUGCAUGUAUUUUAAUUGAGGAUACUUAAUCGGUAUCUGUCAGGCUCAUGCUGCUGACGUUGAGGCUUUUCACAAAGUAAACUUGAUGUCGCAUAACCAGAUCAUAUUUUUUCAAUCCGUAGUUUUUUCUCAUUAUAACCACCAGAGUUCUUUGUAUUGUCUUAGAAUCCACCAAUUUUUUCCUUUGCAGUUUCUGUUUUUCAUCUGGAAUCCUCGACAAUCUAUCAGUCAUCUCUUAUUUAUGAUGUCAACUAAAUUUUUCUCAUAAUCUUAAUGUGCUAAAAAAUAUUAUCUUAAAAAAAUAUUCUUGCUCCUCGAUGCUCUCUUAGCCGAUCAUAUUAACCCUUUCUAUCUUUACAAAGCAAAUGGAGGAUAGGCUAGUUUAAUUCUUGCCAUACUAGGAACUAAUUUUGGUACGGUUGACAUGAUGUGAAAUAUCUAAUUGUCGUUUCUCCUUUGCAAAUGCACUUCUGGAAGCAAUAUUCCUAAUAAUCUAGGUUAGUGCUUUGAAGAGCCCAUGCUGAUCUCAAUAAUGGGGUGGUUUUAGAUUUGAACACCUGAAUAUCACCAGUAAUAUUUAGCUAGUUGCUUUGGUGUCUGAAGGUCCAAUUAGAAACUGACUUUGGGGUGGGAUUACUGUUGGGCUUAAGACCUAAGACUAUCAAAACUUAUAUGGCGCAAAAGAUAAUAGGCACCAAGCUGACUGGUUUUUAUGACUCUUUAUUUUGUAUACAGGCACUCCUUGCUGAUUUUGAAAUCUCUGAAGGCAUAUAUUCUCGAGCUCGCAUUGAAGAUACUGAUUCAGUAUGUCUAUGGCUGGGAGCAAAUGUUAUGUUGGAGUAUUCAUGUGAAGAGGUUGUACUCGAGUUUAAGCAAUGUCCCUUUCUCUCCAAUAAUGAUGUCAAGUAUCUUAUUUAUUGCAUAAAUUUAUGUUGCAGGCCACAACCUGUCUACAAAAGAACUUAGAAAAUGCUAAAGCAAGUUUAGAAGUUCUUGUUGCUGAUCUACAAUUCUUAAGGGAGCAAGUAACAAUCACGCGGAUAAGUAAGAAUUAUUUGGAACUUGGAGGUCCUUGGUUAUUUCAAGCCGUUUACUAUGUCAGUUUUGGCUAGGUCUUUUGGGGUUGAACUACUGUUGUUCUGAAUUUUCUUUUCUUUUUUUUUUUUGGUAAAAGGUAAGAAAUAUAUUAAGGAAUGGCCAAAUGUACAAAAGAUCUCGACACCAGGAACUUGCACUCCAAAUGUAUGAACAAAAGAAGUGGAAGGGUGACGAGAUGCAACAACAACAAGGCCAAACUAAGCAUAGCUAGGUCAACCGGCGACCAAACAGAGAUAAAAGCAAGGAGGAGGCCACCGUCAGUUCAAGGACCUACGGGUCCCCAGUGAAAAUAAUUGGGUCUAGGCUCCAACUUCUCUGCAGCCUUCUGUUUCUGAAAUUGUCUUCGACGUUCCUGAAGGUGAUAGCUUGUCUCGGACCACUUUGAAGAGGUGGUUCUUCAUGGCCGGAACUGAGAGAGGCUGGUCUCUAAAGAUGAUGUUAUUCCUGUUUUUCUAAAUGAUAUGACAAAGCGCGCCAAAGCAAAAACGGGCUAUGCACUUAUAGAAAUCUUUUCCCAUCAAAUAGGUAGCUGCCCAUCGGAAGUUCUCCCCCCAAGCUCUGUUACGCCAGGGUAAAUUGCAUCUGGAAGCCCAAAAGAAAGCAACACUAGCCGUGAUACAGCAGUCAAAAAACAGGUGGUCAAGAGAGUCAGGAAUAUUCUUGCAAAACGCACAGGUAGCACUUCCAAUUAUACCAUAGGACAGAAGGAGAUCCUGGGUUGGAAGCCUACGUUUGGCCAUGAGCCAAAGAUUGAGCUGAUAUCGAGGCACUAUGGCGUUGUCCCAUAUGAAAGAGUACCAAUGGACCCGCGUCCUCUUCUUCCUGAUGAAGUUCCACGCCGAUGCCAUAGUGAACUGUCCCGAAGAGCUUUCUCGCCAACAGCAACGAUCCAGGACACUCGUCAGGAUCGAAAGAGGAUGACCCCACGUUUCAAGCACCAACCUAAGAGCUUGGCCAACAUCUGACAAGAGGUCAGCAACACAAGCUUGUCUAGAGAGCCCUGAGCUGUCGAUAAGAGAAUCUGAGAAGAUCAGGUUCAAGGGCCCUCUAGGGUGCCAAUUGUCAAACCACAGAGAGGUUGUUUGUCCAUCGCCAAUUUUCCACUAGAAGGCCAUCCUGAAAUCCCUUCUUAGGAUCAACAAGCUCUUCCAGGCCCAGGAUCUAGAUGUUGGCUUCCUAGCAACCCAAAAGUUCUUAUUUUUUAAGAAGGUGGAAUGGACCCAUCUACACCACAGCGCUUCCUUGUCAGAGAACAAGAGCCAAAUAUGCUUUAGCAUGGCAGCUUUAUUACAAUCUUGGAGCCUCCUAAUACCUAGCCCUCCUUCAUCCUUUGGAAGGCAAACUUCAUCCCAGGCUACCUUAGCACCACCCCUGCCUAGGUCCGGACCUUUCCACAGGAAUUGUCUAAAUAUUUUCUCUAUCUAUUCCAUCACAGCUAUAGGUAAAACAAAAACACUAGCCCAAUAGGCUUGUAUAGCAUGAAGAACUGACCUGAUAAGCUGAAUCCGACCAGUAAUAGAGAGGAAACGGUGGGUCCAAGACUGAACCCUUGCAGUGAUACGAUUGACUAGGGUACAACAAUCUGCUUUGUUGAUCCUCGAAGUGAUAAUGGGAACCCCCAGGUAUCGAACUGGCAAGCUUCCUUCUCGAAAGCCCAACUCCAAGAGAAUAUUAUUCCUUAAGGAGGGAUUGCCACCUGCCAAAAAAAUUUCACUCUUGCACGGGUUAGGACAAAGGCCACUCCAAGAGGAAAAGAUAUUAAGACCUUCCUUAAGGAGAGUCGCCGUAGGAAGAUUCGCCUCACAAAAAAGGAAGACAUCGUCCGCAAAAAAGAGAUGUGAAAGACCCACUGCCUUGCACCUCCAGAAGAACUUGAAAUCAGGCCUUGAAGAGUACUUAAGAAUGAUCCCUGAAAGCACUUCCAUGACCAUAGUGAAGAGGUAAGGAGAGAUGGGAUCACCUUGGCGAAGGUCUCGACCGCUCGCAAAAAACUCGUGGAGCUCUCCAUUCAAAGCAAUUGAGAAUUUAGGAGUGCGUACACAAGUCAUAAUAAGUCUAGUCACAGACUAAGGGAAGCCAAAGGCCAGCAACACACUUUCAAGGAAGUCCCAAUCCACAGUAUCAUAGGCUUUCCUGAAGUCCACCUUUAUCGCACAUUUAGGGAGAUAGAGCUCAAGGUGGAAGCUAGAGAAUAGCUCCUGAGCCAGCAAUAUAUUGUCCCUGAUCCGCCUACCUUUUACAAAAGCAGUCUGAAAGGGGCCUAUCGUGCUCUUCAAAGCUAGGGCCACCCGAUUUGCUAGCACCUUUGUAAUACACUUGUAGAUAGUGUUGCAGCAGGCGAUAGGCCUAUAAUCCUCCACAGAAGUGGCAUUGAGCACUUUAGGAACCAUUACCAAGAUGGUAUUGUUAAUCUCCCUCAAGAGUUUACCGGAGGUGAAGAAAUCCAACACUGCGGUCGUUACUAAAGGACCAACCUUGUCCCAGUUUUCUUUGAAGAACUCCGCUAUGAAGCCAUCCGGCCCAAGAGCCUUUCCCUUAGGCAAGGAGAAGAUAGUGUCCAGGAUCUCCAACUCUGUAACUGGCCGAGCAAGAAGCACAGCCUGAUCAAGUGAGAGUGGAUGGUGGAUAACCUCCCUCAAGUCCUCUAACGAAGGUCUAACAAUCUCCCCUUGCGGCGCCAAGAGGUCCUCAAAGAACUUUACAAAUCGUCGUUGCACCAGCCGUGGCUCCGUCACUAGGUUCCCCGAAGAGUCAAGGACGGAAAGGACUCUGUUCCUCAACUGUCUUUUGUUGACAUAUUGGUAUUUCGGUCUCCCUCCCUGAGCCAUCUGAUCCUAGACUUCUGCCUGAAGAAUGACUCCUCCGAGGAGCGCAACUCUGCAAAGAUACACCUUUGGUUCUUUUCCACCUCAGCAAGGUCAGCAGAAAAGGGAUUUAGCUGUAAUUCUGCUUGAGUGGCCUCCAUCAUCUUUCGCGCAUCAAGAGUUCUGGCAGAGAUAUUAGAGAAGGAAUCUCUAUUGAGCUGCUUGAGCCGACAUUUAAGAGCCUUGAGCUUAGACACAAGCCUAUACAUAGGAACACCACUCCCCGUCGCAUCCCACACUUGCGAGACAAUCUCAUUGAACUCCGGGUGCUUCAUCCAGAAGUCGAAGAACUUGAAGGGCUUCCUCUGAUGAGUCGGAUUAAGCACCUUCACCACCAUAGGCGAGUGAUCUGAGAUUCCCGGAGCAAGGAAGGAGGCUUCCGAGUAAGAGAGAUCCGAGCUCCACUUGGCGUUCACUAGAACCCUGUCAAUCUUUCUUGCUUUCCUAGAAGGCCCUGAAGACGUAGCCCAAGUGUAUCUAAAACCAACAAACCUCGAGUCUUCCAGCUCGGCUUGCUCCAAGCACUGUCCAAACUCAUCAAAGCAAGGGAGCCAAUCUUCGGAGCCACCGACACGGUCCGAUGGAUCCUUAAUAGCAUUGAAAUCCCCCAAGACAAGCUAAGGAGUGUCCCGGGAGAUGGGUGCUUUUCAGAAUGAUAUCCUCCCACAGCGGUCUCCUCAGCGAAAAAGAGUGAUCUCCAUAGAUAAAAGACAUACAGCAAGCCACCCCAGAGCCCAAGCUCUCAAGAUUCCCAUGAAUCGCCUGCUUGGUAAGUGAGAAGGCUUCAAACUUAACUCUCACGGGGUCCCAACCGACCCAAAUUCUACCCUUGGGGAAGAAAUCAUAGUUUGCAAUCCAACACCAAUCCCUCAAUAGACCUUCGGAUAUGGAGUUAAAGCAAUCUUGUGGCACCUUAGUUUCCACCAAACCAAUACAGCACAAGUGGUUCGAAAUAAUAAAAUUACAAAUCUCCGCUUGCCUAGUCGGUUCAACCAUGCCCCUAAUAUUCCAACAUCCUAUAUACAUAUCUACAAAAGAGGAAAAGAGGAAGGGUUACCUCCUUCUCGGUGGCUUGCGACGGCUCGGAGGGGGAGCCGCUCGAGCCGAUGGAGGAGGUGGGUCUGGGGAGAGCGCCAGGGGCUUGUCCUGGGUAGUCUCCUCACUUCUUCUAGUUGGAGGAGCCUUCGGCGAUAGACAUGGAGGAGCUUUCGGCGAUAGACAAGGCGAGAGAAGAUCAUCAUCUGAGCUAUCUAGGUGGUUGACAGUCUCAUUCAACUCCGCUCCACUCCCCAUGCCCGCAUCCGGAUGGCUAAUGGAGUCUUCCUCCAUUGUCGAGGUGGGGUCAUCCACCCUGAUUAGGGCUCGAAACCCACUCUGAGCCCUCCGGGUAGAGGUUGAUGGCAAGCUUUUAAGAGCUGCUGCUGUCUGCUUGAGGGAUGGUUCCUCUUCUCCGAAGCUGACUGGAUGGUCUAAGCACGUCUCCUUAGGAGGGGGGGAUUUCUUCUUCUUUCCCUUGACUUGUUUCCACCCAAAUUCAGCCUCAUUCAGAUCUACCACCAACACUGGGGAAGUCUCAGGGGGGGCGGGCCUCCACUGAGGGGGAGGAGAUAGGCUGAGCCUGCUUGUGGCCUUGCAUCGCCUUCCGACCAGCUAAAGAGGCUGCACAAUUGUGCCCAAAGGAGCCACACUUCAAGCAUUCCGCUGGCUUCCACUCAUAGUCGAUGGCAAUGGACCGAGCAACUCCAUUUAGUCUUACCUUGGCCGAGGAGAACCUUGGUUGAUUAACUUGAAGCUCCACGCAAACUCUUGCGAAAGAGAUCCUUUGAGUUUGCUCCGUGCGUUGAUCAACAAACAAAGGCUUGCCAACAGUGCUCGCAAUAACGCUAAUUGUCGGGGCUGUCCAGAGGUCAAGAGGUAGGUUCUUCAGGCGAAUCCACACCGGCACCGUGGUUUGCUUCUCCCUCUUCAACUCUAGCAGAGGCUUCCAUUGUUGCAAAACGAGCGCAACCCUUGCAACCAUUAUAGGACCGUCUUCCAAAAUCUUCCUUCGGAACUCGGGGUCAGGGAUGCGGAAGAAAAAGAAGCCCUGGUCAUCGGCGAAAACCUCAACAAGCUUCGAUCCCCAACUUGGCUUGAGCGUGUUCUCCGUGAGCUGGAACGGCAAACUCCUUCCUACAUAAUACCCAACCAGGCACUCAUGCCAUUUGGGAUCCACCACAUCUAACACUUCAUCAGGGAGAUCCACCACUGGGAUAUCAUCCUCAAACGAGGGAGGAACAAAGGUAAGGUCAUACCCUUUCGCUGCAAGUUUCGCAACAUUUGCCCACGUCCGGAUAGCCGGGGCGUCUGUUUUCCUCCCUUGCUUUUGCGAGGCCUGGGGCUGUUUGGAAGCCGACCUCACUCUGCUUCGUCCUCUCGAACGCCUAUCACGGGCUGCAUCCUUAGGAGGACCACGGUUUGAGGUCUCCGCUGAUGCAGAAACCUUGCCCGUGAGCAAGGAGGACCGGGCCUCCUUGUUUCGAUUGAGAGGGCUAGAAGCCUUCUCCGUUCCAGCUCUCAACUGGGCCGCAAUACUUGGCUCACCAACCACAGCAGAUGGAGCAGCCAUAACUACAAUAAUACCUAGCCAGCUAAACCCGAACCCUCUACACAGCAGCCAUCAAGAGAGCGAGAGACUAACCGGGCGUUCUGAACGGACUGACCAUCUCUACUAGAGGAUGAUUUUCUAAGUGGCGUGAGGCUAUAAAUUGGGAAGACAUGUUAAUUGGUGAUAAGUUGGAGUGUGGUAGGUUUGCACGAAAGUGAGGGGGGGGGGGCGCGGGAGGGGAGGGAGGGGGAUGGUUUGAAACAGCCCUUUAGAGGUGAAUUUUUAUUUGGCAGGUUACGAUUGCUCGUGUGUAUAAUUGGGAUGUUCACCAAAAGAGAAUCCAUCAAGCUGGUGUUCCUGCCAAAGACUCUUAAAGGAGUCUUUUCAACUUGGAUCAUGGUAGGAGAAUGCGUACUCCUGAAUGAGAGUAUGACUUUGAUCUCCGCAUUUUUUAUUAGGUGAAUGAAUUAUGUACCGCUUUGUGAUCGCAAUGGUUAAGACCGACUAUGGGUGAUUUUGGUUAGGUUGAGUUAGAUUUACUGCAUUACACAAAGCUUGUCAUGUAAACGAUUUCUUGAGAACCUCUUGAGCUUGAGUUUUCACUUACUGUGUGCAGUGUGCUAGUUUUGAGUUGACGUUGGAUCCAUCAAUGUUUUGUCGUUUCACCUUGACUAUGUAUGUUUAGUAAGAACCAAUUUAAAUUUGAAUUCGGGGGAGAAACAUGGGCCUGCCUGGGGUCCCCUGAGGAAUACGCGUCAGCACGAGUGUUUUUGGAUCAAGUGACUUAAUGCUGGAAUUUUGGGUGGGGCUCUUGUUGUCAGAUCUUGAAGAUUUCCAUUAUAUUAGAGCAAUUUAGGUACAGUCUGGGUAGAAAGUCCGUGCCAUGACAAUUUGUGUGUGUAUAUAUAUAUAUAUAUAUAUAUAUAUAUAUAUAUAUAUAUAUGUAUGUAUGUAUGUAUGUAUGUAUAUAUAUGUAUGUAUGUAUGUAACCAAUCUAGUUGAUUUCCAUUAUAUUAGAGCAAUGUAGGUACCGUCUGGGUAGAAAGUCCGUGCCAAGACAAUUUGUAUAUAUAUAUCACUAAAAUCAACUUUUUGCAACUUUUAAGUUUUUAAUGUAAGUACAUUACUCAGUCAAAUUUUCAAUUCGAGCCAAUACAGUAGUGCCAAGCUCUGAGUUCAACUCCUCUUAGAUAUUCGAUGCUCGAAACUCCCCUCAAAUAAUGGAGUAUUAAAAGUUUGGCUUGAGCUUCACCAAACUAGAAUCAAGAUAUUCAAGAUCAAGUCGACUCGAAACAAUCAAAUUAAAGAGUGGGCUUGAGCUUAAGCUCAUUAACUUCAAAUAUUAUCCUCUACAUUUAUGUGCUUUAAGUAUACUACAAUUUGCAAAUGUCUUCCCCUCUAUUUUUGUGAUUAUCAAUUAUUUUCUGAACAAAAUAAUAUAAAUUGGAUUGGAAUUGUGAUUCUCUCGAGGUUGAUCCUGACUCUAUGAAAUUCUUGGUGUAACUUCAGUCUAGGCUCGACUCAAAACCAGACUAGUCGAUUUCAAUUAAUUAUUAAGUCAAGCUUCAAUUAGUCUAAGCUCGACUCCAAACUAGACCAGUCGAUUUCAACUAAUUAUUAAGUCGAGCUUGAAUUAGUCCUAAGUUGGACUCAACUUCAACCCUACUGCUAGGCUUGCAAAGUCCAAUAUAUGUAUGAGGACUUUCAUGGGCCAAAUAGUAUUUCCGACGUUGAACUCCACAUUAUGUGAUGCAAGCCAUUCCUUGGUAGGAGGGUCUCGCACAUCUCCCCGAAGAGUUAUGACCUCCGAAUGAACGCGAAUUUCUAGAAAAGUUGAUGGGAAAAAGUAUAUGAUCACAAUUCAAUGGAGGCAAUUAAAAGUCCCAAAGGGACAAUAUUUCUUUUUCCAUGUGAAAGAAUGUAUAUUUAUUAUGUACAAUAAUUAUUCCUCUGAUCAUGAAUAUACCAAGAUGAUGGAAUGCAAAAGGUCAUUAGUGAAUUUGGGAAAAUUUGUUUGUUUUCUCAAACAGUCUAUUAAUGUUACAUCAUGCAUUACAAUCAAUCUACGACUCUUGAAAGCAAAAGGUGACUUGGAGCCAAAUUCAAAUUUCACAACUUUUUCAUGGCACAAGAUAAAAGAUUAGUAAGUGGAAUAAAGGCAAGUAUCAAUUGAUCAAGCAAAUUAGUGUGAAUAUGGAUUAAAUAUUAGAAGAUCUGCUUUGUUGGGCUUAGCAAAAGCAAAAUGAAACUUCGGCCUCAUGAUUUUUUGUGGUUGAAUUCCUUCUGAAUUUAAUGAGCAAAACAAAAACAAUUGUGCGUGGUUGUAUAGUAAAAGUUCCACCGUGAAAGUAAGCAAUAAUUUUGCUGCAAUGAUCUCGGGGUGAACAGUAUCUUGUCUGCCAAUACUGGAGACCUGAUAGCAUAGUGUAAAUAAGCAAUAAUUUUUUCUGUAGUGAUUGGACAGUGAAUAGUAUUAUUACACGUGUUGCUACAGCUUCCGGCGGCUAUCUUCUCUUAAUGAUUUUGUUCUUCUUCUAAUAGGUCGACCCCACGGCAAUCAUCUUCUUUUGUAUCUCCGCUACGAUGUGAUUGGUAGGAACUAGCUUUUCAUAGUUGGUGGGCUCCUUAAUUUCGGAAAUGAUUUUCUCCAUUACUGAAACAUAUUCAUGUGGUGAUUGCGCAGUAGCAAGGUAGGGCUACUGCAAGAGAUUUUCGUUGCAAGAGUGAUGCAUUUGAUGAUCCAUCUAAUGUUGUUUGUGAUCUUGUGGUGAUUUGGGCGUAACGGUUGUUUAACCAAUUAUGGACUGAUUCUUUAGAAGUUUGUAUCGUCAAAGAGCGCAUAUAGCAAAGUUUAUCCCUACUCCCGCAAUUUAUGCAUUCCUACCGUAAAAGCCUGCAUUUAUUUCUUGAGUUACACACAUUUUCUUGAUGAGUGAUGACCAAGCCUCACCUAGCCACGACAAAAAGUUGAUGGAGCAAUCUAUCCUGUAAAUAACAAAAUUCACCCAAUUUUCACUAAAAAGACAAAAUUGUUUUAAAUCAUUCAGUCUCAAUUUAAUUGAUAGCCCCAAAUUCAUGAACUUUUUUUUGUUUUUGUUUUUCUAUUUCAAUGUAGGAUUUCGUUACCAUAAUUAAGAAUUUCACAUGUCUAGUUUUUCUUUGUAAUAGGUAUUUCAAAUAUAUUUAAAACGCCAUUUCUUUUUUCACUGCUAGAUUUUUCUUCCAUAAAAAUUAGUUUUGUCUAAAAAAGAAAUUUCCAAGAAACCUAGUAUGUCAAGCAAAUUUAAGGAUGAAUCUAGAAAAAAUUAUUAUAUAAAUUUUUUUUGACACAAACACUUGUUUACAAAUUUUCAAUUUUGUUGUGCAUAUCACUAUCAAACUCCUUCUUUUAUCAUUUGACCAAAUAAAAUUCCUUCUUAUCAAUUCUCUUCUAUACAUAGAUACAUGCAUGCAUGCGUGGAAAUUUAUCUAAUCUUCUAUCUAUCUAUAUAUAUAUAUAUAUAUAUAUAUAUAUAUAUAUAUAUAAUGGGAUGAUCGGAGAAAUCAAGAAGGACUAGCAAAGAUUUUGAACUUAUUUCAAAAUAAAGAUUCAAAGUAUUAGAUCAAAAUCUUGAAUUUAUUUGACAAAUUUAGAUAGAUUAUCAAAAGGGCCUUUAAAUUUUUGUUAUCAAUCAAGAAGGACCAACAAGGAUUUUAAUAGUGCAUUACAUUUCAAUACAAUAUAUCACAUAUAAAAUUAUUGUUCAGUUUGAUCAAGGAAAAAUUGAUCAUGUCACUUAAUGCGACAUUGGAUUAAAUAUAAGGAGAUCUGCUUUUUUGGGCUUAGCAAAAGUAGAAUGGAAUUUUGGCUCCAACUGACAAAAGCUAAUCCUUUUGAAUUGAAUGAGCAAAACAAAAGCAAUUGCGCGUGAUUGUACAGUAAAAACUCUAUAGUGAAAGUAAGUAAUAAUUUUGCUGCAAUAAUCUGAUGGUGAAUAGUAUCUUGUUUGCUAGUAUCGGAGGCCCGCUGGCAUAGUGAAAGUAAGCAAUAAUUCUGCUGCAGUGAUUAGAUGGUGACCAGUAUUAUUGCACAUGCUGCAACAAUUUCUAGCGGUAUCUUCCCUUGGUGAUUUUGUUCUUCUUCUAAUAGGUGGACCCCAUUCCAGUCAUCUUCUUUUGUGUCUCCAUUACGAUGAGGAAAACAAAAGCAAUUGUGCGUUAUUGUACAGUAAAAGUUCUAUUGUCACGCCCCGAUCCUCAGGCACGCACACAUCCCUUACCUUGGUCGAUUAAUAGCGACGUCCCAGGACGCAUCGCCGAUCCUUUUAUAUAUUAAGCACAUGCGGAAGCAGUUAUAAAUCCCCAGACAAUAAAACAAUGGGAUAGGAAAGUAGGCCAUAUUUUUCAUAUUGAAAUUCAUAACCACACUUUCUUUAACAGCACAACUCAUAGUAUAUUUACAAUACUAUUUACAACAUAAAAGUCUCACACCCAUCUACAUUAAGACAUGGUGCACAAAAGGGAUGGGAUCUCAAUCCACAUCUAGGUUGUACUCAAGAUCCCUCUCUGGAUCAUCUUCUACUUCAAAAUACUUUCUCCCCUUCAGGUUCUUCCUCCUCAACUUUUCCUCAGGGUCCUGAAAUGGUUAUUCAAUAACCAAUGAGACCACGUCUCAGCGAGUCCUACCCCCUACGACUCGAUUAGUAAACUAAUACACCAUACGGUUGCCUAAGCACAACGCGAGUCAGAGGACUUACCUUAGCCUCAGUUCCAACCUGCAAUUCAAGGUUAAACAUAGAUAUCCAAACAAUUCACGAAAUCCGAUCAAGCACUGGUCAAUCGACUAAGUCGAUUACAUGUCAGUCAGACCCUUUCUAGGUCAUUCCCACUCAUACCACGAUUUCUCAAUGGUGUACUCAUUCACCAAAUCACAUGUGUUUCUCGGGCGUCGUUUUCGCCAAUGACAUACCGAUCACCGACACCGUGCGUUCUUUAAGGCGCCGUUUUCACCAGUGAUAACCUUGAUCACCGAACCACGUGUCCUUUCAAGGGCGUCGUUUUCGCCAAGGUGACAUCGGCUAUAGACAACAUCGUGCGUUCUUUAAGGCGCCGUUUUCACCAGUGAUAUUCCCAUAACCACCGAACCACGUUUGUCUAUAAGUCAUUUACGUGCGUUCUUUAAGGCGCCGUUUUCGCCAGUAAUACUUCCAAUCACCGAACCACGUAUGUCCAAUAAUAUCGUACCUGAUUGGUCUCACCAUUCUCCCUACUAUAUAGCCCAUCAACGUACUGGCGCUAUAUACUCAUGCUCGACCAUUACCAAUCAAAUACUCAAUAACAAACAAUUUGGGACAAUUCCUCAAAUUUCACAAUUUAAAUCAAUUCCAUAAAAAUUGAAGCUCAAUUAAAUAAACGGACUGCACCACGACAAUCGGCACGAAAUUCCAGUCACCGGCCAUCCCGGUUGAAUUUCCGGAAAAAUAAUUAAUUAAAUAAAUAAAUUUCGAAAAUAAAUAAAUAAACAUUGAAAAUCCAAUUUAGGCCCAUAUUGCCUUAUUGGAGCCCGAAACGGGUCGGGAAAAAUCCCGAGAUACAUUCAAUAAAUAACCAAACAUUUCUACUUGCUAAUAGCUAGGUCUAACCACCUAACAUGCAUCCUCAAGUCACUAAUUUAAUUGUUCUAACCUAAUCUAACCACCUAAGUGCAUGUAAUUAAAUCUAACCAACCCUAAGACAUAAUUAGCAAACUAAUAAAGCUUUAGUGAGUAAAACUCACUUGAUUAAAGAUUUGAUUGGAUCAAAUCGACGAGCACGCGACAAGGCUCGAUUCUCUCCAAAGCGAGUCCGCCAACCGGGGUCAAACCGGGGCCGAAAUCGGCCUACAAGCUCGCUGCUCGAGCUGGGCUGAGUCCACUGAUUCGGUGGGCCUGACUUCAAUUGAUUUGCUGGAAGUUGGGCCUCAAAACUGAGCUGUAAACAGGUUAGGCUUGCUGGGCUGAUAGUGCUGAAGAUGGGUCGAGCUCCACGCGGGCUGAACUGUUGGAUUGGGCCACUGAAAAAUCAGAGUGGGCUUGCUGUGGUUGGUCCACGAGCAAAAGAAAUGGACGCUGGCCUCACGGACUGGGCCAAAGACACGUGAGCGAAGGAAGCAGCGGCUUGCGGCGUCGAGCUGGGGAGGACCACGCGGAAACGCUGAACUGCUGCUUCGGUUGCUUCGAGCUUCACUGGCAAGGGAACUUCGUCCGAUGCUGAGUUAAUUUCGUUGCCUUCAACGCUGCUUCGGUUAACUGGGAUGUGGCAGAGACGGAGGGAGCAGCUGCUGGCCGAAGAUGGAAGACACGCGGAUUGAAGCCCGCUCGGUGGUCAACAAAACAGGAGGUCAGCAAAGUGAUGCUGGCGUAGAGAAUUUACUGGUAGAGGGGAAGCGGUGGAGGGAUUUCGGUUGGGUCUUCGAUGGAGGAACGUGGGGUAGCAAUUCGGUAGAGAGAGAUGCGAAGAAAUUGAGGGAGGCUUCGCUGGAGAACCCGCUGGUUUGACUCGGGGAAGAUGAGCUGCAGACAAGUGGUGGCUUCGGUGGGGAUGAGGCAUGCGUGAGUGCGGCCAUGGUAGAGGAGAAGAGGAAUCAUGGGGCUGCUUCUGCGGGUUUGCUUCCGUCCAAGCAAAUUAAAGAAAGCAGAAGACGUGAGGGAGAGAUAUUUGUUUCUUGGAUAAGUGCAAGCUUGGUCAAAGAUAAAAAGGUGAGGUUGAAUUUCUGCAGGGGGAAAGCUGUCGGUGGGCAGCUAAGAGAGAGAGAGAGAAAACUAAAAGAAGAACGUGCGGGUGGGGAAGAUCGCACGCGGAGAGAGAGGAAAAGAGAUCUGUGCGGCUGAGGGAGAAAUGGAGGCGUGCGUGUGAGGGGCGUGGGUUCAAGGAAAUAUAAGGAUAAAACAAAAUCACAAAUACAAUUCUUGAUCCAUUUCAAAACCACCGUGUGAAUUGGUCACUCUAGGAUCAAUUUCUCAGCCGACUUAAACAUUCGAAAUCCAAUUUAAGACGGUCCUUUAACCCCGCAAAUUUUCUUCAAAACCGACUUCCAUUUCAUUUUUCUCGGAAUCCGAUUUUCUGAACAAAUAAAUUCGAUUGAGGUCCAAUUUGAAAUCAAAAAAAGCCCGAACAACUUCCAUUCACCGAUUCACUUACACCAGAUGUCAAAAGUCUCUUCGAAUUGACCAAUCUGAAUUUCUGCUCGUUCUCCGAAUCGUCCGUCCCGAUUUCCCCGAAAAAUCCCGAACUCUCCAGAAUUUCCUCAAAAGGUGAGCCGACGUUCCUUGAAUGACUCAUGACACGACAGGACUUCCAAUUUCUGAAAUCGAAUUCAAAUUCGCGGUUAUUUUCAAUCAAACGUGUUUUUAGUGUGACCUUACCUACCGGGUAGCUUCUAGGACUUUUUGGCGCAAUUGACCCGUGGUCGAUUUUCUUCGAACCACAAUGAACCCAUCCGACCCAUUAGCAACUCUUGAUGAUCGUGAAAAUCUCAAGGUUUCAAACACGGGCAUAGGGUACCCAAAACGACAGAAAAUUGGUUUAGUGCCGAUCGAUGAGAAUUUUGCAAUCAGGUGGCAUCACCCACACUUGAUCACAUAUCUCAGUCAAAUUGACCUAUCUCCGAUCUCUGAUCGAUUUUGACAAUGCCGUAAUGACCCUUGUAGACUAGCACGGUCGAGUAGUCGAUUUCUGGUCGAAUUCUCAAGUCUAUUGCGUUUAAAAUCCCCGAAUGGCUUCACCGGAUAGGCCAGUUAUCUCGUGAGUGGCCAACUCAGAGAAAAACACUAUAGUCACGUUGACGAAAGGCCCAUCUUAUCCAAUCGAAAUCAGAACAUGAAAUUCAGGAUGUCACAUCUAUAGUGAAAGUAAGUAAUAAUUUUGCUGCAAUAAUCGAAUGGUGAAUAGUAUCUUGUCUGCUAGCACUGGAGGCUCGCUAGCAUAGUGAAAGUAAGCAAUAAUUCUGCUGCAGUGAUUUGACGGUGACCAAUAUUAUUGCACAUACUGCUACAAUUUCUAGCGGGUGUCUUCCUUUGGUGAUUUUGUUCCUCUUCUAAUAGGUGGACCCCAUUCUAGUCAUCUUCUUUUGUGUCUCCAUUACGAUGUGAUUGGUGGGAGCUAGCUUUUCACCGUUGGUGGACCCCUUAAUUUCGGAAAUGAUUUUCUUCAUUACUGCAAUAUAUUCAUGCGGUAAUUGUGCAGCAGCAAUGUGGCUUGCUGCAAGAGAUUUUUGUUGCAAGAAUGAUGCAUUUGAUGAUCUAGCUACUGUUGUUUGUGAUAUUGUGGUGAUUUGGGCGUUUCGGUUGUUUAACCAAUUCCUGACUAAUUCUUCGGAAGUUUGUAUCUUCAAAGUUCAUUUACCCUCCCGCAAUUUAUGCAUUCUUACCAUAAAGGCCUACAUUUAUUUAUUUCCCGGGUUACACACAUUUUCUUGAUGAGUGAUGAUGAUCGUGCCUCUCCCGGCUUAUGGCAAAAAGUUGAUGGAGAAAUCCAUUUCAUGUAUAACUAAAUUCACCCAAUUUUCACUAAAAAGAUCAAAGUGCGCCAAAUCAUUCAAUUGCAAUUUAAUUGGUAGUCCCAAAUUCAUUGACUUUUUUUUUUUUUUGGUUUUUCUAUUUUAAUGUAGGAUUCAAUUACCAUAAUUAAGAAUUUCACAUGUCUAUUUUUAAAAUUUUUUAUUGUAGGUAUUUCAAAUAAAUUGAAAACACCAUUUCUUUUUUCUUUGUUAGAUUUGUCUUCCAUAAAACAUAGUUUUGUUGAAAAAAGAAAUUUCCAAGAAUCCUAGUUCUUUUCAACGUUGUCAAGCAAAUCUAAGGAUAAAUUGUCAAGUAAAAUCUAAAAAUAAAUAAAUUAUCAUAUAGAUUUUUUUAAUACAAUCACUUGUUUACAAAUUUUCAAUUUUGUUGUGCAUAUCACCAUCAAAUACCUUAUCGUUUGACCAAAGAAAAUUCCUUCUUAUGGGUUCUCUUCUACCACACAUAAUUGGAUGAUCGGAUAAAGAAACCCUCUUUAGGGUUUGAAGAUUUUCCAAAAUAAGAUCACAAUUACAUUUUCCAAUGGAAAACUUUAAAGAUGAAAUUUAAUUAAAUUAAAAAUUGCACAAAAAAUAAUUUUUUUUUUAAAAUGUUGAUGACAUCUCAUUAUUUUGAAUUGAAAAAAAAAUAAUAUCAUUGACGAAGUAUGUAUGAAAAAUUAUCUUGAUGCUUCAUUAUGCACAACCGUUUUAGUAUAUUCCAAGAUAUUCCACAACGCCUAACAUCUAUGUAAAAGCAUCUCACCGAUAGUGAGGGUAAAAGAUAAGUUCUUUAAAAAGACUUGCUAUAUAUUUUAGACUAAUGAAAAUAAAAAAAUAAAUAAUUCAGCAAGAAAGUGAGCUUUUGAAAUAAGAGGGAGAAAGAAUAAAUUAGUUUUUAUUAGGGCAAUGAUGAGAAGAGACUUUCAAGGUUUUGACUAUAUCAGAUAAUUUGUGUUUUUUUUUCUUACUAGUAGCCUUUAUAUGAAGCAUGUAAUACAUUAUAGUAAUAUGUAAGGAUACACUAAAAAAAAUUCUUUAGUACACUAAGAAAAAUAAAAUGUGUGGAAUGCGUAAUUAUGGUAACUAGAAAAAGUAGGAAAAGAAACGAUGUGUUUGUCACUUUAAAUUGCAAUUGAAUGAUUGAAGGUAGUUUAGUCUUUUUAGUGUAAAUGUGGUGGAUUUGAUCUAGCUGUCCAAAAUUUAAUGGGGAAAUUAAAGUUACAAUGAGAUAAUAUUUUCUUUUCCAUAUAGAAAGAAUGUUAGCUCUUAUGCACACUAUUUAUUCCUUCAUCAUGAAUAUACCAAGAUGGUAAAGUACAGAGGUCAUCACUAGAUUUAGAAAAAUUCCGUGUGAUUUCACCAACAAUUGGCUUUUAACAGUGUAUCAUGCGUUAUGGUGGAUCUACGACUCUCGAGGGCGGAAGGCGACUCUAUGCUGAUUUUGCAUUCACAAUUUUGCAAUGACAAAAGAAAAAGAGUAGUCAAUGGAACAAAGGCAACAUGAUCAUUUGGCUUAGCAAAAGCAUAAAGGAAGUCUGGCUCGGACUGAGAAAAGCUAACCCUUUUUAAGUUAAGAAGCAGAACAAAAGCAAUUACAAUAUGCUUUUUUCUAGACUAGAAAUCGAGGAAGAGAUUUCUCACCAAAAACAAAACGGACAAAAAGGAUAAAGUGGAUCCAUUAUACUUCUUUGGAGGUCAUGCCAAAUCGUCUAUUUAUGGAGCCAGACCACUUACAUGUUACAUCAUCUUGUGUUAUUGUAAUUCUAUAUAUGUCUAGAAGGAAAAGGGCAUUAAGACAAGUGUCUAGAUUGGGAUCCCAUGAUUCGUGCAAUGACUUAAUUGCAUAAUUUGAAUUAAAAUACAAUCUAUGAUAACAAAAAUUAGAUACAAUUCUAAAUGAUUUGUGAGCCUAUUCCCUCUCACUUUUUGUUUCUCGAAUUUAGACACCUAUAUGGGAAGCUUAAUUUUUACGUGAAAUUAAUCGUCAGUAUCAAUAAAACAUUUUAAAUUUCUGUGUGUGCGUAUGUGAAGUGAGUGUCUAUACAAUCGCAUAAUAUUAGAUUCAAACUUGGUGUCCACCUUAAAAAUGACAUUAGGACAUGAUCACAUUUUGUGUAUUUGCAUGUGUGAAUAAUCUGCAGAAAUGGAGAAUAAAUCUAGACUGCAUUCAAUGGAGCUAGAGAAAUGUUCAAUGCCUUCGAUUCAUUAGAGACGUCAUCAUCGAUCCACCAGAAAAAAGUAGUUGAUUUAACCGUAAAAUUUUGGGCCUGGCACUUAUAAGAAAGAAAAAUUUGCUCACAAAAAGAAGAAAAAAGAAAUAUAGCCCUUUGGUCGUUACAUGGAUGUUUCUACGAUCUUUCCAAGAGGCAUAUGCAAUUGUUAAAUCACAAAAUAAUGGAUCUCAACUGUGAAAACAAAGCUUUUCAAGUUUUUAAAUUCAGAAAUCACACUCUCUGGCUGGAUUUUAGGUAUGAACGGUUACCUCACUACUAUUAUUCCUGUGGCCGAUUGGGCCAUUACACUGUCUCCUGCCCGUCAGUCCCUUUCGAGGAGAAUAUGAUGACAGACUCUGGGAAAACACCUUAUGGCCCCUGGUUAAAAGCAGAAGUUCAGCAAUACAGCCCUUACUGGAAAGUCUAUUAUGAACAGUCAACUAUGGAAGAGGGGUCGGAGGAAACCGUACCUGAAACGCCUCCUACCAAUGCUCACCCUAUCCCACUUCUACCACCACCCACUCCCAAAGUACCCGCUUCUUCACAGCAGGCUACUUUGAUCAUAUCAAAGGGUUGUAAUGAUAUAGCGGGCUCAACUCCUUUGACGCGUCAUAAUACCAAUACUGCUUUAAUUCCUGCGGAGGAAAAGCUUAAAGGAGUGCAAAUACAGACCUCGGUUCCUCCAGCAAAAAAGGGCAAAAAUGUUCGUUGGAGAGUUAAAAUAGGCCCUGCUAAGAAACCACGACGUUAUAAUCCAUAUGACAUACCUGGAGGGCAACUGGGAACUGAUGAUGAUUCACUCUUGUUGGACACGCCAAUUGUCGAGGCGGCAAACGAUAGUUUGUGGGCGACGGUGGCUGGCCCUAAACAGUCACCUGUUCAAAGAUGAAACUUAUUAGUUGGAACUGUCAGGGUUUGGGCAAUCCCCUGACAGUUCAAGCUUUAAAAGCCCUUUCGGCUAAAGAAAAGCUUGAUUUGUUAUUUUUUAUGGAAACGAAGAAUGGCGAUGAAGUUUUAUCUCACCUGAAUCGUACCUUGCGUUUUUUGAAUCUUAAAGUGUUCAGCCCUGUUGGCUCUACUGGUGGCUUAGCCCUUUUUUGGAAUGAGGGUUUACGGCUGAUGGACAUUACCUCCAAUCCUCAUUUUUUUGACUUUAUUUGCCACGAUAUCUCCGUUGAUAGAUCCAUGCGGAUUACCUGCCUUCACGCACCUGCAGUUUUUCACGAUCGUCAGUAUCUUUGGCAGACUUUGUGACAGUUUAGCAAUUUCAAUGUUUUACCUUGGGUUUGCCUUGGUGAUUUUAAUGAAAUUCUUAAUCGUUGGGAGAAAAUGGGAUCUCGACCUGCUGACUCUUACCGUCUAUCUUCAUUUCGAGAUGUUCUUAAUGACUAUUGCUUGCUGGAUCUCCCUUCUCAUGGCUGUGCCUUUACUUGGUCCAAUAACCGAGAAGGGGAUGCCUUAGUGAAGGAGCGUCUUGAUCGGGCUGUUUGUACUGCUAAAUGGCGUGUCACUUUCCCAAAUGCUCAAGUGCUUGCUCUCCCUACAGUAGGAUCAGAUCACAGUCCACUUGUAUUAGAUACUAAACCCUGUACGGUUCGACGAAAGAGGCAUUUUACCUUUGAAGCUUUCUGGAAUCAGGAUCCUGACUGUAACUCGGUCAUUCAAACCUCCUGGCACUCUGUUUCAAGGCAGCACUCUCCUUUCUCAGCCAAGCUUCGAGCGGUUAUUGCUGCUUUAUCCACUUCGAGUCGAAAGAAAUUCUCACAUAAUCGGCAACAGGCAAUGAAAUUAUAGCACCAGUUAGAACUUAUGACAAAUCAGCAUCCUACUUCAAAGAAUCAAUCAAGGCAACGAAUUUUAAAAACAGAACUUCAGAAAGUAUGGCAGAGGAAGAGCAAUUUUGGGCAAUGUGUUCUCGGAUUAAUUGGUUAAAGUGGGGAGACCGCAAUACCAGAUUCUUUCAUGCCACUACACUUCAAAGAAGACAACGUAAUCAAAUCACAGUAUUGCGAGAUGCACAUCAGCAAUGGGUUCGGGAUCCUGGACAGCUCCAAGAGAUGACUACAAAUUAUUUUUCUCAGCUCUAUACAACUUCAAGCCCUAUAAAUUAUGCACAGAUCUUACAACAGUUCCCUCAGGUGGUUAAUGCAGCAAUGAAUGAAACGCUUCUUGCACAGGUAACAAUGGAAGAAGUAAAAGAGGCUACAUUUCAAUUGGGAGCUUCGAAAGCCCCUGGUCUGGAUGGUUUGAAUGGAAUAUUUUAUCAAUCUCAUUGGGAUGUACUUAAAGUGGAUAUUUAUUGGGUCGUUAAGCAAUUUUUUAAUUUUGGAUCAUUACCGUUAGCUUUAAAUAGAACUGCUAUCACUUUGAUCCCCAAAACCUCAAACCCAGAAAAGCUUGGAUCAGUAUCGUCCUAUUAGCUUGUGCAACUAUGCUUAUAAGAUUUUUUCUAAAGUGCUUGCUAAUAGGCUAAAACCCCUGCUGCCUACUUUAAUUUCUGAGGAACAAAGUGCUUUCGUUGCCGGAAGACAGAUUCAAGAUAAUGUUCUCAUAGUACAGGAAGUCAUUCAUCAGCUUAAGACCAGAAGAAGGAAGCGAAAUUUUCAAGCUAUUCUAAAAUUCGAUAUGCAGAAAGCGUAUGACCGUGUAGAAUGGGAUUUUCUUCAGGACUAUUUACUUCAAUUAGGCUUUCAUUCUCAUUGGGUCCACCUGAUCAUGCAGUGCAUCUCAACAACAACGCUGUGCGUCAAAAUGAAUGGUGAGUACUUGCAAAGUUUUAUACCUACCAGAGGGCUUCGACAGGGAGAUCCUUUAUCCCCUUACUUAUUUAUUCUCAUGGCUAAUCUUUUAUCCUUUCUAAUCCGAAAUGCUGUGGAUAUGGGCUUACUCAAAGGCAUUAAGUUGAAUCAUUGGUGUCCUGCUUUAUCACAUUUAUUCUUUGCUGAUGAUAGUGUGUUCUUUCUUGAUGGUACCUUGUUGGAGUGCCAGAAUCUAUCUAACAUAUUAAACCAGUAUUGUUUGGCUACUGGACAAACUAUCAAUAGAAACAAAUCUGGAAUUUUCUUCAGUCCAUCUUCUCCUAUUUCUCUCCAGCAAAAUUUGGCUAGUGAAUUAAGGGUACCUAUUUUACAGCGAUGUGGUAAGUAUUUAGGGAUACCUACUGAUUGGGGAAGCUCUAAAAGGGAUAUGUUUUCUUGGCUCCUCAGUCGAAUUCAGUCGAAAUUAGAGGGUUGGAAGGAGAAAUUGAUAUCUAAGGGAGGAAAGGAAGUCCUGCUCAAGACUGUGAUUCAAUCAAUUCCGCAAUAUGCCAUGUCUAUUUUUAAAAUUCCCAUUUCAUUAUGCAAAGUUAUAGAACAGCGUAUGGCUAAAUUCUGGUGGAACAAUGAUACAAGCAAGUCUGGCAUUCAUUGGCAGUGUUGGAAAGGACUACAGAAUCGAAAGGAAGUAGGGGGUUUGGGCUUCAGAGAUUUGCUCAGUUUCAAUCAAGCCAUGCUUGGCAAGCAAGCAUGGCGCCUUAUUCAACAACCUUUAUCAUUAUGGGGUAAGUUUUUUAGAGGUUUAUAUUUUCAUUCCUCCACUUUUCUCAAUGCUGUCAAGGGCUCUCGCCCAUCAUGGGGCUGGCAGAGUCUCUUGAGUGGGAGGGAAGCCAUCUUAACCAACAUUCGUUGGUCAGUCGGGGAUGGAAAAUGCAUCAACAUUAGACAAGACAGAUGGCUUCCUAUGGGCAUUCUAGAUGGACCAAAGACCCAAGAAGAACCCCUUCUAGUAGCUGAUCUUAUUGAUCAGUCUACCAGCACAUGGAAGAUAGAAUUACUGCAUAAAUUUUUCGACUUGCCUAUCAUUCAACAAAUCACAGACAUUCAGAUCAGACCUUCAUUCGCCAAAGAUGCACUCAUAUGGACAGCCACUAAUCAAGGAAUAUUUACGGCCAAAUCAGCAUAUCAUCAAAUCAUGAAGACUAAAUCAGGUAUUCCACAACUGGUGCUUCUACAUCGUAUCAAAUUCCUACCUAGCUUUGGCGCAAUCUAUGGAAGAUGCCUGCAGCUCCUAGAUCCGCAUCUUUCUCUGGUCCAUAUGCAGCAACUCCUUAGCAACGAGAGAUAACCUGCAUCGAAGGCAUAUUAUAGAAAGUCCUUGUUGCUUAUUAUGCAAAAAAUAGAUUCCAGAAACUUUAGAACAUUUGUUCUUACUCUGUUCGUGGACUAAUCGGGUGUGGUCACACUCUUAGAUCGGGAUCUCUGUCAACCCCAACAAUAUACAACGUUUGGACUCAUGGAUUGUGGCUACAGUAGGGAAUGGCAAUCGAUUACCUCGACUGGCACUUAUCUCCAAUGUACUGUGGCAGAUCUGGUGAGCUCGGAAUGGUUUCCUUUUCCAGGGAACUUUUCCCAAUCCGAUCCUGGUCGCAGAAGCAGCAUUGACUCAUUCCCAGGUCGAUCGCUUGUCUUCGCCCUCCUGCACACAAAAGGAUCGCUUGGUUAACCAUAAGGAAAAUCUCUGGCGUCCACCAGAUCCUGGGGUUCUCAAGGUGAAUAUUGACGGAUCUUUUCAACAGGGUAGCAAUCACGGCAACAUAGCUUGUAUUUGUAGGGAUUACCAGGGUCGACUCACCGAUGGAUUCUCCAAAGCAUCGCUGUGUCCUUAGCUAUGCAGGUCGAGAUCCAAGCCCUUUCCUUGACGCUUCGGCAUCUUCUCGAUCAGGGUCUCCAGAGUGCAAAGCUUCUGGUGGAAUAUGAUAAUCUCACCCUGGUGGAAACGCUGAAUCGUCGGACACAACCGCCAUGGACGGAUCGCGCUCUCUUCUCUAAGGCAGCAUUCCUGUUAACCCUCUUCUCCAAUCUCUCGCUAGGGUUCUAUCGAAGGGAGGCAAACACGGCAGCCGACUGGGCCUGUAAGGCUCAUAACCGAACUCCUUUGAAUUGUAAUUGGGCUCUUCUUCCGCCCUUUCCUCUUAUGAACUUGCUAUGCGCGGACACUAUAGCAGCUGGAUGUAUGGAUUGCUCGUAUUAAUAUAUGUUUUGGAGUUUUAACGACCAAAAAAAAAAGUUUUUAAAAAUUGCUACAAUUUGCAUUAUGACAGGUAUCGAUUGAUCCUCUAAUCAUAAAAUGGAAAUAGUUGCAUGGUUCGUGGUCUGUAAAAUAAAUGUGAUUACAUCCAUUGAUGUUUGGGCGUUCCAUGUAUAAUAUAUGUCAUAAUCAAUUUUGUGAUAAACCUGUUUUAUGUGGAUCCGAGUACUGGCAAGCUAACCCAAUGAAGCCAACAUGAGUUAGGAGAGAGAAUGAACUUCCUUAAGAAAAAAAUAUGAACUUGAGUUCUCUUUGCUUAUAAUAUACGCAAGUCUAUCCCCAAGUUUUUGUCCAGCCCUCUUGUGAAAGCAAAAGCAAAAGCAAAAAAGCACUGAAGUACGUUUGUCUAGUCAAUUCAUUUGCACAUACCCAAAUUCCACGUUAAACAGACUUGUUUGUUCGUGUGGUCGCACACAUGCGUGUUUUGCAAUUUCAGGACCGAGACCUGGAAAAUACCAAGAAACUCAGAAUGAUAUCAUCAAAAAGCAUAAAGACCCUCCUUCAAGAUUAAAAAUGUUUCGAAAAUCUCAACUUUGUUGACCUCCUUGUGGAAGAGGAACUGUACUUUCUUCGCAAUUUCCACCAAAGAAUCGGCUAGGACUCUUUUAGCUCAAUGAAAGGGAUCUAUUUUGUACAUGUAAUUUGCAAGGCAAAACUCAAAUUGCGUAAAAGACUAGAAUUAGCAUGGACCUAAAAUUAAAGAAUAUAGAAAACUUUAAUCAAUAUCUUUCAAUUUUUUGAACCAUUAGGUGAAAUCCAAGUACAUAGACUUCGAAGGAGGUCAGCCAACUAAAAUUGCCCAAUCUAUUAUGUAGAGUAAAACUGAAGUUGAAAGAGUGGUUGCUCCUAUACUGGUCACGCGACACUUCUGUAUAGCUCAAUACUUAUGACAUGAUGUGAUAUGACACUUGGUAUUGUGCUGCCAUGUGGUCCAAUGACCUUACAAAUUAUUUCUAUGUCAUCUUGUAAUUCAUGUGUUAUUUUCUAGUGCUAUUUAUAGAUAACAUCAACAUUUAAUCAUCUUCAAAUACUAGAAAAAAUGAUUAUAUCUACAAGUAGGCUUAGGCAAAACAAUUGAUUUAAACUUAGCCGAAAUGAUUGAAUUAAAUAACGAAAGGAAUGGAAAUGUGUUUUAUAAGUAGUACAUACUCCAAUAAUUGUCCUCUUCCACGGAGCGUCCACUUUUUUUUUUUUUUUUGCUUCAAAAAUCUUGAAAAUUAAUGUUACACUUUUUUUUUAACAAAACUUGAUCGAACUUGGCCCAGCAUAACUUUUCUGUAUAAUGUACAAUUGAAGCCAUUUUCCCCCCACGGAAAGCCGGUGACUUCAAUUUUGCUAAAAUGCAAUUCACCUCAGAUUAUGGCAUUUGGAUGGUUGGGUCGGAUAGAUGAACUUGGCAAAAAGUGAUGGUAUUUUCGUAAUAAAAAUUCCGAUCUUUGUGAUUUUUGUGGUGUUGGAAAGCUUAUCAUUUAAUUUUAAGAUGAAAUCAAUCGAUUGGAUAAUAUCAUAAAGUUUCCAACACCUCAUGAUCAGACAGCUGUGUUAGAAAAACUUGACAUCUUAAGAUCCAGUGAUUCAAUUUGGGCAAAUUGGGUAUCUUCAAAAAGCUUUUGACAAGUACAACUCAAUUAUACCCUUUGACUGAACUUUUAACGAGGUUGGCCUCUCGGUCGACUUUGCUAUGGCAUUGGAGGGUCGCUUGUGUCUUUAGUGACCUUCCGCAUGUGUUCAAUGAUGCAAUGGAGGCUCUGUCCACCAGUGAUUAUCUAUGGAGCAAUCGAGCUUCGUCAUUUCUAUUCCUUAUUUGAUGAAGUUAGCCAACAAGGAGAAUGAUCAUUUUACAGUCCAUUCGUCAUUGCCGAAAUAAUAUUUUCUGGAGUUCUACUAUUCUUUUGGUCUUUACUAUGUUGGAUCCAAAUUGAACGUGAAAGAGCUCGGACUUCUGCUUCUAACAUAUUAAGAAAACUUUGGCCUUGAUGAAUUUUGUUAUGUCCGACAAAUCUUGGCAACGGCGAGGACUUGGCUACAUAAUCUGUAUGGUAAGUAUUUUCCUUGAUAUGAUAAGCAAUUGGCCAUAGACAAAGAUGCCAACCUCAUCUAGCAAACUAUCCACAAACAUCUAGGACCUAAUAUGCCCAAAUAAAAAAGCACCUUUGAGCUCUCAGAGCACAUCAGCGGGGCAACAAAAGAUUAUUAAUUAUUCUUUAUUAAUGAAUCUCAUUCUUUCUCAACUACAUGGACUUUACACUUUUUUUAUAGCCGUGUCUUCCUCCUAUCUUAUCUCUCGCUCGGCACAGAGCUACGUACCGUAAGCUCGUAACUAAGUAGGGGAUUAAAUUGGGUCGAAUGUUCUUGAUCAGUCAGACCAGUCAUCCUCAACUAGCGUGCACCCUUUCUCGGGUUCAAAGGGACUCCCCGUCGUCAAGAUCUAGCUAGGAACAAAGGUUCUCUCUCAUUUCGAAGCUGCAAAAACGCUCAUUUCGUUUCAUGCUUGUAUAGCCAAAGCAAAAAGUAAAGAGCCUACGUAAUGACCCCGUUUCAGACACGUGGAAUACAAAGGCUGAAAUUAUUUGGGGCCCACAAGCGUACCUAUCCCACGUCGGGACGUGAAAGUCCAAAAUUACCCCCCGCACGCAGGAAAUGGGAAAUAUUAAGAGCCUUUUUUAUAUAUUUACGGAUGAAGAGAGAAGGGGGAAAAUAAGCAUUUUAGAAAUGUGACUGCCAUGUCAACUGGUUAUAUUUGAACAUCUUGACCAAAUUGGUCUUGAUGGGUUAUCAACACUGUGAGCCUCCGUUACAUCCCACUCGAUGCGAAGGAGUAUAAGAAGAAGGGUGCUUUGGUCAUGUGCCAAUUUCAAGAUUCAAAACAUCACAAUUUCAGCAUAGGGUUGUCCGGCCGAGUAGCAACUACAUCUAAACCCUUCUCGGUAUCAGGAAUAUAGCUAAUGAAUUAAUUACACAAUAAAAUCCAAAUGAAUUAUGAUGCUUAGCAUGAUAUAAGAAAUGACCCAUUAUGAUAUGAUAAUCUCUCUUUCAAUAGAUCUUGAAGUUAUCUAAUCAUGAAAAUUAUUGACUAGUUUUCAUGUUUCAAUUUGAAAGCAUUAAAGGGAAAAGGAUGGCUUUUUAAAGUCCUACCAAAUAAUUUAUUUUUAAUAAUUGAGAAUAGAAAUCAAUAGUCCGAGAAAUUUUCCUUAAUGAAACGAACCAUUGUUUCUUCAUGUUCUUCUCUCCUCCCUUGGCCCCUUCUCCUUCUCCAUUGACGUCGCUUCAGUGCAAGCUUCGACAGCCUUUGGCAGCUUUCUAGCUCAAGGAAGGCGGCCAAUACAUGAUUCAUGAAAUCUUUAAAAAGGGAAACAUUCGAUCAAAUUUCAAUUUGUUGAGUUCUUUCACCCCAUGGUCCAUAUGCUCGUAAAACCAGAGUCCUAUAGUUUAUCAUCUCUCGAAUUGUUGAUAUGAAUGCCAAGUACCAGAAUAUGACUCCACACUUUAUUUAUAUCAUGACCAUGUAGAAGCCACAACAAAACUAUUGGACAUUUGCCGGAAACCAUGAAAUGAGUGGAAUCGGUAGACCAAUUCUGCCAAUGUUAUUUUGAACAAGUUGUCUUUAGUUUUAAGGUGUAGUUUCCUCAAACCAUCCCAACAUGAUGGUCUCGUAUACUUGCAAAAAUGAUUGUUAUUAAGUCUUGACUUAAGAUUAACCAACUUGAUCAAAAAAUACUUUGUAACAGAAGAGUCCUCAUUACAUGAAGCACCAUUGCCCACAAGGACCAUGAGAAUGAUUCCUUGAAAGCAAGAUGAAUUUCAGCUCAAAACUUGAUAAAACUUAAACUCAAUUUGAACUUAACCUUCACGCGACUUCAUCUACCAAGCAUGAACUCCCAAAAAGUUGCUGAGAGAUGGGGCAAAUAUCCUCGAGUCUCGCACCAAAGUUCCCGCGGAACAGCUAUGCACCACCCUUUUUUCCUCACUUUUUUGAAUGGGUGGAAUCCACGUGGCAAACUUAGAGUCGUUAACUUUUCUUUUAUAAAGAAGAGUAGUCGGCCACUUGAAAAUUUUGCAAUUUGGUCUGUCGGGGGAUCCAAUUUUUUGAGGGCUUUUUAAAUAUUUGUCCGGUCGACUUGAUCUCAGAUGCGUAGGCAAUCUUUCGUAUCUUUGGUUUGAUUUACUGGGCGAUGAGAAGAGUGAGCCGAGGNNNNNNNNNNNNNNNNNNNNNNNNNNNNNNNNNNNNNNNNNNNNNNNNNNNNNNNNNNNNNNNNNNNNNNNNNNNNNNNNNNNNNNNNNNNNNNNNNNNNAGAUAAGGAAAAAAAAAGAGAGAAAGGAAAAUACUUAUUUGUAAAAUUGUUUCUUCAAAUAAGAAGUUUUUUUUUUUAUUUCUUAUUUUUGUUUCAAAUCUAUCUCUGGCUACUAUUCUAUUCUGGGGAUUUAAAAAAUUAGUUGACAUUACCAAAUGGAUUUCUAUUAUUAUUUUGUUCCGGAAAACAAAAGAGUAAAAGACUAGAGAAAUUGGCAAGUUACCAUGCACACCCCCAAGGAACCAUAGAAGGGAAAUACUUGCAUGGUUCAUGGUCUAUGGACCAUAUGCAAUCACAUCCAUUGAUUUUUGUAAUUUAUACAACUAAUGAUCUUCAUAUUUGAGUUAGGAGAGAGAAUGAACUUCCUUGAGAAAUAGAAAUGAACCUGCCUUUUCUCUUUGCUUAUGAUGUACACAAGUCAAUCUUCAAGUCUUUGUCCAACCCUCUUGUGAAGGCAGGAGAAAGCACCGAAGUAUGUCUUGUCUAGUCAAUUGACUCGUUAUGCAUUGGUCUGCACAUGGUCAAAUUGCGCGUCAAAUAGGCUAGUAAUUCGUGUGUUCACACAAGUACACACAAAGAUGUCAACACUUACAAGUUCUGUUUGGAAAUUGGCAACCCACUCGCAAUACUAGCAAAGCGCGUUUUGAAAUUUCGGCCCUGGAAAGUACCAGGAAACUCAGGUUGAUAUUAUAAAAGAAAAUCAUACAGUUCACACCUCUGAGAAUAAAAUAUUUAAAAUAUCUCAACUUUGUUGGAAUCAUCGUGAAGGAGGAACCACAUUUUCUUCGCAAUUUCCAUUAGAAAAACAACGUCAAAUUAAGCGGACAUGAAUCCAAUGCCAAAUCAAGCAGUAAACAAACAAUAGAGACGAAUCAGACAAAAUCAGCAUUUGAUUUGAAUAUCAGCAUCGGUGUACAAUUUCAAUCAGCUGAGCAAUUUCAUUUUGUCAUCGUUCAAUCUAGCAUUGAAGUGCAAUCAUAACAUGCAAUCCUAGUCUAUUUUCAGCUUCAUGUAACUUUAUGGCAAUAGCAAAUAAUAUCGAGUAUGAAUGGCUUUAUGAAGGAAGGCUGCAGGUGGCUUCCAGGCAAAUGGCGCAUAGUACCAAAGUAAUAGCAAGCGGAACUCAUUUUAACUUGUCCAGAUACAUCCAACAUCUAACCGUUCAGCAACACGCAACUUAUACUUCCGACGCCACCUCCUCCCCUUCGACGACUUUCAUCAACUUAGCCUGAAUGCUUUUGUUUGCUUAUGAAGGAAGGUCGCUGGUGCAUUACAGUGCCUGUUACUCUAGACACAACUCGCCCGGUCUCUACUCUGUGAACAACCAAUUAUACUUUCGAUUGGUAUUGCAGGUAUAAGGAAGGCAGCACACGAUUGAUAAAGUUGGAUUAUGGGUGCGUUUAUUUUACGAAAAAUGAAUAAUUUAAAAAUAUUUUUUUAAAAAGAUUGUUUAUAUCGCUCAUAUAUAAUUAGUCAAUGAAAAAUAUUUCCNNNNNNNNNNNNNNNNNNNNNNNNNNNNNNNNNNNNNNNNNNNNNNNNNNNNNNNNNNNNNNNNNNNNNNNNNNNNNNNNNNNNNNNNNNNNNNNNNNNNNNNNNNNNNNNNNNNNNNNNNNNNNNNNNNNNNNNNNNNNNNNNNNNNNNNNNNNNNNNNNNNNNNNNNNNNNNNNNNNNNNNNNNNNNNNNNNNNNNNNNNNNNNNNNNNNNNNNNNNNNNNNNNNNNNNNNNNNNNNNNNNNNNNNNNNNNNNNNNNNNNNNNNNNNNNNNNNNNNNNNNNNNNNNNNNNNNNNNNNNNNNNNNNNNNCAAACCAAUUGAAAUCAUCUCUUUUAUAAAUCAUACUACAUAAAUCAUCUAAUGUUAUUACAAUUCCAUGUAUGUCUAAAUGAUAAAGUACUAAGAAAAGCAUCUUGAUUGGGAUCCAAUGAUUUACACCAUGAUCGAAUUGCCCAGUUCGAAUUAGAAACAAAUCCAGGGGCUUUUGUCUUUGCUUAGAACAUACGCAAGUUCAUCGUCAAGUCUUUGUCCAACCUGCUUGUUAAGGCAAUGAAAAAGCACUAAAGUACGUUUAUCUAGUCAAUUUGCUUAGCAUGCGCUGGUAUACACACAUCCAAAUUUCACAUCAAAUAGACUUGGCAACUCACCCACAAGACCGGCACAACGUGUUUGGCCCAGGGAAAAUACCAGGAAACAUGGGUCGAUCAUUAAAAAAAGAAAAGAAAAAGAAAAGCAUAAAGAUACUCAUUCGAGAAUAAAAUGUUUCAAAAAUCUCAACUUCGUUCGCAUCAUUGUCAAGGAGGAACCAUAUUAUCUUUGCACUUUCCAUCAAAAAUCAGCUAAAUUCAGUGAGGACUCUUUUGCUCAUUGAAAGUGAUUUAUUUUGUAAACAUAGUUUGCAAAGCAAAACUCAAAUUGCGUGAAAGAUUAAAAUGAGCAUCGACUUGAAAUUAAAGAAUAUAGAAAACUUUAACAAUGUCUUCUAAAUUUUUGAAUAAUUAAGUCCAUUUAAAGUGUGGAAACUUCUAAGUAGGUUGGCCAACUAAAAUUGCAAAGUAAAAAAUCUAGGAAGGGCACGUUUUGGAAAUUUUUUUGGAGUCCGUUCACGGGGUCUGAAUAUUAAGUAUGAAUCAUAGUUAAUAUUUUGUGAUCUAUACUCAAAUACACCCCUUGCCUAUGGCAGUGAGGGCCAGGACCCUCACUUGUGGUGGGGAUCUUAUGAUCUAUGUCCAAAUUGUAAAACUAUAAGAUAGCAAAGCAUAUUGGCUGGUCUCUUAAAAUAUGUUUUCCAAGGCAUCCCGCUCAACUACUUCUCCAGUAUGCUGCUUAGCUCAUGGGGUUGAGAAUAUAAUGUUCUNNNNNNNNNNNNNNNNNNNNNNNNNNNNNNNNNNNNNNNNNNNNNNNNNNNNNNNNNNNNNNNNNNNNNNNNNNNNNNNNNNNNNNNNNNNNNNNNNNNNNNNNNNNNNNNNNNNNNNNNNNNNNNNNNNNNNNNNNNNNNNNNNNNNNNNNNNNNNAACACCUCAUAAUGGGGUUACAUGUGUCUGCCUAGCCAUAGGCUAAACUCUCUUGGUGAUUCAUGAAAUGCUUGAUUCAAUGGUAAUAUUUUGUUCAUAAUGCAAAGAUGUGCAAUCAUCAAAUUUCAUAUCGUAAGUCAACAUUCAGAAAUUCAAUCAAUGACAUUCAAUCACUGGAUGUCGAAUUUUUCAAACAAAAAAAUGGAGUCGGUAUUAUCUAAAAGUCGUUUCUUUAUAGUAUUUGAGAGUAAUUAUUUGAAAAUUAUCACAUAGAGCCUCGGUUCACACAUCGAUGAUGUUUGAGGACUCGUCUUGGACCAUUUGCCUUAGCCGCCCAUUUGGUGCGAAUCUAGAAGGGUCUUUUUAACUCAUCGAGGAAGGCCGCCGGUAACUUCCAGACAAAUGGAACAAAAUAUCCUAGUAAUGGCUAGUGAAAUGCGUCCAAACAUUCAAAGAACAUGCAAUCAUGUAAUAUAAUUCCGAGACGACCUCUUCGUCUUCGAAGACUUACACCAAUUAUUUCCUCAAACUUAGCUUUCUAUUUGGUGCUGAGUCUGAAUGGUGUUUUUUUUUUUUUUAAUUAACUGAUGAAGGAAGGCCCCAGGAAACUUCCAGGCAAGUGGCACACGAUAACAAAGGAAUGGCAAGUGGAAAAUAUAUACUAAGUUGUCCAAUACGUCCAACAUCUAACUGAACAAAAUAAGAGAAACCUUCUGGCUAAAAAAUAAAAAUAAAAACUUGAUUAAUAUCCCGAGCCUCUUAAGCAGAGUAUAAAUGAGCUCGUUUUCUUUCUGUUCAUGAAUAAAAUUGUAAUUGAAAUAUUUAAGAUUGUGCUAACACGAAGCACAAAAAAUUGGCUUUUUACUGAUGCAUAAUGCUAGUAGGUGGAAUAAAAGCAAGAAUUAAUUGAUCAUGCCAAUUAACGCGAAUCUAGAUCGAACGUAAGAAGAUAUGCUUUGUUUGGCUUAGCAGAAUGGAAGUUUGGCUCCAGCUGAGAAAAGUUAAUCCUUUUUUAAUUUAAUUAGCAUAACAAAAGCAAUUGAAAUAUGCUUUUUCUAGCCUAGAAAUAAAGGAAGAGAUUCCUCAUUCCAAAAACAAAAUAGACAAAAAGAUCAAAGGGGAUCAUCGAUUAUGCUUCCUUUGUGGUCACGCUAAAUUUGAGUGGACCUAACGGGCCAAUUGAAAUAAUAUCUAUUAUGAAUUGUACUGCAUAAAUCAUCUUAUGUUAUUAUAAUCUUAUGAAUGUCUAACUGAAAAUGCACUAGCAAAAGCAUCUCAAUUGGCAUCCCGUGAUUCACGUCAUGAUUGAAUUGCAUAGUUCGAAUUGGAAACAAAUCUGUGGCCUUUCGUCUUUUCUUAGAACAUAAGUAGGUCCAUCAUCAAGUCUUUGUCCGACCCUCUUGUGAAGGCAAAGAAAAAGCACUAAAGUGUAUUUAUCUAGUCAAUUCACUUAGUAUGUGUUGGUCUACAUAUAGCCAAAUUCCACAUCAAGUAGACUUGUGUUGGUUGACUCGUUUUCCUUGACAAUCUAAACGCCAGAUAAAUCGGAAAAUAUAAUAUCGGAAAUAUGUUUUCCACGAAACAUAUUUGGAGAAUGGCAACCCACUAGCAAGAACAGCAAAGCGUGUUUAGAAACCAGCAAGCUUGGGUUGAUAUCAUCAAAAAAUCUUAAAAGUCACACCUUCGAGAUUAAAAUGUUUGAAAAAUUUCAACUUUAUUGGAGUCAUUGUGAAAGAGGAGCCACAUUUUCUUCGCAAUUUCCAUAUAAAACGUCCAAUUAAGCAGACAUGAAUCCAAUGCGAAAUCAAUUAAUAAACAAGCGACAGGGAUGAAUCAAAUCCCGAUAGAAUCUACAUUUGAUUGUAGUAUCAGCAUGCAAUUUUAUUUAGUGAGUAAUUUCAGUCGGCGAGGAAUUUCAUUUUGUCAUUGUUCAAUCUAGUAUCGUAGUGCAAUCAUAACGUGCAAUCUUAGUCUAUAUUCAUUUUCAUGUAACUUUAUCACAAUAGCAAAUAAUUUUGAAGUUACCAUGCAAUCGCUAGUCAGCAUAUGAUUUUAUAGCAGCCCAAAAUUUUCAAGACAAAUGUGUAUGUUCAUAGGAUCGUUAUAAGGGAUUUUGGAAGUCUUACACAACUACAACUAUUGUAUAAAAAUUCAAUCCGAUUAAUUACUUGUUUUACGUCAAGCAACUUGAAUUAGUGUCCUGGACAAAGUAACACAGUAAUGGCGAGAGUAGCACGUGAUUGUUCCUCCUAAGACUUUCAUUAAUUAUUUCUUCAACUAGUUGGUGCGAGUCUGAUUUUUUUUUUCCUUUUCUUUUUUUAUAUACAUGAAGGAAGGCCGCAGGUGACUUCCAGGCAAAUGGAGCUUAGUAACAAUGUAAUAAUAAAAUAUAUUUCUGAGAUCACGUCCGACGACGGAUGACUUCCAUCCAUUCUUUCCUCAACUUGGCCUCCUAUUUAGUGCGAUCCGUAUGGCCCUUCUUUUAAGCUUAUGAAGGAAGGCUGCAAGUGACUUCCAGGCAAAGGAUUAUUUCCUCAACCGAGCGAUCUCACUCUGUUUGCGUGGGGGCUUUUAGGCAAAGGAGCAAACUGGACAAGGUAAGGCAAGUUUCAUUAGAUGUUCGUGUUUUACAAAGGAUAGAGGGGAAGAGCUUCAUUUUUUAGUUGGUCUGUUAUACUUGUUUCCGAGACCAAACAGACUUGCCUCUUCAUAGGUUCGUUUCCACUGCCGUUCUUCAGUUAAUUUCUCUGAAUAUUAUCUCUGCUUGUUCUUUUUGCAUGCUGAACAUUAUUUUUAACUAUCGCAACUCAAGCUAGAGAACACCAACUACAACUACCAACUAGAGACUUGAAUCUUAGAGAAGUCCAGCAUUUUGUGGAGAUUUGAUCAAGACGUCCACAGCUUUAUCAAGUUGUUUCAAGGAUCAGACUCAGACUUCCGAGUCACCCAGCGGACUAGAUUAAGAGAUCAAUCACUUCAUCGUCCUCCCAGAAUGAAUAGAAAGAGUGAGGCAGAAGAGAUGGCGGUGCCUGCAGUGAUGGCGAUGGAGGCGGUGACAACAGCUCCGGCAAGUGGUAGCCAUGAUGGUGGAUCGGAGAGGGGGCUGAUGGCGGUGGCGAUGGCAGCACUGGCAAGCAGUAGCCAUGACGGCGAAUUGGGGAGAGGCUAUGAGGUAUUCUUGAGCUUUAGAGGGCCCGACACCCGCUUAACCAUCGCUGAUUUUCUCUACGAAGCCAUUAAACAUGCAGGGAUCCGCGUUUUCAAAGAUGACGAAGAGCUCCGAGUCGGUAAAGAGAUAGANNNNNNNNNNNNNNNNNNNNNNNNNNNNNNNNNNNNNNNNNNNNNNNNNNNNNNNNNNNNNNNNNNNNNNNNNNNNNNNNNNNNNNNNNNNNNNNNNNNNNNNNNNNNNNNNNNNNNNNNNNNNNNNNNNNNNNNNNNNNNNNNNNNNNNNNNNNNNNNNNNNNNNNNNNNNNNNNNNNNNNNNNNNNNNNNNNNNNNNNNNNCCUCCAAAAGCACCAGAAAGACUCCGGGAAGGAUACGGCAAAGCAGUGGGAGGAGCGAUUUAAAAGAGGUUGUCAGAAUUAAAGGAUGGAAUCUAAAAGAUUACGGGUACUGUUAGCUCUCUGUUAAGUUUAUUUCCAUUUUGUCAAUUUCGAGAUUAUUUUCUAUGGUACUUUUUUCCAGAAUAAUAACUUUCAGUUUGCUGCUGUUCAAUCUUCUUUGAUGUAUGGUUGGAUCGGACGCAGUGAGGGAGCGAGAAAUUUUGCUCUGGGAGCAAGGUUUCUUGCACAAAUUGAUUUUUCACUUUUAAUCCCAAGUUAUGGUAACAAUAAUGCACAUAUGUGUGAAAAAGAAAAUUUUAAAUCUCUUAACUUCCCAGCUUAUUUUUCGGCUAGCAAAAUAUUUCAAAAAAAUUUUGGUCGUUGCUCUUGCUUUAAACAUGGACCUAUUCACGGCCCCAAACCUUAUUUAGGGCACCACGGGGUGAAGAUUUCCUUUGCCUUGUGACCAUCCUAGUUUUAAAGUUCUCAACUUUUAUAUGAAACUACCAACCUUAAUUUGUGUCUUGCCAACUUCUUUUCGAUUAUUUUACAAACUAAUUUUGGGUUACCGGUGUUUAUUUGAGUCAUUUACUAGGUUUUAUUUGAUCGUUUGCUGACUAACAACUUUUUAUAAAACCUACCAUCUCUUAUUUGAAUUGUGUACUUCACAUUUCAAAAUUACCAAUAUUUGAAACAAAUUACUAACCCUAAUAUGAGUUUCAUACAAACUAAUCUCUAAUUAAGUUAAGAACUAAUUUAAGUUACCUACUCUUAUGUGAGCCACUUAUCAAUAUUUAAUUUUUGCUUAAAAAUUCCCAACUUUCGUAACAAAAUUUUGUUAACAACUGACCCCCUUUUAUUAGCAUAGUUCACGAACAUUCUUACAUUAGGAACUCUAUUAUCAAGUUACCAAGUAUAAUCUGAGUAACUUACCAACUUAUUCCGAUUAAAUACUAACAAAUUUAAUGUGAGUGAUGAGAUUGCUAACUUAAACUAGUUGGUAGAUUAUUCGGAAAAAUGAUGGUUGCAUGUUAUGUAUGUGGCAGCCAAUAUAAACUUACAAAGCUCAUGGUGGAAGAGGUUUCAAAUUUGCUAUGGACAAGACGAACGGACAUGUCAAAUCAUUUGGUGGGAAUUAAAGAUCGAAUGGAUGACAUUAUGAAGCUGCUAGAUCUAGGAGCUUUUGAUGUACGGUUUAUUGUGAUUCACGGUAUGGGUGGCAUCGGAAAGACAACACUAGCCGAGGCCGUCUUCAGGCAAAUCUACCCUCAAUUUUUGGGUAAUUGCUGCUUUCUUAAAGAUGUUCAAACUCAUGAUAUAAUAGGCUUACAAAAGAAAUUGAUGUUUGACGUUCUCAAUCUUAGUUGCACAAACCCCUUCUUCAUUGAUGAAGGAGCUGACAUGAUCAAGACAAGGUUUCUUGGCAAGAAAGUCCUCAUUGUUCUCGAUGACAUUGACAAUUGGGACCAAAUCAUGAGGCUUGCAGGUGAGACCAACUGGUUUGGUGGGGGUAGUAGAAUCAUCAUAACAACAAGGAAUAUUGAAUUCUUGGUAAAGGAAGGUGAGGAUGACAAUCUCCCAAUCCCUAAUAGCGGACAAUUUUCAUUCUACGAUAUGCCGGAGAUGAAUUCACAUUAUGCUCUUGAACUUUUCUGUGAGCAUGCCUUGGGAUGUGCCAAGCCUCCGCUUAGUUACAUGGAUAUCACAGAAAAGCUAAUCAAUGCACUAGGAGGACUUCCAUUGGCUCUCAAUGUCGUAGGUUCCAUGCUCCGUGGAAAAUGCCCAAGUACAUGGGAAAACGCCCUAUGUAAGUUAAAGAAGGUGAUGAAUGAGGAUGUCAAGAAGAAGUUGAUGAUAAGCUAUGAUGCAUUGGAUCAUAAUCAACAACAAAUUUAUCUUGAUAUUGCAUGUUUCUUCAUCAACGAAAAGAAAACAAUUGCAGUUAAAUAUUGGGAUGCGAUUUUUGGGUAUUCGACCGAAAUCGAGGUCAAUAUCCUCAAACGCAUGUCUUUGAUAAAAAUAUCGAACAACAAUAAACUAUGGAUGCACGACCAACUUAGAGACCUUGGAAGGAGUAUCGUCCAUCCAGAAAGUGGCGAAAUCCAUAUGAAGGGUACAAGAUUGUGGUCUCCCAAGGAUGCCUUUCAUAUAGUGCGGACAGAAACGGUAAUCUUUACCUCUAAAAUUUUUCUAGUGCAUCUAUUAGCAUCAUCACCUUUUUAAUCUAAUUUCAACUCAAACUAACAUAUGUUUUCAUUGGUUGCUACUUUUAUUUUCCAGGGAACCAAGGACGUAGUGGCGCUCAAUCUUGGUACACUUGACCCCCAUAAGACAUACAUAUUUAAGCACAAGCAAUUCAUGGGCUUGGUCAACCUUAGAUUCCUUCAAUUGAACCAUGGAAAUUUUGAAGGAGACUUUAAGAAUGUUUUCUUCGAGUUGAGAUGGCUCUCUUGGAGCAAUUGCCCUUCGAAAUUCCGAGCUACCAACUUUGGGUUGAAGAACCUAACGAUUCUCAUGCUAUCUGGGAAUAAUGUUACUGAAGAUUGGGGAGGAUGGUGUCAAAUCAUGGUAUGAUCUCACAACAUGCUUUUGCAUUACAUUUACUCUUCCUUUUGCAUUACAUUUACUCUUCCUCUUUUCUAAGUUUCAACCAAUUACUUUAUAGGUGGCGGAACAAUUGAAAAUCCUACAACUCGAGGACUGUCCAUUCCUUAGAAAGAUGCCCAAGUUCUCCACAAUCUCGCAGCUAGAGAAAUUGAUUCUUAGAUGCGUUCGACUAAGAAAGAUUGACAAGUCCAUCAGCAAUCUACAACAUCUUGAUUACCUAGAGAUAAAGAGUGAAGCUAUUGAGUUGCCAUCGGAGUCCAUCGGCGGUCUAAAAUCUUUGACAGUGCUAAGAAUAGAACGGCCACCCUCAAGGAAGCCUCACUCGAUUGGCAUUUUAGCAAAGGUGAAGUCUCUAAUCUUGCCAUGCAAGGAACUUCAAAAGCUUCCCGACUCUAUCGGACAAUUGGAGUCACUACUUGAGCUAGAUGUCCAAUAUUUAAAAAUUAGUGAAUUACCUCAUUCUAUUGGAAAUCUUGAAAGGUUAAAAGUUUUACGCAUAUGGAAUUCCUAUCUAGAAAAGCUACCAGACUCGAUUGGAAGGCUCCAAUCAUUGGUCAAGUUGGAUUUGAGCAAGUCAAGAAUUGGGAGCUUACCUGAUUGUAUUGGAAAUCUCAAAAAGUUGAAGGUACUAAAUCUCAAUGAUAGUUGCAUAAGUGAACUUCCGAAAACCAUAGGAAUGUUGGAAAAUCUGGAAAAGUUAAAUGCCCGCUCUAAACAUCUAGUGGGGGAAAUUCCAAGUGAAAUUGGGGCACUAACCUCAUUGAAAUAUCUAGACUUAUGCCAAGGUCGCUUUAGUGGAUUGCCCACAACGAUCAAUCAACUUACAAAUCUCCAACAACUUGAUUUACAGUACUGUAAUUCAAUCCAACAGCUGCCGGAGCUUCCCAAGAGUCUAAUGUUUUUAACCCUAACAUCGGAUUCACUAACCACGAUCCCCGACUGCUCAAACCUAACCAAUUUAGUUGACGUUACGAUAACUGGAUAUUCAAUUGAAGAACCCAACACAGAGGGGAUCGUGAGACUACCUGCUCUAAAAGCACUGAUCCUCCGCAUUGGAAGAAUGGCCUUGCCUCCAACUGAUUUUAGUUCCCUCUCUCAGCUACAACACCUCUCCAUAAAUUGUGCUGAGCCCCAAUCUCUUAUCGGGCUCCCAUCCAGCCUUCAAUAUUUGUUGUUAUGCAAUGUCCAGUCACCGAUAGAUUGGUCAGUCUUUUCCAACUUGGAGAAUUUGUCAAAUCUGCAUAUUGGUGGAUAUUCGCCGGGAGAGAUUCGAUUCGAGGUGCUUGGAGAGCUACGGAAAUUCAAUAAAUUGUUGAUGUCCAAUUGUCCAUUGCUCAAGACGCUGCCCCUUCUACCUGGUCUGAAGGAGAUCCAGAGUUUGACCCUAGUUCUAUUCCCUCGGCUAAUUGAGAUUCAAGGUUUGGGAGAAUUGAAAUCAUUGCAGGAUUUGCAUAUCUUGGAAUGCAAUUCCAUCAAAAGCUUAAACGAAUUUGAUCUUUCUAAUCUACAAAAUCUGAAAAGUUUGAGGUUCUGUGGAUGUAAAUCAUUGGAGAGGGUGCUUGGUGUGCCAAAAUCUUGUCAACUUGAGGUGGAUGAUUGUCCGAGGUUCAAUAAAGAUGGAUAAGAUAUGUAUCAUUUGAUUGGCAAAGAUAGUCGAUGAUGGUAAGUCCAUAGAAAUAGAGUUCAUUUUUUGUUGUGUCCUGUUUUGUGAGUUUUCCUUCAACUAACCUUUCAUCUUGGUUUUGGAACCACCUCUUGCAUUCGUUCAUCCUGUUGUCUCUGAAGGAAAAUCCUCUUUCAUGUAUCAUAAAUGUGUGAUACUUUGACUUGCCUACUUGACGAUGGUGAUACCUAGCUGGUUUAUGUUGCACACCAGCAUACGUCGGGAUUGACAUGCUUCGCGGCACCUGUUUUGUUUAGAAAAAAUGGAUAAAGUGGAAGGGAACUUUUACAUAGUAAGCACACUAAAGAUGCUGACAAAUGCUGGGUUUUGUUGUAAGGCUAAGGUGGUUGAGACUUGAGAGUACUGGUCUCAUCUUAUGGAGUGUUUUUUUUAAAUUAGUAGAGAACAAUCAUGAUUUAUGAGGACUGAAAUAAAGGAGUUAUUGCUUGGUUAGCGGAAGAGUGAAUCGUUGAUACCUAUUAUGCAAUAUGAGUGAUUUAGUUAUUUCCUUCAUGAAGAAUUGGAGGUGUUUUUCUUGUUACUUCUGAACUGAAGUGGAGAAGCUUCAAGUCUUGAGUCACGGUGUGAUUUUGUGAACUAUCUUUCUUCAUUCUAGUAUUUAGCCAUUUAUGCAUGAAAUUCGUGCUGGGAGACAAUUGAUAUUGGAGUAAACUUGUCGAUAUGGUCAAGCCACCAUUUUGUUGAAGACUAGGUUUAGCUACAUCGAGUUGUGCAUUCUGCAAUUUCUGUUGUUAGGAAAGAGGACCUUUGUGUCAUUGAAGACUAGAUUUUGUUUAUUCUUUCAGCUGACCUAUUGCACCUUUCCUCAUCUCUCUCUCUCUCUCUUUCUGCUAAUAAUGUGGUUACUGUUAACUUGUUAAAUAAACCUGUUUGAUCUUUGUGUCUAUCAUUUUUACAUUUGCUGAUAAAACAUUUUUUUACAAGCUCCUCCAGGACGAUGGUGAAAUGUUCUUUUACAUGGUAGUCUAGGCUUUGGCAAGACAUAUUGUUGGUGCUACGGUAACGACUUGUUCUCUUCAAUCCAUAUUAGUAAAAGGGUGAGCUAUGGAUAAGUACAUUGGUACUUUUAAGCAAGCUGUACAAGGCUUCUUUUCAACUAUGCGGAUGUUUAUUGAGUUCUAUUAUGCAAUCUUCUAAUGAACUUUGUUAUUUCCAUAUAUUUCACAAUUUUGUGCUUUCUCCUUUUGCUUUUGUAUCCAUUUAAUAGAGGUCCCUUCAUCUAUGCCAUCAGUUGAAAUAGGAUAACUAGUAGUAGCAAUGAGGAUCCUACCACUGCAACCAAGAUGUUCUAAUUAUAUUAUUUUAAACAAUAGCAGUGAGGAUUCUCCCAUAACCAAUAAAGAGGCCAAGUUAAAAUGGUUCUUGAGUUUUCUCACACAUGAAUGAGAGAAUCCUCUGUGAAGAUUAAAAGAAAGAUUAAGAUGUAAGAUAUUUGAAGUUUUUCUCUAAUAGAAAUUUGAAAUUUAUGAUCAAAUGUCUACUGGAUCAUCUGUUCAGCACAUUGGCAGCAUUGAUUUUGUGAACAAACUAGAGAAAUUUUGAAUAUUUGAGAGUACUAGCAAUUUUAAAAUUACAGGUUUGGAUAUAUUCUCGAAGGCAACAGCUAUAGCACCUUAACUUCUCUUUUUUCAUGAAUUUGAUUCCAUUGUGCUGAUGAGGAGGCAUGAUAAUACGAGGGUCACUGACCUUGUCAUCAAUCAGUUAGUUGCUUGCAUUCAAUGGCACUUGUAAAGUGGUCAUGUGAAAUAUAGUUGAUGGUAUGACUCACUAAUAGUAUGUUAUUCAUUGGUGCAAAUUUUUACCGAAUCAAAUGGUGUUGAAGUUUUAAGCGGUGUGUUUGUGUCAGCAGGGACAAGGCAAUAAUUUCAUCUUACAUGGUAACAAAAAGUACUCUUUUUCCAUAUCACACUAAUUGUAAACUGCCAUUGGAAAUUGCAUGGCCAUUAUGAAUGCUUUGCCAAAAAAAUUUCUAUGAAGCAUUUAAUAUGGAGACUACGUAAUAACCUUCAAGGCAGACUAUUAAAUGCUGGACAUGACUUUUCCUUGAUUUAGAAUUGUUUAACUUUGGAUACACAGUAUUAGAUAAACUACAUAUGUAUCAAAUAAGGAAACACACGGUAGGAUUGCUUGAAUUACUUUUCAGUUGCUGAAGUAGCUUACAAGAAGUGUAUUAAACUGGUCUUGAGCCUCUUCAACAACAUCAACGGAUGUUGAUCGUUUUAGUUUUGGGUGUGCCAAAAUCUUGUGAGCUCAUCAUCAUUGACUGCCUGAAGCUCAAUAGAGAUGGAUAGGGUAUAUAUCAUUUGAUUGGCAUAUAGUUGAUGAUGGUAAGUCCAUAGAACUAGAGUUCGUUUUUUUGCUACGUCCUAUUUUGUGAGUUUUCUUUCAGCUAAGCUUUCAUCUUAGUUAUGGAACCACCACUUGUAUUCGUUCAUCCUGUUAUCUAUGAGCAAAAUUCCUUUUUUGCAUGUCAUGAACAUGCGGUACUUUCACUUGCCUCCACGGUGGUGAUGCUUAACUAGUUUAUGUUGCACAUCAGCAUAAUGUUGGGGUUAACAUGCUUCGCAGCACGUAACUUGCUUAGAUAGUAAGCACACUGAAGUUGCUAACAAAUGCUAGGUUUUGUUGAGAGGCAGAGAUGGUUGAGAGUACUAGUCAUACCUCAUGUAGUGUUUUUUCAAUUUCACUGUAGAACAAUCAUGAUUUGUGAGGAAUGGAAUAAAGGAAUUAAUGCUUGGUUAGCGAAAGAGUGAAUUGUCGAUACCAUUUAUGCAGUAUGAAUGAUUAAAUUACUUCCUUCUGAAAGAAUUGAAGGUGCUUUUCUAGUUACUUCUGAACUUAUAUUAUGUUUGUCUAGUUGUUUGCUAUUUGUUCAUUCCCUCCCAUCUUAAAUUACCAAACACAAUUGCGGAAGAUGUUGCAAAUCACCCAAUAAGGCAUUUACAUUCUUGAAUUCUUAUUUGUUGUGUCGAUGACUUCUGAAUCCUUUGCUAUUUUCAAUUGGGUUUGGGAAUUUGAUAACUCUGACUCAUUGAUGAAUUAAAGAAGGCAAAUACAAUAAUCUUGGUUGAUCUCUUUUGUAUAAUUUUUGUUUCCUGCAGUUCCAUAGAUUGAAUUGGGAUUUUCCGAUGCUGCACAAUCAAAUAUCAUUGUCAGCUUUGCUCCACAUCUGAUUCCAAUGGUUAUAGUUGCAAUUUUCAAGCAUUCACAUUCUUAAAGUAGAAGUUCUGCUUCUCUGGCCAUAAUUAUUAACUUUUUUCAUCUAUUUAUGUAAAGUCCUGGAAUGCAGUCAACUGUUGUUGUUGAAAUGUCUUAGUGUGUAAUGGUGGGGAUCUAUAUGAGCAACUUAAAGUUGUUUGCUGGCCAAACUUUGUUUGGCCCAUAGUCCUAUUCCUCUUAGGCAUUCAAUGGCUUAAUGUAUUGAGCAUUAACCUUAGCUUUUGUUUGCUGAAGUAUUUUUCAAUACUCAUAAUUAGCUUAAUCAAAGUACAUAAUUUAUUUCACCCACAUCUAGAUAGUGUUUUAUGAGUGUCUUUCCUAAUUGAGUAUCUAGGCGAGCAAUACUAAUCUCUAUUGUAGGUUCCCAAGUGUCUGUUUUCCAUUGAAUGCUUUACUUUCCGUGUAACGUCAGAGUCAUCUUAUGGUGGUAAGCUAUCUAAACCUUUUUGCAAAUCAACAAUGUAGUGAAGGGAGCUUGUGGUCAAACUCUGCAAAAUUUCAGUGAGAUGAUGGUAUUACUUGAGAUUGUGGGGUUUAAUUGCCUACCAUUGUUUCCCUGAUGCAUUCUUGUGGAGUUCAGGAGUUCUUUUGUUUCAAAAAAGUGACAAAAGAAAGGUGGAAAUAUGUCUAAUUUAGGAGUUCUUUUGUUUUCUCUUUUUUUUAAACUGUUUCAUAUUGGUUGUUUUCAAUUUUUCACUGAACACUUAAGGGAGCUCAGAGCUGGUGGUACCAACUUUCGUGUGUCCCUUUAUUCGAAUAAGACAAUGCUUCCUUCCUAUUGUAAUAUUCUUUGGAAAGCAAUAGUUUAAUUGCUAACACACCAAGUGGGAGCAAACCUUUUAACAGAGUUAUUUAAACUAGAGUGAAUCUAACAAAGUCGAGGUAAGAAAUUAAUCGUACAAAGAGUAAAUCAUAAUGUGAAGUCUAAAGCCAUCUUCCCUCAAUGCAAGAUUGAAAGGCUCUCUUACUUCUAUUUCUCAACUAACAAAAAUGUCAAGAUUUUGAUUGGAUAUGACUCAAUUCUAUGGUCACCAUCUUAUCUUCAGCUCUUUAAUAGAUCCAUGUCCCGAGGAGAUUUAGUCCAAUGGCAACAUAAUAAGUGGGUGACCUAAGGAUUCUCAUUGACUUUGCUAUAGCUAGUAUCGAUUUGUAUGCAUCAUUCUUUUUUUCUUUUUGUAUAUCGGCUACUUUUAAACACUCCCAAGGCAAUCACUCGUGGAAAACCUAUGGUGCCGAAUGGUCCCAUGUGGUUUUCAUCUUGUAAGCAGCUAAGCUAAUAGCCCUUGCCUUCUUUGGAUAGUCCUUCCUUGUCUCUUUCACACCAGCUAACUUGUGUGUUCGACAAUCUUGUUCUCGUCUGGUCACCAGUCUCCAUGCAAGUGGUAAAUUGUACGUUCUAGUACUUUCUGCCAUCAACAAAGUUUCCUGCUUGCGUGCUGUUAUUUUGCAUAUCUCUGUAGUGCACAAGAAUCUGCUAGAUUUAUUCCGCACCAUUAGUCCUUCAAAAAAUCAACUAUGAGGUAGCCAAGCAUCUCAGCCUCUCUACCAAAACACAGACAAAGCGCACAAGUAGUACUAUGUCUUGCCUCCAUCUAUCUCUGCACUGAGGUUUACUACCUCAAAUAGGCUACAACCUUUAACUCUUUGAUAUUACAUAAAUAAGGUGUGCUAUCUCUCUCAAUAUGAAAAUCUAGGAUUUGAAUUGAUCAAUCAUUUCAAAUUGGGCCACCUUGAUGCAACAAUUACUUCACCUCACCACUCCAUUCAGCCACAAAAAUGUCCUCUUUUUUAGGCUCUAGUUUUUUUUUAUACUCAAUUAGGAACCUGCAUAAUGACUGAAGCAAACUGGCUGAUUGGAAAGGUGCUUUAUACCAAGGUGACCCUCCCAUAUUUCAACAUUCACUUCUCCAAUCUACAAGUCUGUACUCAGAUAGCUCACUGGUUGGAUCCGAAAUUUUCUUUGAGCCCCAGAGGAAUGGUUAGAUGUGCUAUAGCAAAGUGGCUUGUGAUGGAGCAUGUGAUUAUGUGUGUGCAAUGAGCAUGUGUCUAUACCACUGAAAGAUUGAACCAUAGCCUCAAAACUAGAAUUUAAGAUUGAAAUUCAAGAUGAAAGCUUCUCGGUGCAUGUAUUUUAACUGAGUGUUUUUCCAAUGCAGAGUUCUUUCUCAUUCUAUGUGACACCCCUCGGUGGCUCCCGAUCCGUUAGGGUCGCCACAGCCUGCCAAUCGGUUUCUCUCAAAAGAUAUCCGUUACUUGUCUUUUAUAAAAAGGGGUUUUAAAGAAGGACCGAGGUCCUUAGGCAUUUUUUUUUUUUGAAAACAGUCCCAGCGCAACUUAUUAGCGGAAGCAUAAUUGAGUCUUACCAUCUCUCCUUCCAAUAACUAUAAUGGAUUUCUCGGGUCGGUACAGCCAAAAAGAAAAGCCAAGACUUUUAACUACACCUGGCCAUAACCCAAAAGAUAUCUCGACCCCUAUAAUGAUCACGUGUCAUCCUCCAUCUAUCAGUGUCGGCUACUCUAAAAAAGAAACGUCAGCUCUCUACUCCUCACACGGCUAUCACACCCAUCCUAGCGCGUCGGGCGGUGGUGGCGGCAAAAUGCCCCGAAUCACUCCAUCUCGGCGGACGUGGACUGACAAAACUCCUGAAUGACCGGGCCCCCAGCCAAGCCCACACCGUACAUGACAGCACUCGAACUUGCACAAACGUCAGACCAGGGAUGGUAACACAAUCAAUCUCUGAACACUCGACCUCCACAUCAGAAGGAAGGUCGUAAAAGGAACCCCACAUGACCAGAGAGAGCGACAUCUUCCUAAUCUGAAAUGUUGGUCCCCGAAAGGGUGAGUACAGCCACUCAUCAGGUAAAGGAUCCAAUAAACUACUUAAUGCAUCACAUAAUACAAUCACAACAUCAUAGCAUAGUACAUAUCAUCCAUGCAUCCAAGCAUAACUUACCUUGCAGCCAUGCAUAUGUCAUCAUACCAUAUGUGCAUACAUCCUCAUGCACUCAUCACCAAGCUUUCAUACAUAUACCAUCAUGCCAUAGGUGCGCAUACAACCGUGUACUCAUUAUCAAGCAUCCACACAUAUACCAUGCCUCAUGUACGCAUACCGUCAUGCCAUAGGUAUACAUACAACCAUGCACUCAUAUACAUCAUAUCAUACAGCCAUGCAUACAUGUCACCACACCAUGCAUGAUUCAAUUUCCACUUUUUAUCUUUCAAUUUGAUCACCACAUCUUUCUUUCCCGGGAUUAGUAAUUGCAUCCCACAUUUUAUCACUCGCACCCCAACUUGGCAUCGCGAGAAAAACCUCCGGCACACACCACCGGGCAUCCGGCACCCCCACAUUCCGAGCAUCUCGUAUCCCAACUGGCAUCACGAGGCAUCCCUCGGGCACAAACCUCUGAGGCUUCCGGCACCCAAACAUUCCGGGCAUCUCGAAACUCCCAAGGACAUCCGGGCAUGUAUCACAAUACAACCGGGCAUCCGACACCCCCCAUCCCGGGCAUCCUGACACUCCCAGGGCAUUAUCGGCUCACCCCCAACAGUUUCCUCAUUAAUCAUAAUUCAUAUUCACCAAUUUAUGUCUCACAAUCAACAUGGCACAUGAUGUAAUGGCAACAAAGUCAAAUUCAGCUUUUGAUGCUAUAUGCAAUGCCGAAUAUCAUCACAUGUGCAGCAAGAUUUAAUCACUUACAACAAUACAAUUUAUGGGGCUCAUGCAAAACAGAAUAGUCAAUGCAUUACAGCCCUUGAAAUCCACACAAUCCAGCUUGCACAGUUUUAGAAAAUAUUUCCAUUAAAUACCCAAAUGACCUUUAAAAAUUAUGAAAUUCAAACAAGUGAUAGCCAAGACAUAAAGGCAGAUAUUUCAUGCGGGACACUGCACCAAAAGACCCUCAUAUCAUACGGUAUAGACCGAACAUCACAGCACCAUUAUCAUAACCACUUAACUUGCACAGUUUUCGAAACAUUUUCAGUUAAAUAGGAAAAUGAGCUUAAAAAAUUAUGAAAUUUGAAUAUGUUUCAGGGAAGACAUAAAGAAAGAUACUUUAUGAAGAACACUUUGCCGAAAGAUCUUCAUACAAAAUGAUAUGGCCCACGCAUUGAAACUGAUUAAGUCCGAACGCGUCAGAUUACACGAUUUUUGAAAUAUUUCCGAUUUGAAUACCCAACUGAUCUUCAAAAUUCAUGAAAUUAGACUAUGUUGUAUCCAGGAUCCUAAGGUAGGUUUUUCAUGAAGAAACCAAAGUCAAAUUCGUUCUAGGUGAUUUAAUAUAGACGGUUAAAGCUUCUGUUUCACUACCGAAGUUUCCAGAUCUGACUAUUUCCGAAAAACUACGAUUUCACCUAUCUAUUCUUGUUAUUUUUCUCUAAAUUUUUUAUAUGUUAAACCUCAGGUUGUCCUUUACAUAUUUUGUUAAGAAAUCAAAGUGAAAUUUCAACAAAAAGAUAGGCUUACAGACCAUGCAUUCAUCAAAGGUAGUUACCGAAAUCUCCAGAUUCAGUCUCUCCGAAAAAGUAAGGAUUUCACCCACUUAUACUUAUUCGUUUUGUCCCAAAUUUGAGUAUGUUAUAUUUCAAGAAGUCCUUAACAACUUUCAUUUAGAAGUCAUGGCCAAAAUCCAACUCAAACAACACAUACAAGGCAAUAGAACAUCCAAGGUCGAACUGUUUCCUCAAGAACAGUUUACUAGUCUCAAACAUCCCUCUUAACACUUCAACUUUUAACACCCUAAACAUCCGAAAUCUAUCACCAUUCAAGCACACAUACUAGGCACAACGUGCAAGAGCAGAUUAAGGAUCCCAACUUGCCUCUAAACCGAGCAAACAGCAAGCACAUGGCGACAAACGACGGACGCACGGCGGACGGUCGACGGACGAUCGGCUUCCUUCUUCUUCCGCACGCUCACUCUCCCUUUCUCUCUCAAUUUCUCUCUUUCUCUCGGUAACCCUCUCUCUCUCUCUCCCUUCUCGGUCGACAUCCCCCCCCCCCUCUUCAUCAUCAAACGGUUCUCUCAAGUUUUCCUCUCCUCAGUGAUGAACAAUCAUUGAUUUUGCCUUAAGGACACUUGGACUAAGGGAGAAACACUUGGCAAAAUCUUCAUGCAAAAAGAGUGGGCUUCUCAUGGGCCGGUUCUUCCUUGGUCGACGGCCCAAUGGGGCUCCAUCCAGCUAGGCUUGAGGCCAGCUUGGCCGACAGCUCCUCCUCCUCCUUUGGGCUUCGCGGCUAAGCCCAAAUGGCCGAAGGGUGGGGCUUCUUGUGGGCUGGUCUUGAGCUAGAAUUUUGGCCCACACCUCAUCCUAAUAAUCCUCCUUAAACCUUAAUUUUAUAAACACCUAAUUGGAAUUUAUAAUUCACAAAACUUUGUGACCUAAAAUUCCAAUCCAUAAUUCACACGGCCAAAAAUAGGAUUUUCCUAUCAAAUAAUUAUUCACCAAAAGCUUGGCCAAAGUCUCAAUGCAAGACAUGAAUUAGAGCACCCCUAAAGAUUGGCAAGGAAUUCUAGGAUGCCACAUUAUAUUCCCUUAAGUUCUUUUUACUGUCAUUGAAACACCAAUUUUUUACUCUACAGGUUCUCUUUUUCAUCUGGAAUCCUUGACAUUCUAUCAAUCAUCUUUCAUUUGUGAUGUGAACUUAAAUUUUCUCAUAAUCUUAUCAUGCUAGAAAAUUUGCAAGUUGAAAUGUCUUCUUGCUCGUCGAUGUUCUCUUGGCUGAUCAUAUCAGCCCUUUCUAUCUUAACAAAGCAGGUAGAGGAUUUGGUAGUCUUAUUCUUGCCAUACUAGGAACUACUUUUGGUGCACUUGACUAAAUAUGGAAUAUUCGAUCGUCUUUUUUCCUUCGCAAAUGCACUUCUGGAAGCAAUGUUCCUAAGAAUUUGAGCUAGUGCUUUGAAGAACCCAUGUGAUCACAAUAAUUGUGCGGUGGUUUUAGAUUUGGACACCUGAAUAUCACCAGUAAUAUUAUGCUUUGAUGUUUGAAGGUCCUAUUAAAAAGCAAAAUGGGGUGGGAUUACUGUAUUGGGCUAUAAUACCUAAGACCAUCAAAACUUCUAAAACGCAGAAGAUAAUAAUAGGUGCCAAACUGACCGGUUUUUAUGGCUCUUGAUUGUGGAUGCAGGCACUACUCACUGAUUUUGAAGUUUGUGAAGGCAUAUAUUCACGAGCUCACAUCGAAUAUAUACUGAUUUGGUAUGUUUAUGGCUUGGAGCAAAUGUUAUGUUGGAGUAUUCAUGCAAAGAGGUACUCGAGUUAGAGUAAUGUCACAUUAUCUCCAAUAAUGAUGUUAAGUAUCUUAUUGAUUGCAUUAAUUCAUGUUGUAGGCCAUAACUCUUCUACAAAAGAACCUAGAAAAUGCUAAAGCAAAGUUUAGAAGUUCUUGUUGCUGAUCUACAAUUCUUAAGGGACCAAGUAACGAUCACCUAGGUAAGUCGGAAUUUUUUGGGAACUUGGAGGUCCCUGCUUGUUUCAAGUUGUUUACUAUGUCAGUUUGGGGUAGGUCCAUUGUUGUUAAAUUACUGUUGCUGUGGUUUUUGUUACUGGCUUGAGGCUAUAUAUUGGGAAGACAUGUUAAUUUGUGACAGCCUGGAGGGUAGUAAUAUCGCACUUAUGUGAACUUGAAAAAAAUUGAAGGUUGUUGUAGGACAGUAUUCUUUAGUUUUGCAACUUGAAUCAAGCUAGCAAGGGUUAGAUGACAAGUGAUUUUGGUUAGGUUUAGUAUGAUUUACUGCAUUACAACAAGCUUGCCAUGUAAAACAAUUUUGAUUGAGAACUUCUUGGGUUUGAGUUUUCACUUUUAUGUUGUGCGCUAGUUUGGAGUUGAUAUAUGGUCUAUCUGUUUUGUCUCGUUUCACCUUGGUCAUGUGUGUUAGGAAGAACUAAUCUAAAUUUGAAUUCAGGGAAAAACAUGGGGAGAUUUAUUUUUUGCCCGAUAAGGCAUUUACAUUCUUGAAUUCUUAUUUGUUGUGGUGAUGAUAUGUAUUUUCUUUUUCCUUUGCUAAUUUUCGUUGGGUCUAGGAAUUUGAUGAUUCUAACUCCUAGAUGAAUUAAGUUAGGCAUAUGCAAAACUUGGGUUGCUCCCUUUUGUAUAACCUUUGUUUCCUGUAGUUCCAGAGGAUAUAACUGGAAUUAUCUGAUGCUGCACAACCAAAGAUCACUAUCAACUUUACUCCACAUCUGAUGCGAAUUGUUAUAGUUGCAAUUUUCAAGUGUUCCCAUUCUUAAAGUUGAAGUUCUAGUUCUCCAACAAUAAUUAUUAGCUUUCUUCAUCUAUUUAUAAAGAUCCCUAGAAUGCUGUUGUCACAAAGCUGAUUAGAGAACCCGCAGCAAAUAGUAAGAGAGAAAGAAGAAGAGAGAAGGAAUAGAGAAGAGGAGAAGGAGAAUGUGAAAGAAAGAAACAAAGAGGGGCCGUAGAUUUCUGUAGUAACAGAAACCCUAUACCCAUUGUAUUUAUAUUGAAUAUAAAUUGUAUAUGACAAUAAUACCCUUAUGUAAGUAAAAAAGGAAAUAAAACUCUGAUAAUAAAGGAAACUUAAUUAAAGUACCUUAACACUCCCCCUCAAACUGGAGCAUAUAGGUCACCCACGCCCAGCUUGGAACAACCAGCAACAAAAGCAGGACAAAAUAAUGCUUUGGUAAACAUAUCAGCAAACUGAUCUCUAGAGGCAACGUAAGGAGUAGCAACAAGCUUCUACUUCAUAACAUCCCGAACAAAGUGACAGUCAACUUCUAUAUACUUAGUUCACUCUUGAAAAACAGGAUUCUCAGCAAUAUAAAUAGCUGCUUGAUUAUCACACAUCAUAUUAAUAGGUUGAUUAAUCGAAAAUCCAAGCUCCUGGAGAAGAGAUUUCAACCACAACAAUUCGGCCACAGUAUGUGCCAUAGCACGAUAUUCAGCCUCUGCACUAGACCUGGCAAUGGUAGUUUGUUUCUUGCUUCUCCAAGUAACCAAAUUACCACCAAUAAAGGUGCAAUACCCAGUUAUAGACAGUCGAUUAUAUGUUGACCUAGCCCAAUCAGUAUCAGAAUAGCCAACCAGAGUGGAAGAACCAUUAGAUUAUAAAUUAAUCCCUUACCAGGAGAGCUUUUAAGAUAUCGAAGAAUGCGACAUACAGCAUCCCAAUGUAUGACAUCCUAAAAUUCGACCCCGUUUCGAUAAAAUGAAAUGGGCAAUGUCGUCAACGUGCCUAUGGUCUUUUUUCUCUGAGCUGACCACUCACGAGUUAACUAACCCAUUAGGUUAAGCCGUUAAGGGAUGUAUCUGCAGUAAAAUCCCUAAAAGCUACUAAAUUGGUUGGAUUGGACUAAAAUCGCGUCUAAUCGAUUCUAACCAUGAAAUUUAAUUUGGUCUCGGAAAUCGAAUAUUCGAGCGUGUCACAAUUCAUUUUUAGGACCGUCUCAUCGUCUGUCAAGAAAGAAAUUAUCGGAGGAAAAAUCGAAGACCAAAAGAAAUUAGAAAGGGAAAGAGAAAAGAAAAAUAAGGAAAGAGAAAAGAAAAAUAAGAAUAAUAUAAUUUUUGAAUUUCUUUUCUCUCUCUCCCUUUUUUUUUCUCUUUUUCUCUCUCUCUUCUCUCUCCUUCCCUCCCACUCGUGCGAUUCUUUUCCCCCAGCCGGAUGCCCUUCUUUCUUAUAUUUUAUUCUUGUUUUAUCUCUCAUCUCUCUCUCUCUCUCUCUCUCGUCACUCUCUCUUCUUCUUCUUCUUCGUGCAAACGAACGGAACCAGAAGCUGAAGAAGAUCGGAAGCAGCAGCCGCUACCGUCGCCGUCCGUCCCGCCGCCCGCACCGCACGCCCGCGCACCCACGCGUCCACCGUUCGCCACCCAUGCGCCGCCUGCGCCUGCCAUCCCUGCCGUGCGACCCAGCUCCUGUUCGGCCUUUGUUCAGCCACCGUGAGAGGCUGAGCAGACCGCCGGAGCCACCGUCCGGCCUCACCGGAGCUCCGCCUGCUUUCUCGACCUCUUGCUGCCCCCAACCCUCUCUCUUUCUCUCUGUUUUUCAGCCGAACCAGCAAACCCGCGAGUGGGUUUCCAGCCGCUUCGUGGUUGGUUUUAUGCCGUUUCCAGGCCCCGAACCCGAGCCGUCCUUUGGGAGGAAUCGUUCCUCGCGUCGCCCCCGUCGGAUUGAUCCGAUUUGCGCGCGAUUUGGUGAGUAAUCUCACUAAUCCUUGCUUAGUGGACUAAUUACGCUUAGUGGUUGUUUAGUUUUAAUUAAUUAGGUUGAGGUGGUUAGAUUAGUAUGAAUUAGUGUUUAUUAGUCGAUUGUGAUACAAAUUAGAUAAAUUGAAUGUGUAUUUAGCAAGUAGACGUGGUCUACUAUUUAUUGAGGGUUGCCCAGGAUUUUUCCCAACCCUAAUCGGGCUUCAAUUAGGCUUUUUGGGCCUAAAUGGAAUUUUUGGUAUUUAAAUAUCAAUUUUCGGAAUUAAAUUAAAUAAUUAUUUAUUUUUCGAAAAUUCAGCUGGGAUGGCUGAAGACCGGAAUAUUAUGCUGAUAACUAUAGUGAAGUCCGUUUAUUUAAUCGGGCUUUAUUUUCAGCUAAAUCGAAUUUUUAAUAUUAAUUAUUUAAUCUUCGAAAUUAAUUAAUUAAUUAUUUAUUUUCCGAAAAUUCAAUUGAGAUGGCUAGUGACCGGAAUAUUAUGCUGAUAAUUGUGGUGAAGUCCGUUUAUUUAAUCGGGCUUUAAUUUGAGCUAAAUUGAAUUUUUAAUAUUUAUUAAUUAAUUAUUUUUCGGAAAUUAAGAUUUAGAUGGCCGACGACUGAAAUCUCGUGCUGAUUCUCGUGGCAUAGUUCGUUUAUUUAAUUGAGCUCUACAUUGCAUGGAAUUAAAUAAAUUGUGAUAUUUUAGGGAUUUACCCUAAAUUGAUUGAAAUUGAAUUAUUGAUUAGUAGUUGGCCAAAUAUGGCUAUUUAGCAUUUUGAAUGCCUUGUUGAGCUGUAAGUGGAGAGAGUGGUGAGAACUAACUGAGAAUUCUAUUGGCUGAGACCGAUCAAGUACGAAGUAUAGACAGGUGUGGUUCGGUGAUUAAGGAUAUCAUUGUGCGAAAACGAUGCCUUAAAGAACGCACGUAGACUGUCUGUGAUCUAUGACGGGCGUGGUUCGGUGAUAAGGAAUAUCACUGUGCGAAAACGGCGCCUUAAAGAACGCACGUAGACCGUUUGUUAUUUACGUCACCUUGGUGGAAGCGCCGCCCGAGAGCAUUGAUGUGGCUCUCUGAUCGAUUUCACUAUGGGAUGUUAUAUAGUGUGGAUCGAGUGACCUAGGAAUGGUUUGACUGACAUGUAAUUGACUAGUUCGAUUGAUCAAUGAUUUAAUCCGAUUGCUGUGAUUUGAUUGAUUGUUCGUUGUGAUUUAUGAAGUGUCUGUAUAUAACCUUGAAUUGCAGGUUGAGACUGAGGCCAAGGUAAGUCCUCUGAUUCGUGCUAUGCUUAGGCAACCGAGUAGUGUAUUGGUUCCCUAAUUGAGUCUUAGUGGGGUAGAACUCGCUGAGACGUAGUCUCAUCCCGGUUUGGGAAAAACAUUUCAGGACCCCGAUGAGGAGCUGAGGAGGAAUCUGAGAAGGAGUACCCUGAGGUGAAACCUGAGGAGAAUAAUUUUUGGAAGAAGAAGAUAAUACCGAGAGGGAUCUUGAGUACGAUCCGGAUGGACUGAGAUUUCUUCUUCUUUUAAGAACUCCAUUUUAAUGUGAAUAGUUGUGAAGUGCUCUGGUUUGUGUCUUGUAUAAAAGUUUGGUUAUAAGUUUCAAUAUGAAAAAUAUAGCCUACUUUUCUAUCCCAUUGUUUUAUUAUCUGGGGAUUUAUAACUGCUUCUGCAUGUGCUUAAUAAAAGAAAAGGUCGGCGAUACAUAGUCCUGGGAUAUCGCAUUUUAAAAUCGACCAAGUAGAAGGAUGUGUGCGUGCCCGAGGAUCGGGGCGUGACACAAUGAGCCUUUUUAGGUGACUCCAUAAACUGACUCACCACACCAACAACACAAGAAAUAUCAGGACGUGUAAUAGUAAGAUAAAUUAGUUUCCCAACUAGACGUCAAUAUUGAUGUUGUCUUCAAUUUCACUUCCAUCAUCAACUCCAAACUUUUGAUUUGGAUCCAUAGGAGUAUCAACUGGCUUGGAAGCUAGUGUACCUGUCUCAGACAAAAGAUCAAGAACAUACUUUUGUUGAGACAAAUUAAUACCUUUUUUACUUCGUAAAACUUCAAUAUCCAAAAAAUACCUAAGAGUUCCCAAGUCUUUAAUCCGAAAUUGCUGCUGAAGAAAGGACUUAACCUCAUAAAUGCCAGUCAUAUCACUACCCGAAACAAUUAUAUCAUCCACAUAUACCACAAGAAUGACCACCCCCGAUUCCUUCUUGCGAACAAAAACAGAAUGAUCAUAAUAACAUUGAUGGAAACCACAUCUGGAAAUCAUUGAACUGAAUUUUUCAAACCAUGCUCUUGGAGACUGUUUCAACCCAUAAAUGGCCUUAUGUAGCCGACAUAUUUUUACUACGAUUCUCCCCCUGAGCAACAUACCCAGGAGGUUGCUCCAUAUACACUUCUUCAGACAAAUCACCAUAAAGAAAAGCAUUCUUGACAUCCAAUUGAUAUAAUCGAAAUUCACAGCAAGAGAAAUAAUAACACUACCAAAAUUGAAACGUGCCACAGGGGAAAAAGUCUCAAAAUAAUUAACUCCAUAAGUUUGAGUAAAACCUUUAGCAACGAGCUGAGCUUUAAGACGCUCGAUUGAGCCAUCUGGAUUGUACUUGAUAGCGUACACCCAACAACACUUCACCACAUCUUUCCCAAGGGGAAAAUCAACCAAUGACCAUGUUUGGCGAGACACCAGAGCUUCCAUUUCCACAUCCAUAGCUUUCUUCCACUAAAGGCGAGACAAAGCCUCAAUGGUAGAAGUAGGAAUUGUGUAAGUUUGUAAUGAUAGAGCAAAGUCAUGUAAUGGAGAAGGAAGAUGUGAAAGAGACACAUAACGCUCAAUAGGGUAAGCCAAAGAGGAUUUUUGUGUGCAAGACCGAGUACCUUUGCAAGGGGCAAUCGGAAGAUCGUCUGGACUAGGAGACAAGGAGGAAGAUUGAUUGGAGGGCAUUGAAAAGCUAGAGACUAGUGGUGCCAUAAACUGCUUUCGCCGCUGAUACACCUGCAAGGGAGGAGAUAUUGGAGAAGGACUAACGGAAUCUAGGGGGAUUUGUUGUGGGAUAGGAGGAUCAGCUACAAUGUCAGUUGAAAACUCUUUACCCUCAGUAGAAUAGUAUGGUGUGCCCUCGAAAAAAGUAACAUCAGCACUAACAUAUUGGGUAUAAGUUGUAGGAUCAUAACACCGAUAUCCCUUCUGUGUACAUGAAUACCCGAGAAGAAUACAUUUAGUAGCAUGAGGAGAUAGUUUAUCAAAACCGGAACGUAGGUUAUGAAUAAAGCAAACACACUCAAAGACACGCGGGGUAAGAGAGAAUAAUGGCUUGUUAGGAAAUACAAUACCGAUUGGUGACUGAUGAUUAAGGAUAGUGGAAGGCAUACGAUUUAUGAGGUAACAUGCGGUAAGGACAGCAGCAUCACUCCAAAAUGAUUUUGGCACAUUCACAUGAAAUAAGAGUGAACGAGCAACUUCUAGAAUGUGACGGUACUUUCUCUUGGCCACACCAUUUUGCUGAGGGGUAUAAGUACAACUUGUUUGAUGUAUAAUACCAAGACUAGAACAAAACAAAGAAAUUGAUUUUUGUGUAUAUUCUAGAGCAUUAUCUGUUCGCAAAAUUUUAAAGGAUGUAUUAAACUAAUUAGUAACCUCACGAUGAAAUAAUUGAAAAACAUGUAAAAAUUCAGAGCGGUCAUGAAGCAUAUAGAGCCAUGUUAAACGAGAAUAAUCAUCCACAAAAGUAACAAAAUACUUAAAACCAUUUCUACUAGUAAUACGAGAAGGUCCCCAUAUGUCCGAAUGAACAAGUUCAAGUAAAGUAGGUGCAGGAGAAUCAUUACGACUAGGAAAAGAACUACGAUGAUGUUUCCCAAGUUCACAAGCCUCACACUCAAGAGUAGAAAUUGAUUUACACUCGGGAAUUAUUUGUUGUAACUUAAAUAAAGAUAAAUACCCUAAACGAGAAUGCCAUAAUAGGGGAGUAAUAGAACUAGCAGCUAGACCAUUGGUGUCAGCAGUAGAGACACCAUUUAGAUAGUAGAGUCCAUCACGUUCAUGCCCUCCACCAAUCAUCUUCUUUGUCUGAAGGUCCUGAAAAACGCAAUGAGAUGGGUAAAAUGUAACUAAACAACUAAGAGCUUUAAUUAACUGACUAAUAGAUAAUAGAUUUAAAGGAAGUUGGGGAACAUGUAAAACAGAGGACAAAGAUAAGGAAGAUGUAAGUGAAACAAUCCCUGAUCCAACCACUUGAGUCGAGGAACCGUUAGCUAAAAUAACUUCGGAUCAAGGACUAGAGUUAGUGUGGGAAGAAAAUAGUUUUUGCUUACCCGUCAUAUGACUAGAAGCUCCCGAGUCAAUGACCCAAGAGGUGUUAGGAGACAAAGUAGAGAAAGAGGCCAUGUUACCUGUACGUGCAAGAGUGGCGGUGGAUGAGAAAUUGGAAGCCUCUAGUUGUUGAACACGCUUGAUGAGUUGUGCAACCGUAUCAUCUCGAGUUGUAGACUCAGAAGAACUACCCCCAAGUGGGAUAGAUGGGUUCAUGUCGCUGUAAGACACAUCUCGAGCACUCCCUUCAGACACGGCAGUAUUUGCGGUAACUAAUUGUUGAGCCCACUCAGGCUUGCCAUGCUUGGCCCAAUAAGUGUCAACAAUAUGACCGGAUUUGCCGCAGUAUAUACACUGAUGGCUAUCUUGACCAGAACUUUGUCCACUACGUCCACCACCACGACUACGACCUCCCCCGAAACCACGACCUCUAUUGGAAAAUCCACCACAACCAUGACCACCACUACCAGCCACAAAUGUUGAAUUGUCUUUAGAUGAUGUAAAAGACAGAGGGACAAUGCACUGAAUUCGACAAAAUGCUUCAUUCAUAGAAGGAACUCUCUCUCCAGCAAGAAGUUGACUCUUCAUAGGCUGUAAGUCAGCAUUCAAGCCAGAUAAAAACUUGGCCACUUGAAAUUCAGCUCGUUGUGUCUUAAGUCUCUCAAGGUCAGUAGUGAUGGGCUGAUAAAGAUUGAGUUCUUCCCAUAUACCUUUCAAAGCACCAUAAUACUCUCCAAGAGACUUGUCUCCCUGUUUAAAAUUAAAGAUCUUCUCAUAUAGUUCAUAAACUCUGGACAUAUUUUUGUCUUGUGGGUAACUCUCCAUAAGAUCAUCCCAUACUCCCUUAGCAGUUGUGUCGAACAUUACCUUAACAGCGAUGGAUGGUUCCAUGCUAUUCCAUAACCACACCAGAAGUGUAUCAUUCUCUCUUAUCCAAUUACUAUAGUCUCUAGAAUUUUCAGCAGGAGGGUCUGUGGUAAGAUAAUGAAGUUUCCCUUUGGCAUUAAUAUAGACCUUCACAGCUUGGGCCCAUAACAAGUAAUUGAAGGAUCCAUUUAAUUUAAUAGUGGUAAUUUGAACAUUGACACUAUCUAUAGGAGGCUUAGUAUCACUCAUGAUGAUAAUCUCAAUAUAAAUAUAUCUACCACUAAUCAAGAAGGUUGAAACUUUAGUGUAAGAAACAAAACAACAACACUAAUGUAUAAUCAGAUGUAAUUGGCUCCAUCAAUUAACCAAAGGGAUGCAAUAGAGUUCUGAUUCUUGAAUCCACUUAUCAGUAAGUGUUGUAAUCCAUGUUCAUAAACCGGACCUGAUGAAUCUGAUAUCUUUUGAUCUCAUAUGUAUCAAGACUUGAAGAGAAAAUAGAUAAAAAUUGCAGCUUUAGGUGGCUACGCACCAGAAAAGAAUUAGGGUUACUAGGGGACUCUCAAACCAGCAAUAGGAUCAAGUGAUCAGGUAGUUAGAUCUGCUCUGAUACCAUGUCACAAAGCUGAUUAGAGAACCAGCAGCAAAUAGUAUAAGAGAAAGAAGAAGAGAGAAGGAAUAGAGAAGAGGAGAAGAAGGAGAAUGUGAAAGAAAGAAACAAAGAGGGGUUGUAGAUUUCUGUAGUAACAUAAACCCUACACCCAUUGUAUUUAUAUUGAAUAUAAAUUGUAUACGACAAUAGUACCCUUAUGUAAGUCAAAAAAGGAAAUAAAACUCUGAUAAUAAAGGAAACUUAAUUAAAGUAACUUAACAGCUGUCAACUAUUCAUGCCGAAAUGUCUUUAGGUGUAAAGGUGGGGGAUUUAUAUGAGCAACUUAAAGUUGUUUGCUGGGCAAACUUUUUCAGGCUAAUAGUCCUAUUCUGCUUAGGCAUUCAAUGGCUUAAUGUACUGAGUAUUAACCAUAGCUUUUGUUUAUUGAAGUACUUAUUCUCUGUAUUCAUAAUUAGGUUAAUCAAAGUACAUAAUUUAUUUUAUAGACCUUGGUAAGUCAGUCAAAUAGUAGACAUUUGGGGGACCGAAACUUGGAAGGCCCGUGACUUCUUCUAUGUUCUUGAGUGUGCGUCCCACAUACUUCAUGCUAUUUGAUUGCUUAAUUCACUUUAUCUUGUUGGAUGAAGAAUUUGUUAUUUUGUUAGAAAAAGGACUUGUUCCCCAUACUCAACAUGUGCGAGGAUCCUAUUAUUGUUUUAUGAGUGUCUUUCCUGAUCGAGUAUCUGGAUGAGCAAUACUAAUCUAUGUAGUAGGUUCUCAAGUGUCUGUCUUCCAUGAAGUGCUUGACUUUCCAUGUAACGUCAAAGUCAUCUUUUGAUGAUAAGCUAUCUAAACCUUUUUUGCAAGAUUGACAAUCUAGUGAAGGGAGCUUAUGGUUAGGCUCUAUAGAAUCUUCACUAAGAUGAUGGGAUUACCUGAGAUUGUGGGGCUUAACCACUCACCAUUGUUUCCCCGAUGCAUUCUUGUGAGUGAGCUAAAUUAUGCAUGGAUUUUGUUCAAGAAAGCUUGUAUAACUGCAUUGGUUGUGUCUCAGCUAUAGCUUUUGUUUAUUCUUUCUAGUGACUCAUUACACCUUUCCUCAUCUUGCUCUCUCUUUAUCUCACUAUGCUAAAAUGUGGUCAUUGUUAACUUGUUAAAUAAACCUAUUUCAUCUCCGUUUCUAUCAUUCUUAUAUUUGCUAAUAAAAUGUUUUCAGGCAAGCUCCUGUAAGGCCAUGGUCAAAUGUUCUUUUAAGUGGACAUCUGGGCUUUGGCAAGACACACAUUGUUGGUGCUGCAGCAACAACUUGUUCUCUUCAAUCCGUGUCAGUGAAGGCUGAGCUGUUGAAUAAGUACAUUGGUACUAUUAAGCUAGCUAUAAGAGGCUUCUUUUCAACUACAUUGAUGCUGAUUGAAUUCCAUUGUGCAAUCUGGUAUUAUACUUUGUUAUUUCCAAACAUUUCACAUUUUUGUGCUUUCUUCUGUUGCUUUUGUAUGCAUUUAAUAGAGUCUCUUCAAGUAUGCUAGCAGUUGAAAUAGGAUAACUAGCGGCAACAAUGAGGAUCCUCCCAUAACCACUAAAAAGGCCAAGUUAAAGCGGUUGAUGAGUUUCUAACACAUGAAUGAGAGGAUCAUCUAUGACCAUUUGUUUAAGAGAAAGAUUAAAGAUGUAAAAUAUUUGAAGAUUUUUCUUUACUAAAAAUUUGGAAUUGGUGAUCAAAUGUCAACUGGGUUUUCUAUUUUGCAAAUUGAUGGCAUUGAUUUUGUCAACAAAAGGGAGAAAUUUUGAAUAUUUGAGAGUAAUGGCAAUUAGAAAAUACAGGUUUUGAAUAUAUCCUUGAAGGCAGUAGCUGCAGUCCUUGCCUUCUCUUUUUUGAUGAAAUUGAUUCCAUUGCUCCAAAGAGGGAUAAUAAGGGGUUCACUGAUCAUGUUAUUAAUCAAGUCAGUUUCUUGCGUUCAUAGCACUUAUAAGGCGGUCAAGUGAAUAUAUUCAAUGGUAUGACUCACUAUUGGUAUGUUAUUCAUUGGUGCAGUUUUUUACUAUAUUAGAUGGUGUUGAAGUUUUAUUCGGUGCAUUGCUGUUCGCAGAAACAAGGUAAUGAUUUCAUCUUACAUGGUAACAAAAAGUACACUCUUCCAAUAGCACACAAGCUGUGAACUAUGUGUGAACUACUAUUUGAAGUUGCACAGCCAUUAUGAAUGCUUUAACAAACAUUUUCUACCAAGCAUUUAGUGUGGAGACUAUGUAUUAACUUUUGAGGCAGACUAUAAAAUGCUAGAAUUGACUUUUCCUUAAUUUAGAACUGUUUAACUUUGGAUACACGGUAUUGGAUAAACUACACAUGUAUCAAAGAAGGUAAUAAAAGAUGGGAUUGCAUAAAUUUUCAGUUGCUGAAGUAGCGUAGAAGAAGUGUAUUAAGCUAGACUUGAGCCUCUACAACAGCAUCAAUGGAUUCUGAUAGUCUUGUGACAUCGAGCAUAGGGCGAUUUCUCAUAUCUGUUGUGACAUCUUUGUGGCAUGAAGUGAUCUUUUGUUUUCCUCAGGAGUCAUGAGUUCAUCUAUCUCUGAAUAACUCCAAUUCACUUUCCUUUCUUGAGAUCCUUUUUCUUUAUUCUAUAUUUGUCCAGUUAUGUGCUCUUAGUUCUAAUCGAGUUGCAUUUGGUGUGAAGCGGUAGACCGGGACUUACUUGAUGGUGCAUUUCUGAGACCUAGCAGGCUUGAAGACUUCUAUUCUGUGAUUUUUGUUCAAUAUAGGAGAGGCUAGAUAUCCUUAAAGUUUUAUCAAGGAAGGUAAAAACUUAGCUUCCAUCCAUCUGCCAGUGCUUGCUUUUAACGUUUCAUCUGUGACAUGCUCUGAAACUGGUCAUACAGAUGGAAAAUUUAUAUGAUUACUUGUUAGAAGAACUACAUAUCCGCAAUCUUACUUUUCAAGAAGAUGCAUCUGAAAGAUUACAUAUGAACAGAGAAUGUUGGAUCCUGUUAAGUAAGAGCGCUAGAAACAGAGUCAAUUUGAGCAGCUGAAGAUCCUGUUUAGAACUCAAGGCAUCUGACACAAUACUUUUAGAAGAAAAUGUUGUAAAAGGAUUGGAUCUACAACCCGCUUGGGUGAGGCUUAGAUAAGUUUAGAUGUCCAAUAGUAAAUCACUUUCAACCUCGGAACUUGGAACUGGUAGAUUUUACACCUAUUGAUGUUGCUUAGAAAAAAAAUGAAAAUGGCCUUUAUAGCUGAUUCCAUGAAACAGGACAUUGUCAUCUCUCUCUCUCUCUCUCUCUCUCUCUCUCUCUCUCUCUCUCUCUCUCUCUGUCUUCUUUUCUCUUGGAACUAAUUAGGAAGAUAUUGGCAAAUUCAUUUAAUUAUAUUCCUCCAAUUCAGUAUAAUGAGGCUGUUAAAAUGGCAACAAUUGGGCAUCGCUGAAGUUUUGCUGAGUGUCUGCUUUAAUUCCCUUUUGCAGCUUCCUUUGGCCAGUGAUGUGGACUUGGACGCCAUAGCUCAUGAUCUAAUCGGUCUAAUCAUAAUCAGCGGUUCUCUGAGCGCUGCUUCAGAUUCACAGCUGCAAGUGGAGAGAGAAAUCAGCAUGGGAAAUAACCAGUUAUAACAGACUCUUCUGAAGUUCGCUUCAAAGGCGAGCCAGUCAAUUUCAGAUGCUGAGAAGAGAAGACUCCAUACAAAUAUUUCUCAUUCUUUGUUUAUCAUCUCUCCCCAAAACUACAAUUGUGCAUCUCCGAUCAGAAAGUUCAACCGGGGAUUCUGGUAGUUGCUUAUUAUUGCAUCUUUGUACGUCAGUAGAUCAUUGAUUAGCAUACCUCCUCCGAAUAGUCUACCUGGUCUACUGGCUUGUAGGACUGUUAAUUUUUGUGAUCCAAUAAUGCCAGACAGCUUAAUCCUUGCAGUGACAUUCUCGUAAGGGGUAUGCGACAUGUCUAGGAUAUUCAUCUUGGCGAGUAAAUCAAUAAGAUGGCAUGCUCAGGUUGGUCUUUCAGUUUCCAGUCACAAAUUUCGAACAGUGAGCAGUUGCUGGAGCGAUCCCUUUGCAUUAGAAAAUCGAAGAAAUGGCCUUUCGGUGGCAGCUGCUAUUUGCACGGCUUCUUUGGUUUUGAGUCCCUCAUUCAAAGUGAGGAGACAAUUUAACCUCUUAGUAAAAUCGACUAAAGCAGUGGAACCCCCAACUUUAAAACCUUUCGUCUCUGAUUAUUAUUAACAUUUGCCCCUAACCAAAUGUUGUUGAUUUGAGAAACUGCAAAGCCUAACAAAUUGUGGACUCAAGAUUCAGCGUUGGAGAGGACAUGGAAAAUUCUGAGCCUGAGUAAUCCUAGCCGGGUAGAACAAUUACUUCGGCAGGUCAAUGGUGUGGUCCACCUCUAUUUUUAAGAAACUCCAUAUCAACAAAAUUCUAACGUAAUCAUCUGCAGUUCGCAUUGUUCCUUGUUGAUACGAUAUUUCAAGGCGCAAUUCAUAAGUAUUGUUGCCGUGAGUCUAUCCCUGCAUAUGCUUUUUUAUUUUUCCCUGGCUUGAAGGGGUCUUUAUGAAACUAAUGUCUAAUUGAAGUAAUUCAAAUAAGUCCUGAAUAUAUCAAGGCAUCGGAGCACCAGGUGACCGGCUUAAAAACGAGGCAUUGAGAAAUGGAGAGACCACUUUUUUACUGACGAAUUGAUCUUUUAUAAUUGGGAAAGGUAGUCCAUUUCUCUUAACUGGUCAACAUAAGUACUGUAGAUAUCAUUGGUGGUCAAUGCACUAGAAGAAAUUGAAUCGAAGGGAGUCACUUGGCCACUUAUCACUAUUUAUAUCAACCGUGGAAAGUAUGUCAACUAAAGCUGAAACCUUAAGCCCAUUAACAAACUUAGUAAAGUCCAAUAUCACACAAUGCUUACCUCGUUAUGAGCGGAUUAGAUAAAGUAAUUUUGGCCCAAACAUAAACUAUAUAUUAAUUGUUCUAUAAGACCGUCAACUUUUUGAUGUCAAACUUUACAAUUGCCUUCGUGUAUUACUUUAGAUUGGGGGAGCAAAAGCAGGAUAGGCCAAAAUAGAAAAACAAUUUAUUUGGAUGAUGCCUUACAUGAGGAAUUUUCGGAGGAGGAUGAACAAUAUAUUCAUAUUGCUCAGAGCAAAUAAUAGCUUGACUGACUUAAAAUAAUUAGUCAAUGAAAAAUAUUGUUGUUACAAUUUAUAUUCAGAUAUUUUCAUGUAUGAUAAAAAUAUAUUUCGUUCAUUCAUUUUUAUAAGUAAUUAUUUUAGGAAAAUAUUUUUCAUAUAAUUCAUUUUCUAUGAAAUAAACAGAGUCUAAUAUAUGAAUUGAUGCCCUGUAUAUCUGUAAUUUUUUUAGGACAUCAUAUAUGAUGAAAAGGGCUGUUGGAUUGGGAGUUUUAGCAAUUCAAGUCAAGCUUUGUUGAUAAUGACGUGACGUUUGCUUUUCUUUAAGACAAAAUCCUUUGGUGUAUGCUUAUAUAAAUUUUCUCAGUUUUCGCCGGACAGAGUUCCAUAAUGAAAGCAUAAAUAAAUCAAUUGAGGAUGCAUUUUUGUGAAGCUGAGCAAAGAAUUUUGUGAGAUAAUAUGAUAAUGAAGAGCCAAAGAGCAGAAGUCCAAGGCGCUUUAUUUGGCAUUUUGCCUUUUUGAAUAUUAAGCCGCCUAAAAUGUAUUAUUUUGUAAUAAGAUCAUUUUUAACUGAAUCAAGUUCAUCGCCUUUCUUUUUCUUUUAAAAAAUAACAAACCUAAAACGAAUUCUGAACCUGUGUAUAGAAAUAAACAGUUGAAAAACAUAUCUGUGUAUUUUGGCUUGAUUGUGUAGACUCAUUUUACCAUUUAUAUAGGAGAUGAGAAUAAUCACAUCACAGGAUUAAUGCAAGGGCUGUGGAUCUUUCUCCUAGGUAAAUAUUUGCAACCUUUCUAAUUUAUAGUUUUUUUACGAUAAAAGCCUACGUUUAUUUCUGCAAACGACGGGAGACCAAAUGGCAAUUGAGUUCGAUUGGGCUUUGUGUGGAGCUAACAUGCCAAAUAAAAUCAUCUCUUUUGUGAAUUUGACCGCUUAAAUCAUCUUAUUAUAUAAUUUCUCAAUAGUUGACUUCUAGCGCUGCUCGACGCAUGCUCCCUAGUGGCCUCAACAACGGGCCUAUUAUUCCCAUUGGCCCUAAGGAGUCAUCAUUUCUCCAUUUAGAAGUAAAAUAGGCUUACGAACAAAUUUAAUUGAUGCAAAUAGAAUAAUAAACUGAUGGCCUUUCGUUUUCACAUCCAGUAGUCUUCCUCUGCGCGAGCUCGCACGUUGCCUUCUAGGGAUAAUCAUUAUCCCGGGGAGUUUGGGCGUGUAGAAGGAGCAAAAUGCUAUAAGCAUCCGAUGUAUAGGGGCUUACUUCAUCUUAGCUAUUAGAUUAUGUGAGUGGUCAUAUUAUUUAAUGUGCUGAAUUUUAUCUAGGGAGGCAUUAGGAUAAGCGUCAAUAUUAGGAUCCCUUGAUUCAUGCAAUGAUUGAAUUUCAUAAUUAAAUUAAAUGCAAGUUUGUGGUCAAAAAAAUUAAAUACGAUUCAGUGGAUUCGUUUGCCUCUUCCUUCUCCCUUCUUGUUUCCCAAUUUGAGGUGCAUGUAUGAGAAGCCAAUUUUUUAUGUGAAGUUAAUCGUUAAUACUGAUAAAAUAUUUCAAAUAUGUCUGUUUUGCAUUUAUACAAUCCCAUAAUGUUAGAUCUCAAAUUCCAUGCCCACUUUGAAUGUGACAAAAUAACAUAUUCAGGACAUGAUGACAUUAUUAAUACGUUAAAUGUGGUGUCAACUUCUCCAGGAAGAAAAUAUAAGAUAAAUUACUCCUUAUUCCUUAACUAUAGAGAAUCUCAUGUUAAAAAAAAAAAAAAAAACUAUAGAGAAUCUCCGGUAAAUCUGUUCACCUGCCGUGUGCGCAUGGUGCGGUUACCCUCCUAAAUGACCCAACUGCCCUCACUUUUUUGACGAAUUUCCUUUUUAAAAAAAUCCGGACUCUGAAAANNNNNNNNNNNNNNNNNNNNNNNNNNNNNNNNNNNNNNNNNNNNNNNNNNNNNNNNNNNNNNNNNNNNNNNNNNNNNNNNNNNNNNNNNNNNNNNNNNNNCCGUGCCGUCACCCCUCGUCGUCGAGCCGCCCCCGGCCAUCGCCUGUGCCGAUCCUUGACCUCAAAUUCGGAGUCCAUCUCUGCAUCGUCCUCACAGAAUGAAGAGAAAGAGGGAGGGAGAAGAGACGGCGACAGGCAGCUGGGACAGGCAGAAGCCGUGAUGGCGGAUUAGGGAGGGGUUACGAGUUGUUCCUGAGUUUGGGACUUUUGCUUACGCUAGGCCGAAGGUGCUGGUGAAGGAUAUGUCUGUUGAAAUUUUGGAUUUUUUUUUUCUUUUGGAGUAUUAGAGUACUUGUGGUGAUUGGUGGGAUGAUGCUUGCAGGCUGCAGCAAUGUAAGCUGGGAUGGUGAUUGGAGGGAUCGCUGGCUUUCUCUAAUUCGUAUUUUUGCUGGCAAAGGUUUCCUGACUUCAUUGUUGCUACUUUGGGAUUUGUUAUUAUCGACAUCCCUAUAGAUGUUUGUGUAUAAUUUCUCAUCGACUGAUUCUUUUGUAUCGUUAUAUCUGCUAUUGAAUUCGCUGUUGAGUUACAUUUCGUUGUUCAUUUUCUUCGUGUGAUCACAAACAAAGACCCAGAUUUAAACGCAUUGUCGAAUACCAUAGACACUAUCCCUCCUGUCUGCCCUUGUGCUAGCACUAGACCUUGUUUUUUUCUCUUCUUUUUCUUUGGUUUUUUCAGUAUAGUAUGACCAACGCAGUGUUGAAAUGUUGCGCAAUGGUUAACAUGGAGGUGGGCAUACGUGAGGUUCGUUGUCUCAUGCAGCUCAUACUUCUGACUACGUGAACAAGAUUUUGGGUGAAUUUCCAUUUAUUUCCACAAGUUGAUAGGGAAGUCGUGGUUAUUUGCUUUUUAACAAUAAGCUGUGGAUUUUGGUAAUUUAGUUGAUUGGUGCCCAAUUGAUUGACGACCUUGUGUUGAAAUUGCGAGGCUUUGAAUAUUGAAACGAUUGCAGUUACUUACCUCUGAGCAAAUUAGAUCAAGAUGUUCACAUGUAAUUAGAAUGAGAAAGAGACUCUCCUUCUAAAAUGCUUGCUUGGCCCAUUUAUGGAAAUGAAGAAUGUCGAUGCACAUCACUAAAUAGUAAGCCUUGUUUAUGCCCUCCACGUCAGGAAAUUUUCUCAUUUAAAGGUACCUGGAACAUGCUGAUUACAUGUUGCAUCUUGCAUGUUAUAUAACCUUAUAAAUCUUCCUUAUACUUUAUCACUUAAAAUGGUUNNNNNNNNNNNNNNNNNNNNNNNNNNNNNNNNNNNNNNNNNNNNNNNNNNNNNNNNNNNNNNNNNNNNNNNNNNNNNNNNNNNNNNNNNNNNNNNNNNNNAUUAUUUCUCAUGUCGUACAUUAGAGGCUUUCAAUUGCUUAUCUUAAAAUGAGUAGGAAUUAUCUGCAUUUAGGUUCUAUUUAGAAAGGAAUCACUUCAGCAGAUCUUUCUCGUCCUUUGAGAAAGUGCAAGAGUAUAGGAAGAGAUAUUGUUUUGCAUGUUAUUCAAGUUCAGAGCCUGGUUAAUGGUAUUGCGAAAACUGACAAAAGAAAGGUGGAGAUGUAUCUAAUUCUGGAGUUCUUUCCAUUUUUUUCUUUUUUCUUUUUUUCUUUUAAACUGUUUCACAUUGGUUGUUCUUUUAUUGGCUGAACCCUUAAUGAAGCUCAGAGCUGGUAUUAUUGUCUUGUGUAUAGAACAAAAUAAACAAUUCAUUUGUUUCAUGUGUCCCUUCAUUUAAAUAUGAGAAUGCUUUCUUGCUGAUUGAAUAUACUUCCGAAAGCAAUAGUUAUUAGAGCAAACUUCUUAGUAGUUUUGUUUACAUGAGAGUGAAUCUAACAAACUUGGGGUAAGAAGUUAGUCUUAAAAAUUGUUAACCGCGUGUGAAGUCUAAAAAGCCAUCCUUUUCCUUAAUGCAAGAUUUUAAGGCUCUCUUAUUUCUAUCUCUUGACUAAGAAAAAGGCUAAGAUUCGGAUUGGGAUUUAAUUCCAUGGUCACCACAUCUUAUCUGCAUCUUUUCCAGCAUAUCCAUGUCCAAAGGAGAUCUAGUCUGAGGGCAACACAUUGGUGGGUGAUCUGAGGAUUCUCAUUGACUUUGCCAUAGCUAGUAUCUGUUUGUAUGCACCCUUCUUCUUGUUUUUGUUUUCUUUUUGUAUGUUGGCUAUUUAGAAACCCUCCCAGGGCAAUCACACAUGUCGAAAACUUGUGAUGCCGAAUAGUUCCAUAUGGNNNNNNNNNNNNNNNNNNNNNNNNNNNNNNNNNNNNNNNNNNNNNNNNNNNNNNNNNNNNNNNNNNNNNNNNNNNNNNNNNNNNNNNNNNNNNNNNNNNNNNNNNNNNNNNNNNNNNNNNNNNNNNNNNNNNNNNNNNNNNNNNNNNNNNNNNNNNNNNNNNNNNNNNNNNNNNNNNNNNNNNNNNNNNNNNNNNNNNNNNNNNNNNNNNNNNNNNNNNNNNNNNNNNNNNNNNNNNNNNNNNNNNNNNNNNNNNNNNNNNNAACUAUGAGUGGACAAGAACCUGUGAGAUUUGUCCUGCACAAUUAGUCCUUAGCAUCAACUAUGGUUUGCCAGGCACUCGGCCCCUCUGCCAAGACCCAUCUCUCUCUCUCUCUCUCUCUCUCUCUCUCUCUCUCACACGCGCACGCACGCAAACACGGACAAACACAAGUACUACUAUGUGCUGCCUCCAUCUUUCUUUGCACUGUGGUUUACUCCAUUAAAUAGGCUAUGACUGUGCUGACAGUACCUAAACAAAGGUGUGGUAUUUCUCUCUAUACGAAAAUCCAGGAUUUGAAUUGGUCAAUGAUUUCAAAUUGGGGCACCUUGAUGCAACAAUUAGUUCACCACUCCAUUCCACCACAAUGUUAUGCUCUUGUCUCCUCUCUUAUUUAUUUGAUAUGUAUACCUGCAUAAUGACUGAAGCAAACUGGCUUAUUUGCUAUAGCAAAGUGACCUGUGAUUGAGGAUGCCAUUAUAUGCGUGCACAAUGAGCUUGAGUUUCUAUUACAGUAAGAUUGAAUCAUGGCCUCAGAACUGGAAUUUAAGUUUGAAAUUCAAGCUGAACGCUUUUCGGUGCAUGUAUUUUAACUGAGGAUACUUAAUGGGUAUCUGUCAGACUCAUACUGCUGACGUUGAGGCUUUUCACAAAGUAAACUUGAUGUCGCGUAAGCAGAUCAUAUUUUUUUAAAUCCGGAGUUCUUUCUCAUUAUAUCCGCCGGAGUUCUUUGUAUUGUCUUAGAAUCCACCAAUUUUUUCCUUUGCAAUUUCUGUUUUUCAUCUGGAAUCCUCGACAAUCUAUCAGUCAUCUCUUAUUUAUGAUGUCAGCUAAAAUUUUCUCAUAAUCUUGUUGUGCUAAAAAGUAUUUUCUUAAAUAAAUAUUCUUGCUCCUCGAUGUUCUCUUAGCCGAUCAUAUUACCCCUUUCUAUCUUUACAAAGCAAAUGGAGGAUAGGCUAGUUUAAUUCUUCCAUACUAGGAACUAAUUUUGGUAUGGUUGACAUGAUGUGAAAUAUCCAAUUGUCAUUUCUCCUUUGCAAAUGCACUUCUGGAAGCAAUAUUCCUAAUAAUAUAGGUUAGUGCUUUGAAGAGCCCAUGCUGAUCUCAAUAAUUGGUUUUAGAUUUGAACGCCUGAAUAUCACCAGUAAUAUUUAGCUAGUUGCUUUGGUGUCUGAAGGUCCAAUUAGAAACCGACAUGGGAUGGGAUUACUGUAUUGGGCUUAAGACCUAAGACUAUCAGAACUUAUAUGGUGCAAAAGAUAAUAGGCACCAAGCUGACUGGUUUUCAUGACUCUUUUUUUUUUUAUACAGGCACUCCUUGCUGAUUUUGAAGUCUCUGAAGGCAUAUAUUCUCGAGCUCGCAUUGAAGAUACUGAUUCAGUCUGUCUAUGGCUGGGAGCAAAUGUUAUGUUGGAGUAUUCAUGUGAAGAGGUUGUACUCGAGUUUAAGCAAUGUCCCUUUCUCUCCAAUAAUGAUGUCAAGUAUCUUAUUUAUUGCAAAAAUUUAUGCUGCAGGCCACAACCCGUCUACAAAAGNNNNNNNNNNNNNNNNNNNNNNNNNNNNNNNNNNNNNNNNNNNNNNNNNNNNNNNNNNNNNNNNNNNNNNNNNNNNNNNNNNNNNNNNNNNNNNNNNNNNGUAAUGUUGGAUCCAUCAAUGUUUCGGCAUUUCACCUUGACUCUGUAUGUUAGUAAGAACCAAUUUAAAUUUGAAUUCGGGGGAGAAACAUGGGCCUGCCUGGGGUCCACUGAGGAAUACGCGUCAGCAGGAGUGUUUUUGGAUCAAGUGACUUAUUGCUGUAAUUUGGUUGGUCUCUUGUUGUCAGAUCUUGAAGAUUUCCAUUAUAUUAGAGCAAUGUAGGUACCGUCUGGGUAGAAAGUCCGUGCCAAGACAAUUUGUAUAUAUAUAUCACUAAAAUCAACUUUUUGCAACUUUUGAGUUUUUAAUGUAAGUACAUUACUAAGUCAAAUUUUCAAUUCGAGCCAAUACAGUAGUGCCAAGCCCUGAGUUCAACUCCUCUUAGAUAUUCGAUGUUGGAAACUCCCCUCAAAUCAUGGACUACUAAAAGUUUGGCUUGAGCUUCACCAAACUAGAAUCAAGAUAUUCAAGAUCAAGUUGACUUGAAACAAUCAAAUGAAAGAAUGGGCUUGAGCUCAAGCCCAUUAACUUCAAAUAUUAUACUCUACAUUUAUGUGAAUUAAGUAUACUACAAUUUGCAAAUGUCUUCCCCUCUAUUAUCGUGAUUAUCAAUUAUUUUCUGAACAAAAUAAUAGAAAUUGGAUUGGAAUUGUGAUUCUCUCAAGUUUGAUCUCGACUCGAUGAAAUUCUUGGUGUAACUCCAAUCUAAGCUCGACUCAAAACCAGACUAGUUGAUCUCAAUUAAUUAUUAAGUCAAGCUUCAAUUAGUCUAAGCUCGACUCGAAACUAGACCAAUCGAUUUCGACUAAUUAUUAAGUUGAGCUUGAAUUAGUCCUAAGUCGGACUCAACUUCAACCCUACUGCUAGGCUCGCAAGGUCCAAUACAUGUAUGAGGACUUUCAUGGGCCAAAUAGUAUUUCCGACGUUGAACUCGUCAUUAUGUAAUGCAAGCCCUUCCUUGGUAGGAGGGUCUCGCACAUCUCCCCGAAGUGUUAUGACCUCCGAAUGAACGCGAAUUUUUAGAGAAGUUGAUGGGAAAAAGUAUAUAUGAUCACAAUUCAAUGGAGGCAAUUAAAAGUCACAAUGGGACAAUUUUUUUUUUCCAUGUAGAAAGAAUGUAUAUUUAUUAUGUACACUAAUUAUUCCUCUAAUCAUGAAUAUACCAAGAUGAUGGAAUGCAAAAGGUCAUUAGUGAAUUUGGGGAAAUUUGCAGUCUAUUAAUGUUACAUCAUGCAUCACAAUCAAUCUAUGACUCUUGAAAGCAAAAGGUGACUUGGAGCCAAAUUCACAUUUCACAACUUUUUCAUGGCACAAGAUAAAAGAUUAGUAAGUGGAAUAAAGGCAAGUAUCAAUUGAUCAAGCAAAUUAGUGCGAAUAUGGAUUGAAUAUUAGAAGAUCUACUUUGUUGGGCUUAGCAAAAGCAAAAUGAAACUUCGGCUCCGGCUGAGGAAAAGCUAAUCCUCAUGAUUUUUUGUGGUUGAAUUCCUUCUGAAUUUAAUGAGCAAAACAAAAACAAUUGCGCGUGGUUUUAUAGUAAAAGUUCCACUGUGAAAGUAAGCAAUAAUUUUGCUACAAUGAUCUCAGGGUGAACAAUAUCUUGUCUGCCAGUAGUGGAAACCUGAUAGCAUAGUGUAAAUAAGCAAUAAUUUUUUAUAGUGAUUGGAUGGUGAACAGUAUUAUUGCACAUGUUGCUACAGUUUCUGGUGGCUAUCUUCUCUUGGUGAUUUUGUUCUUCUUCUAACAAGCCGACCCCACGGUAGUAAUCUUCUUUUGUAUCUCUGCUACGGUGUGAUUGGUAGGAGCUAGCUUUUCACAGUUGGUGGGCUCUUUAAUUUUGGAAAUGAUUUUCUCCUUUACUGAAACAUAUUCAUUUGGUGAUUGCGCAACAGCAAGGUAGGGCUACUGCAAGAGAUUUUUGUUGCAAGAAUGAUGCAUUUAAUGAUCCGUCUAAUGUCGUUUGUGAUCUUGUGGUGAUUUGGGCGUAACGGUUGUUUAACCAAUUAUGGACUGAUUCUUUAGAAGUUUGCAUCAUCAAAGAGUGCAUAUAGCAAAGUUUAUCCCUACUCCCGCAAUUCAUGCAUUCUUACCAUAAAAGCCUACAUUUAUUUCUCGAGUUACACACAUUUCCUUGAUGAGUGAUGACCAAGCCUCACCUGGCCACGGCAAAAAGUUGAUGGAGAAAUCUAUAUUGUAAAUAACUAAAUUCACCCAAUUUUCACUAAAAAGACAAAAUUGCUUCAAAUCAUUCAAUCGCAAUUUAAUUGAUAGCCCCAAAUUCAUAAAAUAAAUAAAUAAAUAAAUAGUUUUUCUAUUUCAAUGUAGGAUUUCGUUACCAUAAUUAAGAAUUUCACAUGUCUAGUUUUUCUUUAUAAUAGGUAUUUCAAUAUAUUUAAAACACCAUUUCUUUUUUCACUGUUAGAUUUGUCUUCCAUAAACUUUAGGAAAUUUCCAAGAAACCUAGUAUGUCAAGCAAAUUUAAGGAUGAAUCUAGAAAAAAUUAUUAUAUAAAUAAUUUUUUGACACAAACACUUGUUUACAAAUUUCAAUUUUGUUGUGCAUAUCACUAUCAAACUCCUUCUUUUAUCAUUUGACCAAAUAAAAUUCCCUCUUAUCAGUUCUCUUCUAUACAUACAUACAUACAUACAUACAUACAUACAUACAUACAUACAUACAUGCAUGCGUGGAAAUUUAUCUAAUCUUCUAUACAUACAUACAUACAUACACACACACAUAUAUAUAAUGGGAUGAUCGGAUAAAUCAAGAAGGACUAGCAAAGAUUUUGAACUUAUUUCAAAAUAAAGAUUCAAAAUGUUAGAUCAAAAUCUUGAAUUUAUCUGACAAAUUUAGAUAGAUUAUCAAAAGGGCCUUUAAAUUUUUGUUAUCAAUCAAGAAGGACCAACAAGUAUUUUAAUAGUGCAUUACAUUUCAAUACAAUACUUAUCACAUAUAAAAUUAUUGUUCAAUCUGAUCAAGGAUAAAUCCAUCAUGCCACUUAGUGUGACAUUGGAAUAAAUAUAAGGAGAUCUGCUUUUUGGGCUUAGCGAAAGUAGAAUGGAAUUCUAGCUCCAACUGACAAAAGCUAAUCCUUUUGAAUUGAAUGAGCAAAACAAAAGCAAUUGUGUGUGAUUGUACAGUAAAAGUUCUAUAGUGAAAGUAAGUAAUAAUUUUACUGCAAUAAUUUGAUGGUGAAUAGUAUCUUGUCUGCUAGUACCAGAGGCCCGCUGGCAUAGUGAAAGUAAGCAACAAUUCUAUUGUAGUGAUUGGACGGUGACCAGUAUUAUUGCACAUGCUGCUACAAUUUCUAGCGGGUAUCUUCCCUUGGUGAUUUUGUUCUUCUUCUAAUAGGUGGAUCCCAUUCCAGUCAUCUUCUUUUGCAUCUCCGUUACGAUGUGAUUGGUGGGAGCCAGCUUUUCACUGUUGGUGGACCCCUUAAUUUUAGAAAUGAUUUUCUUCAUUACUGUAACAUAUUCAUGCGAUAAUUGUGCAGCAGCAAUGUGGCUUGCUGCAAGAGAUUUUUGUUGCAAGAAUGAUGCAUUUGAUUAUCUGGCUAUUGUUGUUUGUGAUCUUGUGGUGAUUUGGGCAUUUCAGUUGUUUAACCAAUUCCUGAGUAAUUCUUCGGAAGUUUGUAUCUUCAAAGUUUAUUUCCCCUCCCGCAAUUUAUGCAUUCUUACCAUAAAGGCCUACAUUUAUUUAUUUCCCGGGUUACACACAUUUUCUUGAUGAGUCAUGAUGAUCAAGCCUCUCCUGGCUUACGGCAAAAAGUUGAUGGAGAAAUCCAUUUCAUGUAUAACUAAAUUCACCCAAUUUUCACUAAAAAGAUCAAAGUGCACAAAAUCAUUCAAUUGCAAUUUAAUUGGUAGCCCCAAAUUCAUUGACUUUUUAAAAAAAAAUUCUAUUUUAAUGUAGGAUUCAAUUACCAUAAUUAAAAAUUUCACAUGUCUAUUUUAAAAAAAUAAAUUAUUGUAGGUAUUUCAAAUAAAUUGAAAACACCAUUUCUUUUUCUCUGUUAGAUUUUUCUUCCAUAAAACAUAGUUUUGUUGCAAAAAGAAAUUUCUAAGAAUCCUAGUUCUUUUCAAUGUUGUCAAGCAAAUCUAAGGAUAAAUUGUCAGGUAGAAUCUAAAAAAAAAAUUUAUCAUAUAGAUUUUUUUAACACAAUCACUUGUUUACAAAUUUCCACUUUUGUUGUGCAUAUCACCAUCAAACACCUUAUCGUUUGACCAAAGAAAAUUCCUUCUUAUGGGUUCUCUUCCACCACACAUAAUUAGAUGAUCAGAUAAAGAAACCCUCUUUAGGGUUUGAAGAUUUUCCAAAAUAAGAUAACAAUUACAUUUUCCAAUGGAAAACUUUAAAGAUGAAAUUUAAUUAAAUUAAAAAUUUCACAAAAUAUAAUUUUUUUUUAAAGAUGUUGAUGACAUCUCAUUAUUUUGAAUUGACAAAAAUUAAUAUCAUUGACCAAGUAUGUAUGAAAAAAUAUCUUGAUGCUUCAUUAUGCACAACCGUUUUAGUAUAUUCCUAGAUAUUCCACAAUGCCUAACAUCUAUGUAAAAGCAUCUCGCUGAUAGUAAGGGUAAAAGGUAAGUUCUUUAAAGAGACUUGGUAUAUAUUUUAGACUAAUGAAAUUAAAAAAAAUAAAUAAUUCACCAAGAAAGUGAGCUUUUGAAAUAAGAGGGAGAAAGAAUAAAUUAGUUUUUAUUAGGGCAAUGAUGAGAAGAGACUUUCAAGGUUUUGACUAUAUCAAAUAAUUUGUGUUUUUUUUUUCUUACUAGUGGCCUUUAUAAGGAGCAUGUAAUACAUUAUAGUAAUAUUUUAAGGAUACACUAAAAAAAAAUUCUUUAGUACACUAAGAAGAAUAAAACGCGUGGAAUGUGUAAUUAUGGUAACUAGAAAACGUAGGAAAAGAAAUAAUGUGAUUGUCACUCUAAAUUGCAAUUGAAUGAUUGAAGGCAGUUUAGUCUUUUUAGUGUAAAUGUGGUGGAUUCGAUCUAGCGCUAUCCAGAAUUUAAUGGGGAAAUUAAAGUUACAAUGAGAUAAUACUUUCUUUUCCAUAUAGAAAGAAUGUUAGCUCUUAUGCACACUGUUUAUUCCUUCAUCAUGAAUAUACCAAGAUGGUAAAGUGCAGAGGUCAUCAGUGGAUUUAGAAAAAUUCCGUGUGAUUUCACCAACAAUUGGCUUUUAACGGUGUAUCACACGUUAUGGUGGAUCUACGACUCUCGAGGGCGGAAAGCGACUCUGUGCUGAUUUGACAUUCACAAUUUUGCAAUGACAAGAAAAAGGGUAGUCAAUGGAACAAAGGCAACAUUGAUCAUUUGGCUUAGCAAAAGCAUAAUGGAAGCUUGGCUCCGACCGAGAAAAGCUAACCCUUUUUAAGUUAUGGAGUAGAACAAAAGCAAUUACAAUAUGCCUUUUUCUAGACUAGAAAUCGAGGACGAGAUUUGUCACCAAAAACAAAACGGACAAAAGGAUUAAAGGGCAUCCAUCAUGCUUCCUCAGAGGUCACGCCAAAUCGUCUGUUUAUGGAGCCAGACCACUUCAUCAUCUUAUGUUAUUAAUAUUCUAUAUAUGUCUAGAAGGAUAAAAGCAUUAAGACAAGCGGCUAGAUUGGGAUCCCAUGAUUUGUGCAACGAUUGAAAUGCAUAAUUUAAAUUAAGAUACAAAUAUGUGAUAACAAAAAUCAGAUGCAAUUCUAAAUGAUUUGUGAGCGUAUUCCCUCACUUUUUGUUUCUCAAAUUUAGGCGCCUGUAUGAGUAGCUUAAUUUUUACGUGAAAUUAAUCGUCAAUUUUGAUAAAACAUUUUAAAUUUCGGUGUGCUCGUAUGUGAAGUGAGUCUCUAUACAAUCGCAUAAUAUUGGAUUUCAAACUUGGUGCCCACCUUAAAAAGGACAUAAUAACAUGUAGGACAUGAUCACAUUUUGUGUAUGUGCCUGUGUGAAUAAUCUGCGGAAAUAGAGAGUAAAUCUAGACCGCAUUCAAUGGAACUAGAGAAAGGUUCAACGCCUUCGAUUCAUUAGAGACGCCAUCAUCGAUUAUUAGCAAAAAGUAGUUGAUUUAACCAUGUUUAACCAUGAUUAAGUUAAAAUUUUGGGCUUGGCACUUAUAAGAAAGAAAAUUUUGCUCACAAAAAUUGAAAAAAUGAAGUAAAACCCUUUGGUCGUUACUUGGAUGUUUCUACGAUCUUUCCAAAAAGCAUUCUAGGAGGGCCUGCAAUUGUUAAAUCACAAAAUAAUGGAUCUCCACUAUGAAAACAAAGCUUUUUCAAGAUUUUACAAAUUGCUACGGUUUGCAUUAUUACGUGUAUCGAUCCAUCGACUAAUCAUAAAAUGGAAAUAGUUGCACGGAUCAUGGUUUGCAGACCAAAUGUGAUCACAUCCAUUGAUGUUUAGGUGAUCCAUGUAUAAUUUAUGUGAUAAUGAUUUUUUGAUGGACCCGAUAUAUGUGGAUCAGAGUACUGGCAAGUCUUAACCCAAUGAAGUCUAUAUGAGUUGGGAGAGAGAGUGAACUCCCUUAAGAAACAAAGAUGAACUUAAGUUCUCUUUGCUUAAAAUAAAUGCGAGUCUAUCCUCAAGUCUUUGUCAUACCCUCUUGUGAAAUCACUCUUGUGAACGCAAAAGCAAAAGCACUUAAGUAUGUUUGUCUGGUCAAUUCUUUGUCAGAUCCUCUUGUGUAAGCAAAAGCACUGAAGUAUGUCUGUCUAGUUAAUUCGUUUGCACAUAGCCAAAUUCCACAGGCUUGUUUGUUCGUGUGUUCACACACGCACAACGUGUUUUGCAAUUUGAGGACCAGGACCUGGAAAAUACCAAGAAACUCAGGUUGAUAUCAUCAAAAAGCAUAAAGACCCUCAUUCAAGAUUAAAAAUGUUUCGAAAAUCUCAACUUUGUUGAUCUCCUUGUGGAGGAGGAAUUGUAUUUUCUUCACAAUUUCCACAAAAGAAUCAGCUAAAGUCUCCCGCUUAGCUCCCUUUUAGCUUGACAAAAGGGAUCUAUUUUGUACACGUAUUUUGCAAAGUGAAACUCAAAUUGCAUAAAAGAUUAACAUUAGCAUGGACCUAAAAUUAAAGAAUAUAGAAAACUUUAACCAAUAUCUUUCAAUUUUAUGAACCAUUAGGUGAAAUCGAAGUACAUAGACUUUGAAGAAGGUCAGCCAACUAAAAUUGCCCAAUCUGUUAUGUAGAGUUAAACUGAAGCUAAGAGACCGGUCACUCCUAUAUUGUUCAUGAGACACAUCUCUAUAGCUCUGUACUUAUGACGUGACAUGACGCUUGGCAUUGUGUUGCCAUGUAGCUCAAUGACCUUACAAAUUAUUUACAUAUCAUCCUGUGCAAUGUGUUAUUUUCCAGUGCUAUUUAUAGAUAAAGUCAACAUUUAACAUCUUCAAAUACGAAAAAAAAAGAUUUUAUCUAGAGGUAGGCUUAGGCAAAACAAUUAAUUUAAACUUAGCCGAAAUAAUUGAAUUAAACAACAAAUAGUAUAGAAAUGUGUCUUAUAAAUAAGUAGUACAUAUUGCAGUAAUUGUCUUCUUCCACGGAGCAUCGACAUUUUUUCUUCGAAAAACUCGAAAAAUAAUGUUACCCAUAUUUUACCUAAAUUUGACCGAAUUUGGUCAAGCAUAACUUUUUCGUAUAAGGUACAAUUGAAUCGAUUUUUCCCCCAUGGAAAGCUGGUGACUUCAAUUUAGCUAAAACGCGGUUGACCUCAGAUUGCGGAUUUUGGGCGGUCAGGCCAGUUUGAACUUGGCAAAAAGUUCUGAUGUUUUUGUCAUAAAAAUUCCGAUCUUUGUGAUUUUGAUGGUGUUGGAAAUCAUAAAGUUUCCGACACCUCAAGAUCGUACAGCCGUGCUUAGAAAAACUUGAUAUAUUGAGAUCUGGCUGUCCGAAUUGGGCAGAUUGGGUAUCUUUAGAAAGCUUUUGACAAGCACACCUGAUUACAACCUUCGACUGAACUUUUAAUGAAGUUUGACUCUCGGUCAACUUUGCUAUGGCACUGAAAGGUCGCUUGAGUCUUUAGGGACCUUUCGAAUGUGUUCAAUGAUGACAAGUGAUUAUUUGUCGAGCAAUCCAGCUUUGCCAUUUCUGUUCCUUAUUCGAUGGAGUUAGCCAACAAAUAGGGUGACCCUUUUUUCGGUCCAUUCGUUAUUGCCGAAAUAAAAUUUUCUGGAGUUCUACAAAGACAUUCGACUUGUUCUUUUAAUCUGUACUGUGUUGGAUCCAAAAUUGAAUAUGAACGAGUUCGGAGUUCUGCUUCCGAUAUAUUAUGAAAACUUUGGCCUAGAUGAAUUGUGAGAUAUAGAACAAAUCUUGGUGAUGGUGAGGACUUAGCUACAUAAUCUAUGGAUCAAUGCAAUCACAUCCAUUGAUUUUUGUAAUUUAUAUAGCUAAUGGAUUUGAUAGACCCAAUUUAUGGGGACUUGAGAACUAGCAAGUCUAAUCUAGUGAAGCCCAUUUGAGUUAGGAGAGAAGAUGAACUUCCUUAAGAAACAAAUUUUUUUUUUUUGAUCAACUAAGAAACAAAAUUGAACCUGCCAUUUUUCUUUGCUUAUAUUGUACAGAAGUCAAUCUUGAAGUCUUUGUCCGACCCUCUAGUGUGAAGGCAAAAGAUAAAGCACAGAAGUAUGUUUUGUCUAGUUAAUUCGCUCGUUAUGCACUGGUCUACGCAUUGCCAAAUUGCACGGCAAAUAGGCUCGUAAUUCGUGUGUUCACACGAGUACACACAAAGAUGUCAAUACUUACAAGUUCCGUUUGGAGAUUGGCAACCGACUUGGAAGAUCGGCAAAGAGCAUUUUGAAAUUUUAGGCCCUGAAAAAUACCGGGAAACUGCGGUUGAUAUUAUCAAAAAAUCAUAAAAGUCAAACUUUCGAGAAUAAAAUGUUUGAAGAAUCUCAACUUUAUUGGAAUUAUUGUGAAGGAGGGACCACAUUUUCUUGGAAAUUUCCAUAAGAGAUCAACGUCCAAUUAAGCGAUAUGAGUCCAAUGCUAAAUCAACCAAAAACAAAUGAUAGAGACGAAUCAAAUCCUGACAGAAUCAACAUUUGAUUUAAAUAUCAGCGUGCAAUUUUAUUUGGUGUACAAUUUCAAUCCGCGAGCAAUUUUAUUUUGUUACCGUCCAAUCUAACAUCGAAGUGCAAUCAUAACUUGUAAUAAUGGUCAAUAUUCAGGUUCAUGUAACUUUAUUGCUAAAGUGACUAAUUACGAGUAUGAAUGGCUUUUUGGGUUUUUUUAUUUACGAAGGAAGGCUGCAGGUGGCUUCCAGGCAAACGACACGUAGUACCAAAGCAAUGGCAAGUGAAACUCAUUUUCAGUUGUCCAGCUACAUCCAACAUUCAACCAUUCAUUAACACACAACUUAUACUUCCGAGACCACCCCCUCCUCUUCGACCACUUCUAUCAAUUAUUUACUCAACUUAGCCUGAAUGCUUUUGUUUGCUUAUAGAGGAAAGCCGCAGGUGAUUUCCCAGGAAACGCAGUGGAAGUGAGCGAUUUCACUCCUUUGCUUCGUCAAGUUGUUGCAAGGAUCAGGCUCAAACUUCCCGAGUUACCGGGCGGACUCAAUUCAGGGAUCAAUCACUCCAUCGUCCUCUCAGAAUGAAGAGAAAGCGGGAGGGAGAAGGGGCGGCUCUGACAGCUUCAGCAAGUAGUAGCUGUGAUGAUGGAUCAAGGAAGGUUUAUGAGGUGUUCUUGAACUUCAGAGGACCUGACACCCGCUUAACCAUCGUUGAUUGUCUUUACAAUGACUUGAUCUGUGCGGGGAUCCGCGCUUUUAAAGACGAUGAAGAGCUCCGAUUUGGCAAAAAGAUUGAAGGCGGCCUCUUGCAAGCAAUCAAUGACUCCAGAAUUUACAUCCCGAUUUUCUCCAAAGAUUAUGCUUCAAGUAAGUGGUGCCUCCGUGAGCUGGCACUCAUAGUGGAGUUAUCGAGAGAUAAUGAUGAGAAAGUGAUCCUCCCUAUCUUCUACGAUGUGGAUGUGGACGAUGUCAAGCUUAAGACCAAUUUAUAUAAAGGAUGCCUCCCAAAAGCACAAGAAUGACUCUGGGGAAGAUUUAACAAAGCAGUGGGAGGAGGCUUUAAGAGAUGUUACCAGAAUUAGUGGAAAGAAACUAAAAGAUUACGGGUAUGGUUUGCUUCUCCAUUGACUUUAUUUUCUUAUUCACAAUUUCAAUUUCUUAUUCCUUCAUAGAAUAGUUAGAUUCAGUUUGCUGCUGUCCAAACUUAUGUAAUGUUUGGUUGGAUUUGACGCAAUGAUCUGUCAUUUUUUAAACCAAGUUUGCUCAGAGGGCAAGGUUUCUUGCACAAAUUGACUUUUCAUUUUUAAAACCAACUUUUGAUAACAAUUAAUGUUAAGGUGUAUCAACUUGAUUAAUUAAUAUAUAACGGAAAAAAAAAAAAAACCAAGAUAUCCAUAAACAUCUAAGAUGUGUUAAUAUAGUAUGACUAUAUAUGUGUGAAAAAUAAAAAUAUUUAAGUUUCUUAACUUCAAUUGCAUUUUGUACAUAAAGUUAAAGACCUGUUACAAUUUUCUUGACCUUAUGCCUAUGAUGUUUGCCUGAAAAAUUAGAUCGAGUUUAGUAUUAUAUCUUCUUUCCUUUUGUUAUACUAAUGAAAGCUGAGGAAGAAUUGGCCCAAAAUAGGAGAGCUCAGUAAGGAGCUUCUUUAUGCGUCCGAGCUAAUAAUGGUUAUAGUUAGUUCAUACUUGUUAGUGUAUGAUGUACCCGAGGGAGACGAAAAAAUGCGCAGGAAACAUAGAGGAAGUCUUUGGGAUACUUUUCUAAAACUUAACAGCGAAGAGGAAGAAAUGAUAGAGCUGACCCCCUUUGGGAUUGACCCAGUGACUCUGGGAAGGAUAUGGCAAAGUAGUGGGAGGAGGCUUUAAGAGAGUUUGAUAGAAUAAAGGACGGAAUCUAAAAGAUUACGGUAUUAUUAGCUUCUUCCAUUAAGUUUAUUUCCAUUUCAUCAAUUUCGAGAUUAUAUUUUAUGAUACUUUUUCCAAAAUAAGAACUUUCAGUUUGGCGCUGUCCAAUCUUAUGUGAUGUAUGGUUGGAUCAGCCGGAGUGAGGGAGGCAGGAAUUUUGCUCUGCGAGCAAGGUUUCUUGCACAAAUUGACUUUUCACUUUUUAUCCCAAGUUUUGGCAACAAAUAGUCUCAAGCUAUAUCAACUUAAUUAAUUAAUUAAUCAAUAAUGCAAAAAAAAUAUUUUUAUGAAAAUCUAAGAGUUGAUGAAAUAGUAACAUAUGUGUGAAAAGUAAAAAUUUAAAUCUCUUAACUUCGCAGCUCACUUUUCAGCUAGCAAAAUGCUUUUAAAAAACUUUGGUCGUUUCUCUUGCUUUGACCAAUUCACGGCCCCAAAUUGGGUACCACAGGGUGCGGAUUUCCUCAGCCUCGUGACCAUCCUAGUUUUAAAGUUGUCAAGUUUUAUAUGAAGCUACCAACCUUAAUUUGUGUCUUACCAACUACUUUUCGAUUAUUUUACAAACUAAUUUAAGGUGACCGGUGUUUAUUUGAGUCAUUUACUAAAUUUAUUUGAUAGUUUGCCGAUUUACAAAUUUUAUAAAACCUGCCCUCUCUUAUUUGAAUUGUUUACUUCACAUUUCAAGAUUACCAAUACUUGAAGCAAAUUACUAACUCAAAUAUGAGUUUCCUACUAGCUAACCUCUGAUUAAGUUAGUGACUAAUUUAAGUCACCCAUUCCUAUGUGAGCCACUUAUCAAUGUUUAUUUAUUUGUUGAAAAUUCCCGCCUUUCGUAACAAACUUUUGUUAUCAACGGACCCGCUUUGAUUAGCAUAGUUCACAAAUAUUCUGAGGUUAGGAACUCGAUUAUCAAAAUACCAAGCAUAGUUUGAGUUACCAACUUAUUCUGAUUAAAUUACCAACAAAUUUAAUGCCACUGAUGAAAUUGCUAAGUUAAACCAGUUGGUAGCUUAUUCGGAAAAAUGAUUGUUGGCAACUCAAAUGAAGGCUAAUAAAUACUCUGAAAGUGUUCCUCAUUUUCGGUUGGUACCCUAUUACUCGGGUAUAUUAAGAAAAACGCUUUUGAGCUUUUAUUCUUGUUUCCUAAAUUCCAGGUAACUGCAUGGUGAGAAAAUCUUUUUCUUUUAUGUCAAUCUUCAAACUCAUCCUUAGUGGCUGAAGAGAUAAAAAAGACCGGAUUCACCGAGGAAUUCCGGUCAAAGCCCAAUUAGACCUUCGUCAUGAAAUAAGCUUUUUCCUACCAUUUACUGGACCAAAGAAUCCUGACAGUAGCAGGUUUCAUUUUUCUUUCUUUUUUUUUUUCCCUUUUUGGGCAAACGGCUCGCAGCAUGAAUGAUCACUCAUUUCAUGCUGGUUGCUUUCAAAGUCAAUUACUUUGAAUUUGAUGAUAACCUUCUAGUGACACGUUAUGCAGGCAUAGAUUCCAUAUGUGAUUUUUUUUUUAUCUGCGAUGAUUGCAUGUUAUGUAUGUGGCAGCCUAUCUGAACUUACAAAACUCAUGGUGCAAGAGGUUUCAAAUUUGCUAUGGACAAGACGGACGGACAUGUCUAAUCAUUUGGUGGGAAUUAAGGAUCGAAUGGAUCACAUCAUGAAGCUAUUAGAUGUAGGAGCUUUUGAUGUACGGUUUAUUGUGAUUCAUGGUAUGGGUGGCAUCGGAAAAACGACACUAGCCGAGGCCGUCUUUAGGCAAAUCUACCCUCAAUUUCGGGAUUAUUGCUGUUUUCUUAAAGAUGUUCGAACUCAUGAUAUAAUAGACUUACAAAAGAAAUUGUUGUUCGAUAUUCUCAAUCUUAGUUACACAAACUCCUUCAUUGAUGAGGUGAUCAAGACAAGGUUUCUUGGCAAGAAAGUUCUCAUUGUUCUUGACGACAUCAACAAUCGAGACCAAAUCAUGAGACUUGCUGGUGAGCCCAACUGGUUUGGUGGGGGUAGUAGAAUCAUCAUAACAACUAGGAAUAUUGAAUACCUAGUAAAGGAAGGUGAGGAUGACAAUGUCCUAACCUCUAUUAGUAGACAAUUUUCAUUCUACAACAUGCCGGAGAUGAAUUUGCAUGAUGCUCUUCAACUUUUCUGUGAGCGUGCCUUGGGAUGUGCCGAGCCUCCACCUGGUUAUGUGGAUAUCACAAAAGAGCUAAUCAAUACACUUGGAGGACUUCCAUUGGCUCUCGAUGUUGUAGGUUCGACGCUCCGUGGAAAAUGCCGAAGAACAUGGGAAGAUGCCCUAUGUAAGUUAAAGAUGGUGAUGAAUGAGGAUGUCAAAAAGAAGUUGAUGAUAAGCUACGAAGCAUUGGAACCUAAUCAACAACAAAUUUAUCUUGAUAUCGCAUGUUUCUUCAUCAACGAAGAGAGAACAACUGUAGUUAAAUAUUGGGACUCGAUUUUUGGUUAUCCGACUGAAAUCGAGGUCAAUAUCCUCAAACGUAUGUCUCUAAUAAAAAUAUCCUACAAUAAUAAACUAUGGAUGCACGACCAACUUAGAGACCUUGGAAGGAGUAUCAUCCAUCCAGAAAGUGGCAAAAUCCAUAUGAAGGGUAGCAGAUUGUGGUCUCCCAAAGAUGCCUUCCGUGUAGUGCAGACAGAAAUGGUAAUCUUUACCUCUAAAUGUUUUCCAGUGCAUCCAUUAGCAUCACCACCUUUUUAUCUAAUUUCAAGUCAAAGUGACAUAUGUACUCAUUGAUUUCUACUUUUGUUUUCUAGGGAACCAAAGACAUAGUGGCACUCAAUCUUGGUACACCUAGCUUGAAUAAGACGUACAGAUUUAAGCGCAAGCAAUUUAUGGGCUUGGUCAACCUUAGGUUCCUUCAAUUGGACCAUGGAAAUUUUGAAGGAGACUUUAAGAAUGUUUUCUUCGAGUUGAGAUGGCUCUCUUGGAGCAAUUGCCCUUCAAAAUUCCGAGCUACCAAUUUUGGGUUGAAGUACCUAACCAUUCUCAUGCUAUCUGGGAAUAACGUUACUGAAGAUUGGGGAGGAUGGUGUCAAAUCAUGGUAUGAUCUCACAACAUACUUUUGCAUUACAUUUACUCUUUUACUCUUCCUCUUUUCUGAGUUUCAAACAAUUACUUUAUAGUUGGCAGAACAAUUGAAAAUCCUACAGCUCAAGGACUGUCCAUUCCUUAGAAAGAUGCCCAAGUUCUCCACAUUCUCACAGCUGGAGAAAUUGAUUCUUAGAUGCGUUGGACUAAGAAAGAUUGACAAGUCCAUCAGCAAUCUACAACAUCUUGAUUACCUAGAGAUAAAGAGUGAAGCUAUUGAGUCGCCACUAGAGUCCAUCGGCGGUCUAAAAUCUUUGACAGUGCUAAGAAUAGAACAAACACCCUCAAUGAAGUCUCUAAUCUUGCCAUGCAAGGAACUUCAAAAGCUUCCCGACUCUAUCGGACAAUUGGAGUCACUGCUUGAGCUAGAUGGCCAAUAUUUAAAAAUUAGUGAACCACCUCAUUCUAUUGGAAAUCUUGAAAGGUUGAAAGUUUUACGCGUUUGGAAUUCCUAUCUAGAAAAGCUACCAGACUCGAUUAGGAGGCUCCAAUCAUUGGUCAAGUUGGAUUUGAGCUAUUCAAGAAUCAGGAGUUUACCUGAUUGUAUUGGAAAUCUCAAAAAGUUGAAGGUACUAAAUCUCAAUGAUAGUUGCAUAAGUGAACUUCCGAAAACCAUAGGAAUGUUGGAAAAUCUAAAAGAGUUACAUGCCUGCUCUAAACAUCCGGUGGGGGAAAUUCCAAGUGAAAUCGGGGCACUAUCCUAAUUGAAAUAUCUACUCUUAGGCGACGGUUGCUUUAGUGGAUUGCCUACAACGAUCAAUCAACUUACAAAUCUCCAGCUACUUUAUUUACAGGACUGUAAUUCAAUCCAACAGCUGCCGGAGCUUCCCAAGAGUCUAACGUCUUUAACCCUUACAUCGGAUUCACUGACCAUGAUCCCCGACUGCUCAAACCUAACCAAUUUAGUUGACCUUAUGAUAAUUGGAUAUUCAAUUGAAGAACCCAACACAGAGGGGAUCGUGAGACUACCUGCUCUGAAACGAAUGGUCCUACGCGUUGGAAAAAUGGCCUUGCCUCCGACCAAUUUCAGUUCCCUCUCUCAACUACGAAGCCUCAGCAUAAAUUAUGCUAAGCACCAAUCCCUUAUCGGGCUCCCAUCCAGCCUUCCAUAUUUGUCGUUAUGCGAUGUCCUGUCACCGAUAGAUUAGUCAGUCUUUUCCAACUUGGAGAAUUUGUUGAUGCUGUAUAUUUAUGGAUAUUUGCUGAAAGAGAUUCGAUUCGAGGUGCUUGGAGAGCUACGGAAAUUCAAUAAAUUGAGGAUGUCCGACUGUCCAUUGCUCAAGACGCUGCCCGUUUUGCCUGGUCUGAAGGAGAUCCAGUGUUUGUUCCUGGUGUGAUUGCCUCUGCUAACUGAGAUUCAGGGUUUAGGAGAAUUGAAAUCAUUGCAGGAUUUGGAUAUUUCGGAAUGCAAUUCCAUCAAAAGCUUGAAUGAGUCUGAUCUUUCUAAUCUACGGAAUCUGAAAAGUUUGAGGUUUUGGCGAUGUGAAUCAUUGGAGAGGGUGCUGGGUGUGCCAAAAUCUUGUCGACUCAAGGUCGAUUGUUGCCCGAGGUUCAAUAGAGAUGGAUAAGAUAUGUAUCAUUUGAUUGACAAAGAUAGUAGAUGAUGGUAAGUCAAUAGAACUAGAGUUCGUUUUUUGUUGUCUUGUUUUGUGAGCUUUCCUUUAGCUAACCUUUCAUCUUGGUUCUAGAACCACCUCUUGCAUUCGUUCAUCCUGUUGUCUCUGAGGGAAAAUCCUCUUUCAUGUAGCAUGAACGUGUGAUACUUUGACUUGCCUACUUGACGAUGGUGAUACCUAGCUGGUUUACGUUGCGCACCAGCAUAAUGUUGGGAUUGACAUGCUUCACGGCACCUGUUUUGUUUAGAAAAUAUGGAUAAAGUGGAAGGGAACUUUUAGAUAGUAAGCACACUAAAGAUGCUGACAAAUGCUGGGUUUUGUUGUAAGGCUGAGGUGGUUGAGACUUGAGAGUACUGGUCUCAUCUUAUGGACUGUUUUUUUUUUUUAAAUUAGUAGAGAACAAUCAUGAUUUAUGAGGACUGAAAUAAAGGAAUUAUUGCUUGGUUAGCAGAAGAGUGAAUCGUUGAUACCUAUUAUGCAAUAUGAGUGAUUUAGUUAUUUCCUUCACGAAGAAUUGGAGGUGUUUUUCUGGUUACUUCUGAGCUGAAGUGGAGAAGCUUCAAGUCUUGAGUCACGGUGUGAUUUGUGAACUAUCUUUCUUCAUUCUAGUAUUUAGCCAUUUAUGCGUGAAAUUCGUGCUCCGAGACAAUUGAUAUUAGAGUAAAGUUGUCUCUAUGGUAAAACCACUAUUUCUUUCAAGACUAGGUUUAGCUGCAUCGAGUUGUGCAUUUUGCAAUUUCUGGUGUUAGGAAAGAGGACCUUCGUGUCAUUGAAGACUAGAUUUUGUUAAUUAUUUUAGCUGACUUAUUGCACCUUUCCUCAUCUCUCUCUUUUUUUGUGCUUAUAAUGUGGUUAUUGUUAACUUUUUAAAUAAACAUGUUUGAUCUAUGUGUCUAUCAUUUUUACAUUUGCUGAUAAAACGUUUUUGCGCAAGCUCCUUCGACACCAUGGUGAAAUGUUCUUUUACAUGGACAUCUAGGCUUUGGCAAGACAUAUUGUUGAUGCUACAACAACAACUUCUUCUCUUCAAUCCAUAUUAGUAAAAAGGCGAGCUGUGGAUAAGUGCAUCGGUACUUUGUAGCAAGCUGUAAGAGUCUUCUUUUCAACUAUACGAAUGUUUAUUGAGUUCCAUUAUGCAAUCUUCUAUUGAACUCUGUUAUUUCCAUACGUUUCACAAUUUUGUGCUUUCUUCUUUUGCUUUUGUCUGCACUUAAUAGAGGUCCCUUCAUCUAUGCCAGCAGUCAAAAUAGGAUAACUACUAGCAAAAAUGAGGAUCCUACCUUUACAGCCAAGAUGUUCUAAUUGUAUUAUUUUAAACAACAGCAAUGAGGAUUCUCCCAUAACCAAUGAAGAGCCAUGUUAAAAUGGUUCUUGAGUUUUCUCACGCAUGAAUGAGAGAAUCCUCUAUGAAGAUUUGAGAAAGAUUAAGAUGUAAGAUAUUUGAAGUUUUCCUCUACUAGAAAUUUGAAAUUUGUGAUCAAAUGUCUACUAGAUCAUCUGUUCUGCACAUUGACAGCAUUGAUUUUGUGAACAAACUAGAGAAUUUUUGAAUAUUUGAGAGUAAUGGCAAUUUUAAAAUUACAGGUCUAGAUAUAUUCUCAGAGGCAGCAUCUGUAGUACCUUGCUUCUCUUUUUUCAUGAAUUUGAUUCCAUUGUGCUGAAGAGGGGGCAUGAUAAUACGGGGUCACUGACCAUGCCAUCAAUCAGUUAGUUUCUUGCAUUCAAUGACACUUAUAAAGUGGUCGUGUGAAAUAUAGUUGAUGGCAUGACUCACUAAUAGUUUGUCAUUCAUUGGUGCAGUUUUUUUACUGAAUCGGAUGAUGUUGAAGGAGACUUUAAGCGCAAGCAAUUUAUGGGCUUGGUCAACCUUAGGUUCCUUCAAUUGGACCAUGGAAAUUUUGAAGGAGACUUUAAGAAUGUUUUCUUUAAUUUGAGAUGGCUCUCUUGGAGCAAUUGCCCUUCAAAAUUUCGAGCUAGCAACUUUGGGUUGAAGAACUUAACAAUUCUCAUGUUAUCUGGGAAUAACGUUACUAAAGAUUGGGGAAGAUGGUGUCAAAUCAUGGUAUGAUCUCAUUACAUCCUUUUGUAUUAUAUUUACUCUUCCUCUUUUUUGAGUGUCUACUCAAUUACUUUAUAGGUAGUAGAACAAUUGAAAAUCCUACAGCUCAAGGAUUGUCCAUUCCUUAGAAGGACGCCCAAGUUCUUUGCAAUCUCGCAAUUGGAGAAAUUGAUUCUUAGAUGCGGUCGACUAAGAAAGAUUGACAAGUCCAUUGGCAAUCUACAACAUCUUGAUUACCUAGAGAUAAAGAGUGAAGUUAUUGAGUCGCCACCGGAGUCCAUCGACGGUCUAAAAUCUUUGAUAGUGCUAAGAAUAUAACAAACACCCUCAAUGAAGCCUCACUCGAUUGGCAAUUUAGCAAAGGUGAAGUCUCUAAUCUUGCCAUGCAAGGAACUUCAAAAGCUUCCCGACUCUAUCGGACAAUUGGAGUCACUACUUAAGCUAGAUGUCCAAUAUUUAAAAAUUAGUGAAUUGCCUCAUUCUAUUGGAAAUCUUGAAAGGUUGAAAAUUUUACGCAUUUGGAAUUCCUAUCUAGAAAAUUUACUAGACUCGAUUAGGAGGCUCCAAUCAUUGGUCAAGUUGGAUUUGAGCGAUUCAAGAAUCGGGAGCUUACCUGAUUGUAUUGGAAAUCUCAAAAAGUUGAAGAUACUAAAUCUCAAUUAUAGUUGCAUAAGUGAACUUCCGAAAACCAUAGGAAUGUUGGAAAAUCUAGAAGAGUUAGAUGCCUACUCUGAACAUCUAGUGGGGGAAAUUCCAAGUGAAAUCGGGGCACUAUCCUCAUUGAAAUAUCUAUACUUAGGCAACGGUCGCUUUAGUGGAUUGCCCACAAUGAUCAAUCAACUUACAAAUCUCCAGCGACUUUAUUUAUAGGACCGUAAUUCAAUCCAACAGCUGCCAAAGCUUCCCAAGAGUCUAAUGUUUUUAACCCUUACAUCGGAUUCACUGACCACGAUCCCCGACUGCUCAAACCUAACCAAUUUAGUUGACCUUACGAUAAUUGGAUAUUCAAUUGAAGAACCCAACACAGAGGGGAUCGUGAGACUACCUGCUUUGAAACGAAUGGUCCUACGCGUUGGAAAAAUGGCCUUGCCUCCGACCAAUUUCAGUUCCCUCUCUCAACUACGAAGCCUCAGCAUAAAUUAUGUUGAGCCCCAAUCUCUUAUCGGGCUCCCAUCCAGCCUUCAAGAUUUGUGGUUAUGCGAUGUCCAGUCACCGAUAGAUUGGUCAGUCUUUUCCAACUUGGAGAAUUUGUCGACGCUGUCUAUUAAUGAAUAUUCGCUGAGAGAGAUUCGAUUCGAGGUGCUUGGAGAGCUACGGAAAUUCAAUGAAUUGUGGAUGUCCGACUGUCCAUUGCUCAAGACGCUGCCCGUUCUGCCUGGUUUGAAAGAGAUCUAGUGUUUGUCCCUGGAUCGAUUGCCUUAGCUAACAGAGAUUCAGGGUUUGGGAGAAUUGAAAUCAUUGCAGGAUUUGUGUAUUUGAAAAUGCAAUUCCAUCAAAAGCUUAAACGAGUCUGAUCUUUCUAAUCUACAAAAUCUGAAAAGUUUGAGGUUUUGGCGAUGUGAAUCAUUGGAGAGGGUGCUGGGUGUGCCAAAAUCUUGUCGACUCAAGGUCGAUUAUUGCCCGAGGUUCAAUAGAGAUGGAUAAGAUAUGUAUCAUUUGAUUGGCAAAGAUAGUCGAUGAUGGUAAGUCAAUAGAAUUAGAGUUCGUUUUUUGUUGUGUCAUGUUUUGUAAGUUUUCCUUCAGCUAACCUUUCGUCUUGGUUCUAGAACCACCUCUUGCAUUCGUUCAUCCUGUUGUCUUUGAGGAAAAAUCCUCUUUCAUGUGAACGUGUGAUACUUUGACUUGCCUACUUGACGAUGGUGAUACCUAGCUAUUUUACGUUGCACGCCAGCAUAACGUUGGGAUUGACAUGCUUCACGGCACCUGUUUUGUUUAGAAAAUAUGGAUAAAGUGGAAGGGAACUUUUAGAUAGUAAGCACACUAAAGAUGCUGACAAAUGCCGGGUUUUGUUGUAAGGCUGAGGUGGUUGAGACUUGAGAGUACUGGUCUCAUCUUAUGGAGUGUUUUUUUUAAAUUAGUAGAGAACAAUCAUGAUUUAUGAGGACUGAAAUAAAGGAAUUAUUGCUUGGUUAGCAGAAGAGUGAAUCGUUGAUACCUAUUAUGCAAUAUGAGUGAUUUAGUUAUUUCCUUCACGAAGAAUUGGAGGUGUUUUUUUGGUUACUUUUGAGCUGAAGUGGAGAAGCUUCAAGUCUUGAGUCACGGUGUGAUUUGUGAACUAUCUUUCUUCAUUCUAGUAUUUAGCCAUUUAUGCGUGAAAUUCGUGCUACGAGACAAUUGAUAUUGGAGCAAAGUUGUCUCUAUGGUAAAACCACUAUUUCUUUCAAGACUAGGUUUAGCUGCAUCGAGUUGUGCAUUUUGCAAUUUCUGGUGUUAGGAAAGAGGACCUUCGUGUCAUUGAAGACUAGAUUUUGUUAAUUUUUUUAGCUGACUCAUUGCACCUUUCCUCAUCUCUCUUUUUUUGUGCUUAUAAUGUGGUUACUGUUAACUUGUUAAAUAAACAUGUUUGAUCUAUGUGUCUAUCAUUUUUACAUUUGCUGAUAAAACGUUUUUGCGCAAGCUCCUCCAGGACCAUGGUGAAAUGUUCUUUUACAUGGACAUCUAGGCUUUGGCAAGACAUAUUGUUGGUGCUACAACAACGACUUGUUCUCUUGAAUCCAUAUUAGUAAAAGGGUGAGCUAUGGAUAAGUACAUUGGUACUUUUUAGCAACCUGUACAAGGUUUCUUUUCAACUAUGUGGAUGUUUAUUGAGUUUUAUUAUGCAAUCUUCUAAUGAACUUUGUUAUUUCCAUAUAUUUCACAAUUUUGUGCUCUCUUCUUUUGCUUUUGUAUGCAUUUAAUAGAGGUCCCUUCAUCUAUGCCAUCAGUUGAAAUAGGAUAACUAGCAGUAGCAAUGAGGAUCCUACCACUGCAGCCAAGAUGUUCUAAUUAUAUUAGUUUAAACAACAACAAUGAGGAUUCUCCCAUAACCAAUGAAGAGGCCAAGUUAAAAUGGUUCUUGAGUUUUCUCACACAUGAAUGACAGAAUCCUCUGUGAAGAUUAAAAGAAAGAUUAAGAUGUAAGAUAUUUGAAGUUUUUCUCUCCUAGAAAUUUGAAAUUUAUGAUCAAAUGUCUAUUGGAUCAUCUGUUCAACACAUUGGCAGCAUUGAUUUUGUGAACAAACUAGAGAAAUUUUGAAUAUUUGAGAGUAUUCGCAAUUUUAAAAUUAUAGGUUCAGAUAUAUUCUCGAAGGCAACGGCUAUAGCACCUUUACUCCUCUUUUUUCAUGAAUUUGAUUCCAUUGUGCUGAAGAGGGGGCAUGAUAAUACGGGGUCACUGACCAUGUCAUCAAUCAGUUAGUUCUUGCAUUCAAUGACACUUAUAAAGUGGUCGUGUGAAAUAUAGUUGAUGGCAUGACUCACUAAUAGUAUGUCAUUCAUUGGUGCAGUUUUUUUACUGAAUUGGAUGAUGUUGAAGUUUAAAGUGGUGUGUUUGUGUCAGUAGGGACAAGAUAAUAAUUUCGUCUUACAUAGUAACAAAAAGUACUCUCUUUACAUAGCAUACUAACUAUAAACUACUGUUGGAAAUUGCAUGGCCAUUAUGAAUGCUUUGCCAAAACAAUUUCUAUGAAGCAUUUAAUAUGGAGACUACGUAAUAACCUUCAAGGCAGACUAUUAAAUGCUAGACAUGACUUUUCCUUGAUUUAGAAUUGUUUAACUUUGGAUACACAGUAUUGGAUAAACUACAUAUGUAUCAAAGAAGGUAACAAACGACAGGAUUGCUCGAAUUACUUUUCAGUUGCUGAAGUAGCUUACAAGAAGUGUAUUAAAUUGGUCUUGAGCCUCUUUAACAGCAUCAAUGGAUGUUGAUCAUUUCAGUUUUGGGUGUGCCAAAAUCUUGAACUCAUCAUCAUUGACUGCCCGAAGCUCAAUAGAGAUGGAUAAGGUAUGUAUCAUUUGAUUAGCAAAGAUGGUCGAUGAUGGCAAGUCCAUAGAACUAGAGUUUGUUUUUUGCUGCGUCCUGUUUUGUGAGUUUUCUUUUAGCUAAGCUUUCAUCUUAGUUCUAGAACCACCACUUGCAUUCAUUCAUCCUCUUAUCUUUGAGCAAAAUUCCUUUUUUCGCAUGUCAUGAACAUGCGGUACUUUCACUUGCCUCCACGGUGGUGAUGCUUUGCUGGUUUAUGUUGUGCAUCAGCAUAAUGUUGGGGUUGACAUGCUUUGCAGAAUGUAACUUGCUUAGAUAGUAAGCACACUGAAGAUGCUAACAAACGCUAGGUUUUGUUGAAAGGCAGAGGCGGUUGAGAGUACUGGUCAUACCUUAUGUAGUGUUUUUUCAAUUUCACUACAGAACAAUCAUGAUUUGUGAGGAAUGAAAUAAAGGAAUUAAAGCCUCAUUAGCGAAAGAGUAAAUUGUUGAUACCUUUUAUGCUGUAUGAGUUAUUUAGUUACUUCCUUCAUGAAGAAUUGGAGGUGCUUUUGUAGUUACUUUUGAACUUACAUUUUGUUUGUCUGUCUGUUAUUCGUUCAUUCCCUCCCAUCUUAAAUUACCAAACACAGUUGAGGAAGAUGUUGAAAUUCGCCAAACAAGGCAUUUACAUUCUUGAAUUCUUAUUUGUUGUGCCGAUAACAUGUCUUUUUCUGAAUCCUUUGCUGUUUUGAGCUGGGUCCGGGAAUUUGAUGACUUCUACUCAUUGAUGAAUUCAAUGAGGCAAAUGCAAUAACCUGGGUUGCUCACUUUUUAAUCAUCUCUGUUUCCUGCAGUUUUAGAGAUUGAGCAAGGAUUAUCUGAUGUUGCACAAUCAAAGAUUAUUGUAAGCUUUACUCCACAUUUGAUGCCCAUGAUUAUAGUUGCAAUUUUCUAGUGUUCCCAUUCUUAAAGUUAAAAUUAUGCUUCCCUAGCGAUAGCUGUAAGCUUUCUUCAACUAUUUCUGCAGAGUCCUAAAAAUGCAAUAAACUAUUCAUGCUAAAAUGUCUUCAGGUGUAAUGGCUGGGGAUCUAUAUGAAGUUGCUAACUGGGCAAACUUUUUUCUAACUAAUAGUCCUAUUUUGCUUAGGCAUUCGAUGGCUUAAUGUGCUAAGUAUUAACCUUAGCUUUCGUUUACUGAAGUACUUAUUUUUAGUACUCAUGAUUAGCUUAAUCAAAGUACAUCAUUUAUUUCAUAGAUCUUGAUUAAGUCAAUCAAGUAGUAGACGUGUUUGGGAACUGAAACUUGAAAGAUCCGCAACUUCCUUUCAUAUUCUUGAGUGUGCUUCCCACAUACUUCAUGCUGUCUGAUCGCUUAAUUCACUUUAUCUUGCUGGACGAGGGAUUUGUUAUGCUGUUAAAAAAUGGAGUUGUUCCUCGUACUCAAAAUGUGCAAGGAUCUUAUUAUUUUUUUAUGAGUGUCUUUCUUGAUCAAGUAUCCGGACAAGCAAUACUUAUCUAUGUAGUCGGUUCCCAAGUGUCUGUUCUCCAUUAAGUGCUUUACUUUUCAUGUAACGUCAAAGUCAUCUCUUUAUGAUAAGCUGUCUAAACCUUCUUUUGCAGAUUGACAAUCAAGUGAAGGGAGCUGGUGGUCAUGUUCUGCAUAAUCUUCAAUAAGACGAUGGGUUUACCUGAGAUUGUGGGGCUUAACUACCUAUUAUUGUUUCCUUGAUGCAUUCUGCAUUCUUGUGAGUGAGGUAGAUUAUGCAUGAAUUUUGUUCAAGAAAGCUUGUAUAAUUGCAUUGGUUGUGUCCGAGCUAUAGCUAUUGUUUAUUAUUUAUGGUGACUCAUAACACCUUUCCUCAUCUUGCUCUCCUUCUCUCUCUAAAAUGUUGUCACGCCCCGACCCUCAGGCACGCACACAUCCCUUACUUUUGGUCGAUUUAAAAAUGCGAUAUCCCAGGACUAUGUAUCGCCGACCCUUUCUUUUAUAUAUGCACAUGCGGAAGCAGUUAUAAUUCCCCAGACAAUAAAGCAAUGGGAUAGAAAAGCAGGCCAUAUAUUUUUCUUACUGAAAAUUCACAACUACAUCUUUUUACAUGCGAACAAGGUCUGACAAGACAGGAUAGGAUUUCGAUCCUCAUCCGAGUCGUACUCGAUGUCAUACUCGGGGUCCUCCUCCACGUACUCCUCUUUGGGUUCCUCAACAGAGAUCUCCUCAUCAGAUUCAUGCUCCUCAAGCUCCUCAUCCAGGUCCUGAAAUGGUUAUUCAAUAACCACUGAGACCACGUCUCAGCAAGUUCUAGCUCCUAAGACCCAAUUAGUAAACUAAUAUACCUUAGGGUUGCCUACGCACAACAUGAGUCAGAGGACGUACCUUAGCCUCAGAUUCCACCUGCAUAUUAGUACAGUUCGAAUAGGCACACAAGCAAUCACAUCACAGAUCGAAGCAUCGAUCUAAUCGACUUAGUCGAUUUCACAUUAGGAAGACCACUCACGAUCAUCUCCCUUCAAUCAUUCAAUUCACAACAUCAAACCAAGGCAAUGAAUCGCAUCAAAUCACACUCAGAUCGAAUCAUCGAUCAAUCGACCUAGUCGAAUCAUUUCUAGGUCAUUCAUCCCACAUCAAGCAAUUCCUUGGAUUUAGUGGCUUUACGGUCCCACCCGACCCUCUCGAGAACUAGUGGCUUUACGGUCCCACCCGACCCUCUCAAGAACUAGUGGCUUUGCGGUCCCACCCGACCCUCUCGAGAACUAGUGGCUUUUCGGUCCCACCCGACCCUCUCAAGAACUAGUGGCUUUACGGUCCCACCCGACCCUCUCAAGAACUAGUGGCUUUACGGUCCCACCCGACCCUCUCGAGAACUAGUGGCUUUACGGUCCCACCCGACCCUCUCGAGAUGUCAUACUAUGUCACCGAGCCACGUGCAUUCUCCAGGAAGACAUACCGAGUCUCCGAGCCACGUGCAUUCUCUAAGGCUAUCUUUUCGCCAAGAUGACAUAUUAAAUCACCGAGCCACGUGUCUUUCCCAAGUGAUAUUCCAAUUCACUGGGCCACGUGCAUCCUCAAGGUGAUUUACCAACUCACUUUCGAUACUAACAACCGAUAUCCGACCAAUUCUCAAUCACAAGACCAAAAUUGCAUUAUUUAAUAACAUACUUAAAAAUGCACCAUUAAAUCAAUUCGACACAAAUUAAAGCUCAAAUAAAUAAACGGACUGCUCCACGACAAUCAGCACGAAAUUCCGGUCACUGGCCAUCCCAGUUGAAUUUCCGGAAAAUAAAUAAUUAAAUAAUUAAUUUCGAAAAUUAAAUAAAUAAAUACAAUAAAUUCAAUUUAACACAAUAUAAAGCUCAAUAAAUAACGNNNNNNNNNNNNNNNNNNNNNNNNNNNNNNNNNNNNNNNNNNNNNNNNNNNNNNNNNNNNNNNNNNNNNNNNNNNNNNNNNNNNNNNNNNNNNNNNNNNNCGAUCAUCAGCAUAAAAUCCCGUCACUGCCCAUCCCAGUGAUUUCCGGGAAAUAAAUAAUUAAUAAUAAUUUCGAAAAUUAAUAUUUAAUUCCUAAAAAUACCACAUAAGCCCGAUUUGCUUAAUUAACACCCGAUAAGGGACGGGAAAAAUCCCAAGAAGCAUCCAAUAAAUACUACAAGCAAUUCUCUAUCUAAUUACACUAAUCACACAACUAAUAUGCAAAGCAAUUAACUAAUAAUCACUAAUCAAAUCUAAUCUAACAACCUAAUUAUACUUAAUUAACACUAAUCAACCUUUAAGUAUAAUUAGCGCACUAAGAAGGCGUUAGUGAGUAAAACUCACUCAAAACGACGGGCUCGACGCGAGGGUCGACUUUCCUCAAAGCGGGCCAAGCAUCCGGGCUCGGGAAGGCGGCCAAAACGGGCCAAACAGUUGCUGCAAACCUAUUUUCUGCACUCACUGAUCGCUGCUGGUUGGAGGUGAAGGAGGGCGGAUUCGGGGCUGGUUGAGCUCGGGAAUGGGCGGAGGAGCUGAACAAGACCAAGGCGAGUCUUCACGGUGGCCGGAGGUGGUUGGAGGAAGCUCCGGCGGGUCUUGCACGAGCUGGACAGAGGCGGAACAGGGGUUGGACAGCAGCUCUGGAACAGCGAGCUGGGUGAGAGGGAGACCGAGCUGAGCGGAGCAGCGGCGGAGCGCACGGCGUCGCGCGGGCAGCGGUGCGGCAGCUCCGGUCCAACAACGCCAGCUGCUGCCCCAACUCCAGUGUCCUCCUAGAUCUGGAACCCCGAGCAGCGAACAGAGGGGAAGACAGAGGUGCCGACGGCGGCUGGAAUGGGUGAGGGAGAGGCGGAGAUGAACGACGGAGCAGCGGAGCGGGUGAUGCGCCGGCGAGGACGGCUUGAGGCAUGAGGCGGUGUGGAGUAACGACGGCAAGCUACUGUCUCUGUUUCUGCUUCGUUCGAACCAGAGGAGGGAGAGGGGGCGGAGAUGUGCAGACGGCAGCACGGCGUCAGGCUCGGGUGCGCGAGCAGCUCAGGUCCAGGUGGGCGUGCGACGACAACGGCGAGAGGUGAUGACUGCAGCUCAGUCUUCACUGGUCUUCAGCUCCCAUGGAGUUUUGAAGAAAAAGAAGAAGAUGGGGGAGGAGUUCGGUCGACGAAGGAGGAGAGAGGGGAGGAAGAAAAACUCAAUUUCCCUUUCUUUUCUCUCACUCUCUCUCUCUCUUAGGUCAGCCACACAUGGCCACCACCAGCUGUCUCCCACUCUUCAAUUUUUGACAAACAUGCCCCCUUCUAUAAGAUUUAGGUACGCUAAAGAGUUGGGUUUAUAGGCAUACUAAUUUUGCUAACGAUUCUUUUCUAAAUGGAACCUUAAUUCCUCUUGAAUUAAAUCAAAGUGAUCCCCGUUAAUAUAUGCAACACCUCAUCAUUGAAAUUGGUAUUUUCCAUACAAUAUAGCCCANNNNNNNNNNNNNNNNNNNNNNNNNNNNNNNNNNNNNNNNNNNNNNNNNNNNNNNNNNNNNNNNNNNNNNNNNNNNNNNNNNNNNNNNNNNNNNNNNNNNGUAUUUCUUCUUCGUGUCUAUCAUUUUUACAUUUGCUGAUGUAAAAUGUUUUUGUGCCAAGCUCCUAUAAGGAAUGGUCAAAUGUUCAUUUACAUGGAUGUCUGGGCUUUGGCAAGACACACAUUGUUGGUUCUGCAGCAGCAACUUGUUCUCUUCAAUCCAUAUAAGUGAAAGUGCUGAGACGUUCAAUAAGUACACUGGUACUUUUGAGCAAGCUGUAAGAGGCUUCUUUUCAACUUCACCAAUGUUGAUUGAAUUCCAUUGUGCAAUCUUGUAUUAAACUUUGAUAUUCCAGACAUUUCACAAUUUUGUGCUUUCUUUUGUUGCUUUUGUAUGCAUUUAACAGAGGUCCCGUCAUGUAUGCUAGCAGUGAAAAUUAGAUAAUUAGCAGCAACAAUAAGGAUGCUCCCGCUGCAACCAAGGUGUUCUAACUAAAUUAUUGUCAACAACAGCUCCCAUAACCAUUGAAGUGGCCAAAUUAAAAAGCCAAUUAUAACCGAUUCUCUUCUGAAGUCCGUUGCUUCGAAGGGAAGACUGUCAGUCUCAAAUGCCGAGAAAAGAAGACUCCGUAGAAAUUUGAAGUAGCGGCAAGGUAAAAUGUUUUUUUUUUUCAAUUAGAAUAAUUCAUACUUAUUAAACACGCUAAUUACUUCUACGAUCAUGAAUAUACCAAAACGAUCAAAUGUAGAGACCAUUAGUAGAUUUUAAAAAUUCCAUGGGUUUGUAAAAGCCAUUGGCUUUUAAUGGCACGUCACGCGUUACGUUUGACCAACGACUCUUAGGUGCGGAAGGCGGCGACCUUAUGCUGAUUUCACAUUUUCUAGUUUUGCUCUGACGAAAGAAAACGAGUGGAAAGUGGAGUAUAGGCAAAAAUCAAUUGAUCAUGGCUCAGCAAAGCAGAAUGGAAGUCUAGCCCCAAUCGAGAAAAGCUAAUCUUAGUGCAGAAUUUCUCAAGUUCUAUCCAUCACAAGGAGGUUAAUCAUUUUAGCAUGCAAAAUCUUAUUUUUUUAAGGAUACGUCACUAAUUAGUUAUUAGUAGGCUGAUUAAAAAAGUUGAUCCUUUUUAAUAUGAUGAGCAAAACAAAAGCAUUUAAUAUCCGGUAUUUCUAGCCUAAAGAUAAAGGAAGAGAUUUCUCAUUGAACAAACAAAAAGAUAAAAGGGGAUCCAUUAUGCUUUGGUCACACCGGAUGUUGGGCAAAUUCUAUGAGAUAUUGCAUUGAACUUUGAUCUAUAUGUAAAAGAACAUAGAGGAGUCGAAUGCUUUCUCUAGAAUUAUACAUGGAGAUUCUGGAUUCUCUGAAUAUAUAUAAAAGUCAUAAUGCAUGACAAAGUUUGAAAGUACCAACCAUAAAACUUUUUGUGUCAAGAAAAUGCCCAAAAAUACGAUUAUUUAUGUUUUGACAUAAUUUCCGAAUGUGACUCUAAAUAAGAUUUUCAUUACAUAUAUACAUAUCUCCUAAUUCUAGGAGGGUAGCAUAUACAUUUGAAAGCGAAAUGAACUUAGUACAUUUAAAUUUAACAAAAUAUCACCUAAAUACAUGAAAAAAGUGAAAAAGAUCAUAUUAAAAAGGAAAAGUUGCAUAUAAAUUGUGGGUGGGCCUAAUUAGAUCCAAAUAUUUUUUUGUGAUACCAAAAUCCCCAAACUUUUGUUUUGCGACACUAAAUUUUAAGGGUGAAUGUAUAGAGAAUUUUUAUAUCAUAAGAAGAAGUUUGGGAUAUAUAUACAAAUUUGGGAUUCCUGAUGCCAAAGAAAAGUGUGAGGGUAAACGGUGACCAAACUGCCCUCACUUCUUGACAAAUUUCCGUAAAAAAUAUCCGGACCGUGAAAAAUCCCGCGCCAAUUCCAUAAAAAAACACGAACUUUAGGUGUUGUCCCAAAUCUGGCCCGAGCUUUAUUUUGUCUUAAAAAAAAGCAUGAACUUUAGGGGUUGUCCCAAAUCUGGCCCGGAUUUUAUUUUGUCUAAAAAAAAAGCACGAACUUUAUGUGUUGUCCCAAAUCUGGCCCAAAUUUUAUUUGAGACAAAAUAAAGUAAUUCUAUUAUAAAUAGGCUUCCUACAAGAUAGAUGCACACGCUUUUAAUAUCUCGUUUUAAGGCAAUGUAAUCUUCUGUUUUCAAUCCAGUUUUUGACAUUGCAAACAAUUUGCCAAUUGUUAAUUGAUCUAAUGGCCCUAGCUAUGUGCCCCAUCCCCUGGAACUGAAGCUGCUGAAUUAUUUUUCCCAUGAGAAUCAUCUGUAAAGUUCACCUCAUUGGAAGACAAACUUAAAUUUAACACUUCCUCCAAACACUCGAAUACAGCAUCAUUUUGUUGUGUUGGAUAUUAUUGCUGACGUGGAAAUGCCAUGUUGGAUGACUGUGGAAUGAGGGUUAACGGAUGGCAGAUUUGAGACACAAGUGAAAAUUUAUGCCUUUUUUUAGACAAAAUAAAUUUCGGGCUAUAUUUGGGACAAUACUUAAAGUUCGUGCCUUUUUUUGAGACAAAAUAAAGUUCGUGCUUUUUUUUAGACAAAAUAAAGUUCAGGCCAGAUUUGGGAUAACAGCCUAAAGUUCGUGCUUUUUUAUGGAAUUAGCCCGAAAAAUCCCCUACUCUUCCCUUGGUCACCGCAAGCCUCCGCCACUCGCCGCCGCGUCGCCGUCGUAUCCCCUUCCCGUGCCAUCACCCCUCGUCAUCGAGCCGCCCCCGGCCAUCGCCUGCGCUGAUCGUUUCGCGUCCCGUCUCGGCCAAGCCACCAUCUCUCUCCCUAUCUCCCCGUGUUUCCUCUUCGAAGCAAUUAUUUUGUCAAUCUGAACGGCUUUUUCACUUACGAAGGAAGGCCGCCUGUAACUUCUAGGCAGACGCAGCGAAAGUGAGAGAUCUCUCUCCGUUGCUUUAUCAAGUUGCUACGAGGAUUAGGCUCGGACUUCCCAAGUCACCGGGCAGGCCCAAUUCGGAGAUCCAGAAUGAAGAGAAAGCGGGAGGGAGACGAGACGGCGACGGCAGCUGG
rnacentral:lncRNA from 1 species